CACCGAAUGUGCACCUAUAUGACGUAUGCACUUGUCAUAAAUUACAUUUCCUGCGUCAUCCUUUGUGAUGAUCUCUGCGCCUCUGCGUAGUACAGGCUACAGCCUAGCGAGGGUCUGACUGUAUGCUGGAUCGAUGCAGACGACGACCUGAGAAGGUAGGUUCCACAAGGAAAUUUGUAAGCCACAUCAACGUAGACGAGAAUGGGCUCGUUUGUGGUUAUAGAGAUGGUGGGGUCNNNNNNNNNNNNNNNNNNNNNNNNNNNNNNNNNNNNNNNNNNNNNNNNNNNNNNNNNNNNNNNNNNNNNNGACGCUCUUGCCAGAAUGAAGAUACUCUACCGCAUCCACCGCGGAAGCAACGCCCAGGAAUUUCUUAGGGUCGAGCGAGACCUGUCAUAUGCGGUGUGACAUGUGAAGCUGAAUUAUUAGAACGGAUAAAAGACAAGCAUGUGCAGAUGUGUUAUGACUUUUUGUUGUUGUCAUGUUAUGAGCUAUUGCUGGGUGCAGGGAGUGAUGACAUGAAGAGGAGCAAUUCCCAUACUGAGAUAAUAUAAUACGGAGUACUAGGAAAAUAAAUGGGGAACUGGGGCACGGUAUCAUUUUUUAGUGCGAGAAAAGAAUAAGAUAUGUAGAUAGCAAGGAAAUGAGAAGAAAGCAGGACAGUAGUUUAACCAUUGGCAACCCACGUAUUUGCUUGGUUUUGUAAUUUGGCCAUUGUUUGACAUGUGCACCUACUUUAAAGAUGACCACCAAUUGGCAGGGUGAAUUAGGGUAGGCACCCAAUGUCCCAAACACCCACAGUUUUUCUCAAUUAAUUUCACACAAAGUAGCAAACAGCAAACACAUAAUGUGAAGCGUUACCUUUAGCUUUCCAGAGGCAUACAACUCAAAUAGUUUAUCAAGAUGUUCUUGCCACAUGUGAGCAUGUUGAACCAGGAAAAAUCCAGCCUGAAAUUGGAGAGGAAGGAGUUAAUCGUUUUCUGCAACAGGGAUGGAGUUCAUAGCUCUAAAGAGUACACCAGGACAGAGUUCUAUCGGAUUCAAAUCUAUCCAUAAGGCUUAACAUCUGUCUCGUAUAGUUUAUGAAGUAUCCAUAGAAGUAGUUUGCAGCUUCUGAAAGGUCUGAUAUGCUAUUAAAAAAUGGUAUUUCUAGACCUAUAUCCAGAUAAAAAGAUUCCAAUCAUAGCUAAAGAUUGCUGUCUGUCUAUUGCUUUGGUACACAGAAUUUCGAACGUAUUAACCAAAAUACCAUGUUUCUUUUAAUACUGCAAUAAGGACUAGUUGGAUGCUCCAAUGCACUACUGAGGAGACAUUUUUUUCUUAGUCUUGCUGAGAGAACUUUUUGUGGUACAUACAAACAAUAUAACACAUUUUCAACACAGAUGGCAUUCUUUCUUUGUAAUCCUAUCAAACUGCUAAAUUUGCUUCAUGGUUUGGAUCUACGAGAAUCCAAGGAUCCAAGUUUUGAGAUCAACUUUCUCAGUAUGGUAGUUGUAUCACUUUCUGAUCAAUUUAUUGAACGGAUAUUGAGUACAAACGAAGUACUUAUAUGCCAACUAAGAAAAUCAGAUACGGUGCUGCACACAUACCACAGUUUGACUUUUAGCAAGAAUCUUCUCACAUAGUCCAGUGUAGUUCUUCGGCUUCCAUCCCUCCUCUCCUUGAUACUGAAAAAAAAACAUCAAAGAUUGUUCACUACCGGUUGGUAUCAGUUCAUCCCUAAGCUAUGACAUCAUAGUAAAAACAGCUACAACUAAAACAGGAAUAACUGACACUAAUUCAGAUAGGUGGUGUGUACAAAUCACGAUAAUUCAAUGAUUUCCCUAGGUGCACUCCAUGUCUCCAGUUUUAAAUACGAAUGCAUGAUGGUCAUAUAUUAUGUAAUAAUGUCAGCAAGGACUCUUCAGAAUAUUCUCAGGAGGGUGCUUCUUCACUCCACCAAAUGAUAUCACACAAAUCAUAAAGCAACUGCUGUUACUAGUAACUAAUGGCCUGUCAGAUAAGCUUUUCGCCACAAUUUUCAUAUUCCCAAUAUAUAAUAAUUCAAACGGAAAUAACUUUCGGAAGCUGUCGACAUUACCUGAGAGAUCAUACCAAUUACAAUGAGACGUCCAUGGACUGCGAGCGCAUUCAAGCACAAAUCAAACAUUUCCCCACCUACAGAUUCAUAUAUAAUAUCUACACCUUUUGGAAACUCCUUCUUCAGAACCUGGAAUCAAGCAUUCAAACAAUCAGUGAUUACUGAACACACUGAGAAGAACAAAUAGCAGGUCAGUGAAAAUAACAGUCACUUGAAACCUAUGAUUUUGGCAACAUACUACUGGUUAUAGUCAUUCUCUGCGGAGACAUUAGAGCAUAAAUGUAAUUCAAGUAUUCCCAACCAAGAUCGUGCAUCAUCUGUGGCACGUGAAAGGCUGUACAAGUGUAAGAAUUAUUAUUUUUGGAAGAUUCUAUCCUAGUAAGUAGAGGUACGAUACAAGCGCACAAAAUUAAAUGGUAGAUGGGCUAGAGAAUAUACCCAUCACAUUUUUGUAAGUAUAAUAAGAAAGGCAAUGUUAUAAAUUUGAAUUUGAAGUGGCAGAAAUAUGAAAAGCAGAGCCAGAAGAAAGAAGAAAGCUUACGUCUUUGAUCUUCUCAUGCUGGUAGUUGAUAACUCGAUCAACACCUAAGGAAGCUAGAAAUGCAGCUUUACUUUCACCGCCACAUGUGGCAACAACCUUGUUGCCUGCUAGUUUUGCAAGCUAGUGAAGUAACAGAAGAAACAUUCAGAUAUAAGGAUAUGGUUAGGUACUAAAUCCAAUAGCAGUUGCUUAACAAAAAUGAAUAGCAUAUAAACAAAAAAUAGAACCUUGUCCAUGUCCUAGAAAUACCAUAUGGAAUGUAUGACCAAAACAUGGCCCAAAUGCUAGUUAACUAUGAAAGACGAACUAUACAUGUCCCAACUGCAUGAAAUUGUAUCUUGUGCAAGUUUCAAACAGCAAUGUCGAAUUUUAUAUUUAUACUGCUUAGGUAAACUGUAGAAAUAGAUAAGCAAUUGAGCAUAACAUCAAACCAAAAUAAUCGUAUAAUAGUAUCAAAAUAGUAUCAGCCGACCUGAACAGCAAACUGUCCUGUUCCACCAGCAGCUGCUGUAACUAAAACAACUUGCCCAGAUGUCAUUUGACCUGCCUAAAUGCAGCAGAAAUCAACUUAGAUCAGAACGGGAAGGAAUAUAUAUUCAAAAUUAAAAAGGUUAGUUGACUAAAUAUAAGGUCAAAGUCGCAAGAUAUGCAACCAAAAAUUUGUAUCAAAAUAACCUUUUCAAGAGAAAUUGAAGCGGUCAAUCCUGAUGUUAGCAUAGCAACGACCUCCGGAUCUGGUCUUGGCACCGGAAGAAGAUGUUUGGCUGGAACCUUUCAUUAGAAAGAUGUAAAGACUAAUAUUAUAACUGGCAGACGAGGUGACAAUAUCCAAAAGUACAAGCUCAAAAGACUGGGGAUGUUUUCAUUCCAGUGACGACAAGGUUAAUCGGCAAUUUUUUGGGUAGCAAAAAGAUGUGGGCAUAGACCGCAAUACCAUCGUAAAUUCAGCAUAGCUUCCAAAAGUCAUAAGGGCCACAGGACUGCCGACUUUGAUAUGGCUCACUGCAUCUCCAACAGAAGCAACAAUUCCCACAGCCUGUAGAUAUUAAAGUUCUCUUGAGAAAUUCUAAUUGCCCAACAAAGAUGUCAAGAAGAAAUUUUCCAUAUUUUCAGGAACAAACAUAAUUAAGUAUCACAACACUUGUCACCUGUGUAGCAACAGUAUACUAAAAUAAGAGCAACAUUUUUUUGAUGCAAGUACGUGACAUGCCAGUUUUUUUGUUGUUGAAGUACCAACAAUAAUUAAAAUCGUGAUUCAGUUUCGCAACACAAGAAGUUUUUUUUUUCGAGAAAGCGCAAAGGACCUUUGCGUUUCAUUAUAUUGAAAAGAUAGAGUUUGUUACAAUCCUCCUAGGAGGCAGGGUACAAGCAUUCUAAUGCUACUUAGUGUACAUCCCAUGUCUGCGGUAGGAUAACCUGAAGCCCUUUGGCUCCAGCCCGUGCCCAUAAGGUAGCCUCCUCCUUGAUAUUUGACAUUAGUGCAGCAAUGGAGGGUUGUGCCCUGUCAAACACGCAACACGAGAAGUUAUGGGCAUGAUUUCCCUUUUUGCAUCAUAUGCAGUCAUAGCCCCCCAAUGAUUAAGAUUUGCACGACUGAUUUAUGAGCCAGUAUUUGGGUCUCGACAGGACAUCGAUUGGUUGGACUAAACAAGUGUUGGUGAAUUCACUCCUCUCCUUCUCCUCUAUGUGCUGAGAGGUUCGGCAUGAUUUCGUUCUAUGAAUGGAGCCGGGGGAUACCCCUGUUUUUGUUUUUCAAAGAAGAAAAAACUCCUCUCCUUCCCCCUCGUCUUCUCUCAGCUCUUCUCCUCCUGCUCUGCUAUCCGCUUCCCUCCUUCCUCUCAUGCCCUACUUUCGUGAGUACCCCCUCCGUAAAGAAAUAUAAGAGUGUUUAGAUCACUAAAGUAGUGAUCCAAACGCUCUUAUAUUUCUUUACAGAGGGAUUAGUAGCUAGUUGUUAGAGUUAUAAAAUAAGUCAUGUACCCUUUUGUAUUUAUCCCAAUAUAUAAGGGGUUUCCUGCAUAUAGUCCACCACCUGUACAUGUAUAUAUACCGGCCUAUGGCCUCAUGGGAAUUGUUGCUUAUUCCUAACAUGGUAUUAGAGCUAGGUUAACUUUCGCACGCCGCAACUCGUGUUGUUGAUCCGCUCCACGCCGCCGCGCUCCUCUCUGACUCGUCCCCGUCAGUCAGCGCCUGCCUCGUCGCCAGCUCCCGCUGCUCCCGUUCCAACGCCUGCCUCGUCGCUUCUCCACCUCGAAUCGGAUCCGGUUCCAGCGCCUGCUCGUCGUUUCUCCAGGACGGCUCCCGCUCCAGCUCGGAUCUCGUUUCUCCAGGACGGCUUCCGCUCCAGCUCGGAUCUCGUUUCUCCAGGACGGCUCCCGCUCCAGCUCGGAUCGAUCCAGACGGGAUCGAAUCCGGCUCUUCCUUCCGCUCGGGCUCGGAUCGAUCCAGGAGGCUCCCGCUCGCCCUACUACAGAUCGAUCCGGCUCUUCUCUCGCCCGCCCCCAGUCCAACGCCUGCUGCUGCUUCCCGAGCGCCUCUGCUCGAGGACGCGAGCUCGGCUCCCGCCGGUCCCGCUCGAGGCAGGAGGCGGCUCUGCUCCCGAUCGUCAGAUCCUGCCGGCCCUCUCUGAUCUGCAGCUGCCGUGAGACCUAAAAAAAAUGUCUACUGCAUCGGGCUAUGUUGCUGUCCCUCAAUGUUCGGUGAUCUUCGAUGGUACUAACUACACCGAGUUCAUUGGCUUCAUGCGCAUUCAUAUGCGUGGCAUCCGUCUCUGGGGAAUUCUUUCUGGCGAGGUCUGUUGUCCGCCACGUCCGGUUCCUCCUGUGGCUCCCACUCCUCCGACUCCACCGAUUCUUCCCGUGGAUGCUCCUCAGGCUGCGAAGGAUGCGGCUAAGGUUGCUGAUGAGGCUGCUAUUCGUGCUUAUGAUGAGAAGGUUUUGACUUAUGAGGAGGCUCUUCAGGUGUAUAUGGUGCUAUGUCUGUUUACACCCAGUGGCUUGAUGAUGAUGUUCGUGCUGCAGUUGUUCUCACUGCUAGUGUUCUGCCUCAGUUUGCCUCUGAGUUUCUGGGCCUUCCUACUGUCUUUGAGAUGUGGACUCGCCUCCGUCAGCGCUAUGAGCCCUCUGGUGAUGCCUUAUACCUCUCUGUGGUUCGUCAGGAGCAUGCUCUUCAGCAGGGUGACUCUACUGUUGUUGACUUCUAUGCACAGAGUUCUGCUAUCUGGCGCCAACUUGAUUCUCUCCGCAGUGCUGGUUGUCAUACUUGCCCCUGUUGCCAGGCUGUCCAGGCCGAUUUGGAGUUUCAUCGCGUCUACGAGUUCCUGUCUAGGCUCCGUAAGGAGUUUGAGCCUCGUCGUGCUCAGUUGUUUGCUCGUGGCCGUAUUUCUCUCAUGGAGGCGCUUUCUGAGAUUCGUGCUCAGGAGACUCGCUUACGUGGUGCUGGUUUGCUGGAGGUUCCCUCCGUGCUCGCUGCUCGGGCUCUUUCUAAGCCACCUGCUGCACCGAUCCCUUCUCGCUUGAGUGCUCCGUCGCUCUUGCCCACUCCUUCUGGAGGCUCAGGUCGCCCCCGUCCACAUUGUGGCUACUGCAACAAUGAUGGUCAUAUUGAGUCCCACUGCUACACGAAGAAGAAACACUUGCACAAGGCGCGAUCAUCAUCUACAGAGACCUCGUCAUCUACCUCGACAGCUUCAGCCAUCGCUUUGACUGCGCAGGAUAUUUUGAGACUUAAGCGUCUGCUCGCUGCUUCAGGUUCUUCCUCGACGGGUACUGCUGGUUCUGUGACUGAGGCUUCCCGCACUGAGCAACCACCUUCUACACAGUCAGGUACAUCCCCAUGGGUUCUGGACUCUGGAGCUUCCUUUCAUAUGUCUUCUAAUUCUUCCACUCUGUCCUCUCUUCGAUCGCUUGAUUCUCCUGUUCAUGUCCUCACCGCUGAUGGUACUCCCCUUUCUGUCGUUAGUAGAGGCAAUCUUACCACUCCUUAUUUUGUUCCUGAUGUUGCUCAUGUUCCUCGACUUACCAUGAAUUUGUUUUCCGCUGGUCAACUUGCUGAUUCUGGUUGUCGCGUCAUCCUUGACCUUGACUCUUGUUCUGUCCAGGACUGUCGCACGCACACUCUGGUUGGGGCUGGUCCUCGCCGCCGUGAUUCAGAGGGUCUUUGGGAGUUGUACUGGCUUCAUGUUCCUUCCGUUGCCCACUUUAUCGCCAGUUCUUCCGCUUUGGUCGCCUCGGCUGCUGGUUCCUUCCAGCAGUGGCAUCAUCGACUUGGUCAUCUGUGUGGUUCUCGUUUGUCGUCGUUAGUUCGUCGAGGUCUUCUGGGGUCUGUCUCAGGAGAUGCCUCUUUAGAGUGUCAGGGUUGUCGUCUUGGCAAACAGAUUCAGUUAUCAUAUCCACAUAGUGAGUCAGUGUCUAAGCGUCCUUUUGAUUUAGUUCAUUCCGAUGUAUGGGGUCUGGCUCCCUUCACUUCGAAAGGGGGUCAUAAAUACUAUAUUAUUUUCAUAGAUGACUUCUCUCGUUACACAUGGCUUUAUUUCAUGACUUCUCUAGUGAGGUGUUGUCCAUUUAUAAGCGUUUUGCUGCCAUGGUUCAUACUCAGUUCUCUUCUCCCAUUCGUGUGUUUCGUGCUGACUCCGCUGGCGAGUAUAUCUCUAAGAUGUUGCGUGGUGUUCUUGCUGAGCAAGGGACUCUCUCUCAAUUCUCUUGUCCUGGUGCUCACGCUCAGAAUGGCGUGGUUGAGCGCAAGCAUCGUCAUCUUCUUGAGACGGCUCAUGCAUUGAUGAUUGCUGCCUCUCUCCCUCCUCAUUUUUGGGCUGAGGCCGUCUCCACCUCCACCUAUCUCAUCAAUCUCCAACCUUCCGCUGCUCUACAGGGUGGUGUUCCUUUCGAGUGUCUUUUUGAUCGUUCUCCUGAUUAUUCGAUGCUUCGCUUGUUUGGUUGUGUUUGAUAUGUUCUUCUUGCCCCCCGCGAACGCACCAAACUGACCGCUUAGUCUGUUGAGUGUGUCUUCUUAGGCUAUAGUGAUGAGCAUAAGGGCUAUCGUUGUUGGGAUCCUAUCGGUAGUCGGAUGCGUAUCUCUCGGGAUGUGACUUUCGAUGAGUCUCGUCCCUUCUACCCACGCCUAUCUUCCUCGACCUUUUCAGUGGAGGAUAUCUCUUUCCUCACUUUUCCUGACACACCUAUCACACCCGUCGAGCCUUUGCCUAUUCGUUCCGCUCCCUCUGCUUCUCCACCUCCAGUCAAUUUGUCGCCACCAUCUUCCACGAUCUCCUCGCCUAGCAUGUCAUCGGAUUCUACACCUUCAUCUCCGGUGACUUCUUCGUCGCCACUCCCCGAUUCUACCUUGGCGAUUCCUCCUUCCAUUGUUCCAUCGUUUCCUUAGUGUUACACUCGUCGUUCACGUUCUGUGGAUACCUCUGUGGAUGUGUCGCCAUCCUCGUCUCAGCCUACUUAUGGCUUGCGUUCUCGUCCUCGUCCGCCUGUUGAUCAUUUUGGAUUUUCCACUGCUGGUGCUGCUGUUCUUGAGCCGACUACUUAUCAUCAGACUGUUGUUCAUCCUGAAUGGCAGUUUGCGAUGGCAGAGGAGAUUGCUACUCUUGAACGCACUGGUACGUGGGAUCUUGUUCCCCUUCCUCCCGGAGUCCGUCCCAUCACUUGUAAGUGGGUCUACAAGGUUAAGACUCGCUCCGAUGGUUCUCUUGAGCGUCACAAAGCUCGUCUUGUGGCUCGUGGUUUUCAGNNNNNNNNNNNNNNNNNNNNNNNNNNNNNNNNNNNNNNNNNNNNNNNNNNNNNNUCAGCAGGAGCAUGGUCGUGAUUAUGACGAGACUUUUGCUCCUGUGGCUCAUAUGACCACUGUUCGUACACUUCUUGUCGUGGCCUCUACACGCCACUGGUCUAUCUCUCUGCUUGAUGUUAAGAAUGCUUUUCUUAAUGGUGAGCUGCAUGAGGAGGUGUACAUGCAGCCACCACCUGGGUAUUCUGUUCCUGAUGGCAUGGUAUGUCGUCUUCGUCGCUCUCUCUAUGGCCUUAAGCAAGCCCCCCGCGCCUGGUUUGAGCGUUUUGCCUCGGUGGUGACUGCCGCUGGUUUUUCAGCCAGUGUUCAUGAUCCAGCAUUGUUUAUUCACCUUUCUCCUCGUGGUCGGACUCUUCUUCUCUAUGUUGAUGACAUGGUCAUCACUGGGGAUGACCCCGAGUAUAUUGCCUUUGUCAAGGCCCGUCUUAGUGAGCAGUUCCUUAUGUCUGAUCUUGGACCUCUUCGCUACUUUCUUGGGAUUGAAGUCUCUUCUACCUCUGAUGGCCUUUUUAUAUCCCAGGAAAAGUAUAUCCAGGAUCUUCUUGCUCGUGUUGCUCUUACUGAUGAGCGCAUUGUUGAGACUCCUAUGGAGCUCAAUGUUCACCUCUGUGCUACUAAUGGUGAUCCCCUGCCUGACCCGACGCGUUAUCGUCUCUUGUUGGCAGACUUGUUUAUCUAGCUGUCACUCGUCCGGAUAUCUCUUAUCCGGUUCAUAUUCUGAGCCAGUUUGUCUCUGCUCCCACAUCGGUUCACUAUAGUCAUCUCCUCCGUGUUCUCCGAUAUCUUCGCGGCACGAUCUCUCAUCGUCUAUUCUUUCCUCGCUCCAGUUCUUUACAGCUUCAGGCCUAUUCGGAUGCUACGUGGGCUAGUAAUCCUUCCGGUCGCCGUUCACUUUCUGCUUACUGUGUUUUUCUUGGUGGUUCUCUCAUUGCCUGGAAGACGAAGAAACAGAUUGCAGUUUCCCGUUCGAGUGCAGAGGCUUAGUUGCGAGCGAUGGCUCUUUUGACGGCAGAGGUGACUUGGUUAUGGUGGUUACUUCAGGAUUUUGGUGUUUCUGUCACUACACCGACUCUGCUCCUAUCUGACAGUACGGGUGCUAUUAGCAUUGCGCGCGAUCCUGUGAAGCAUGAACUCACCAAGCAUAUUGGUGUUGAUGCUUUCUAUGUGCGCGCUGGUGUGCAGGAUCAGGUCAUUGCUCUUCAGUAUGUGCCUUCCGAGUUACAGUUGGCGGAUUUCCUGACGAAGGCCCAGACUAGAGCACAGCAUGGCUUUUAUCUCUCCAAACUCAGUGUUGUUCAUCCACCAUGAGUUUGAGGGGGGUGUUAGAGUUAUAAUAUAAGUCAUGUACCCUUUUGUAUUUAUCCCAAUAUAUAAGGGGUUUCCUGCAUAUAGUCCACCACCUGUACAUGUAUAUAUACCGGCCUAUGGCCUCAUGGGAAUACAAGUUGCUUAUUCCUAACACUACUGACCUAGUGUAGCAAGCUAGCAGGAUGCAAUUAGAUGAGUACUAGUAUCUUGCAUGCACCAUGUACUUGUACUCCGUUUAGCAUCACGGUGGAAUAUCAUAAUUGGCUAACCCGCGUUUGACUAUUUUACCAUUUGUUAUACUUUGUUUAACCAACUUAUUAUUAAUUCCAUGGCUAUUUUUUGCAGCAGAUUAUAAAGUAAGUUCAGCACAGCACAGUUCAACAACCGGAAACUGAGCCUUAAGUGUAUAGCUUAUCUGCUUAUGAAUGAAGCUAUGAUUUGCUUCUGAGUUAUGAUUCGAGCAAGUACUUGUUUACAUUUACCUCCGAGAACCUGAUAGCAAGAUGUCAUGCUUCUGAUUCAGCACGACCCAUGUAUUAUUUUUUUUCUCCCUCCCUCCAAAUUUUGUAGCAUGGUAAACUAGAAGUGUUGUAUGUAUAGCAAGCGGACGAGAAGUAGUCAACUAGACGCAACUAGUCUAUGAGCCGCUACCCAGCAUCUAGACUCGACUUGAGUCUUGUCUCGUAAACCCCAUUGAAUGAUUUGUGUGAGUUCAUGCUACAGUUACCUGUACAAAUUGAACUAUCAAUGGAAUCAUUAUGUUGUAGAAUUCUUAAUGCAUAUGCAAAAAAACAAUUACUGCCAGAUGUUGUUUAGAAGAUUUAGCUCGUACGGAUCGCAGCUGGUUUGACAACAAUAUUGGCAAAUCGUUUCAGUAUGCCAAGGAUUACGGGUGUAUCCACAAUUUAUUUAGGGUUACUUAGCCUAUUUCUUGUACCAUGUCUCUAUCCCGUGAAAUUCUGAGUCAAAAUGUCAAAAUAUGGAAGCAUAUACUGUGUUGUCAGAAAUUUAGAAUGAUGGUGUAAGUUGUCACACAGAAUAACAUCUUAAGAACGUUAUCCAACAUAAAGGAGGAAGGCAUUAACAUAGACAUGUAAUAAUAUCAAUCACCUCAAAACCAGCAUCGAACGGAAGGCGUGCAGCAGUUUCUUUAGCACUGCCACUGAAAUACCGCCCGGAGCUGAAGUUUACCUGCAUGACACCAUUAAAAGCUUCCAGCAGUUAAUCAACAGGAAAUCGAAGAAAAGCAAGGAACGCACAAAUCCAAGGACUUACAUCACUAGCAUUUACGCCAGCAUAUAUUAUUUUAACUAGCGCACUUUGUGGUUCAAUGGGCAAUCUCAAUCGCACACGAUCAAGUCUUGUAGCAUUGCGGAAAUUAUGGCUGAGUGUGUGAACAACUCUACAAAAUAAUAGAGACAAUCAUUAGUGUUCAGAUCUCAUAUAGUGUAGAAACUUAAUUGACAAGCAAUACAGUGUCGAGAUCACAUAGUGUCAACAGUUUUUGGAUACUUCUGCUGUUAUACCUCUGAGGUCUCAUCUAUGUUGCUGAUAAACAACAUAUAUUUCAGAAACAGACAUUGAUAUGGAAAUUCAGAUAGCGUAACUGAGAUAAUAUCGCAUAGCUAUCCAUUGUUACACACAACAGAGUAUGUAAUUAUUCAAUAAAACAAUCUUUGCAAUAUGUGAUUACUGCACAAUUCUGAUGAUUUGAUUUGGUCACAUCAUCAAAUGGGAAGCUUUCAGUUAAAACUUUCUACGAGUUCCUGAAACUGAAUGAGUGGAAUCAUCCACACAAGUUUUUGUGGGAUGUGAAAAAUCCACUUAAUCUAAAAAUCUUCCGUCGGCUGACAGUGCAUAGGAGACAAAAGAUAACCUGAAAGGUAGGGAGUGGAAACGAGAUCAACUUGUCAUUUUGUGAGCGGGAGGAAAGUAUCAACCCCUUGUUUCUGUUGUGCCCUUUGGCUAGGUUUCUAUUGUGCAUUUGAUUUUCCUUGUGUGUCUAGAACUGUGCCUAAACUGAUUAGGCGAUGGAUGAAGUUGGGAGCUGUAAAGCAGAAAAUUUUACUAUGUGUCAUGUCCGGGGGUAACUGUUGUUUGCUGGGUCAUUUAGACUUGUUUUCAGAAUUCCAAAAUCCAGGAAACCUACUAAUGCAGUGUAUCAAGAUUGCUACCGGAUGAUGCUUGGCCAAUUCUGCAAUGGGGAGAGAGAUGCAAUGAUAGGGAUGUUUUUGACAUGUUCCACAAGAGCACGCGUGGAAGAUGAACUUCAGAAAGCUUUUGUUAGAGAGCGUCUGCUCUUUUUUCGAGAAAACGCAAAAGCCUUUGCGUUUCAUUGCAUUGAAAAGAGGGGGGAAAACAUCCUCCUAAGAGGCCAGUACAACGGUGUUACAAAUGGAUCAAUGGACGUCCCAGGAGGAGGGCAGGGUGACCCUAAGCCCUUUAGCCCCUGCCUUAGCCCAACUACUGGACUCGUCCUUGAUCGCAGCAGCGAGCUCGACUAGUGAUGGGGUUACAUGGUCAAAUACACACGCAUUUCUAUGCUUCCAGAUCAUCCAGGGUACCAGGAGCGCUACGGAGGCCAGCGCUUUGCGGAGCAGGGGUGGCGUAGCGUCGCGAGCCCGCAGCCACCAGACCUGGAGCGUGGCGUCCUGGUCAGGCACCGGAGCCGGGAGAUGCAGCCAGGACAUGAUUCCGUGCCAGGUCUGCUUCGCGAAUGGACAUUUGAGCAACAGGUGCUGCAUCGUUUCCGGCUCUUGAUCGCAUAGGAGGCACCGAGGGUGGUGUGUGAGGCCAUGGCGGGCAAGGCGCUCAGCAGUCCAGCAACGGUCCUGAUUGGCGAGCCAAUGAAAGAACCUGACCUUCGACGGGGCCCAACCCUUCCAAAUCAGCUUCCAUGAGCGGCAAGCGAUAGAUCCGUGGAAGGUGGCUUGGUAGCAGGACCUAGCUGUGUAGUUGCCGUUGGCCGUCCAUUUCCAGGUUAGCUUGUCCGGCUCUGGGGAAAGGGUGGUGCGAGACACCAGCAACCAAAGUUGGAGAUACUGCCCAAUCUCCUGGAGGCCAAGGAUGCCGCGGAUAUCCCGCGCCCAUGCGUUGCCGUGAAUGCCCUCCGCCACCGUCCGAGAUUUCUCAGUCUUAUGGGAGAACUUAUGUAAUGAGCACCUGUGUUAUCUCGAGGAGUGCCUCAGUGGGUUUGAAUUGUCAGUUUGCUGUAAAGUCGUUGGCUCUCUUUUACAUUUUCUUUUUAGAACUGUAACGAACUACUACCUUUUGGGAGGAAACCCUUUGUUUAUCGGACAAAUUGGAGAUAUCGUUUCAAUUAAGGGUAUUUUCAAGUGUCGCCUUUCAAAGAAAGCUUGAACCCUCCAAUAUGACAAAUGGAAGUUACAAAAUUAGCUAUUUGGUCAAGUAUUCUACAGGGCUACUAGCAAGAAAAGAACACUAGAACAGAAAUCAGAAUAUCAGAUAUUUUCUUUCAACCCGCAGACCUGGCAAUAUAGCAAAAUAGUACUAGUUCUUAUAACGCAAGGCUCUAAAGGACUUCUCUAGAGAGUACAGAGGCAUGGUCAGAAAAUACUGCAAGCUAUGAAAACCAUGUUCUAAAAGUUACUCACUUUCCGUUUAAGGGAUUGAUUCAGUGACUUUAAGCAUUUUAGGAGAGAAGCGUACAAGAAAAUAAUACUGUACUAAUGGGGAUUAGGGGAUUGUUGUUUACUUGAGAAUAUUAAAUAUUCUACUCCCUUCGUCUCAUAAUACAAGACGUUCUUUGACACUAGUGUAGUGUCAAAAAAUGUCUUACAUUAUGGGACGGAGGGGGUAAGUGCUAAGAAAUAUACAAAUAUAACAUAGCAGGACUACUUACAUCUUCUCAUAAAACUCAGGGGUUUGGAUGCUAGGAAAUACAUUCUUUGUUACUGUUCUUUUUGAUUUGGUAUAAUUCAACAGAUAUUUUCUUUGUUCUUCUGCUGAUGGCCAGUAUUCCAUCCCUCUCCGCUUAGUUAUCCAAAGGCAAGCACCAGCCUUGCUCUCAUCUUUUAUAAGUUCAAAUGCACCUAACCAAAAUAGAAGAGGUUCGAUUCAGAUGACAAUUAAGAGAAACAAAGAAAACAUCAUAUGAAAGACAUGAUGCGUACGUAGAUAUGAUAGUAAAUAUUCCCUCUGAAAACUAAUAUAAGCUGUUUUAGAUCACUAAAGUAGUGAUCUAAAUACCUAAACUUCUAGGUUGCUAAACGUGUACAAGUCAUGGCAGGUCGAACCAUACUCACCUGGCAGGCAGUGGCGGANNNNNNNNNNNNNNNNNNNNNNNNNNNNNNNNNNNNNNNNNNNNNNNNNNNNNNNNNNNNNNUGGGCACGGGAUUGGGGGGGGGGGGGGGCAAAAUUUGAACCAAAAGCAAAAUGUGCUUGAAUACAGGUCAGACUCACAGAAAGAAAAAUCAAUCAAGCUGUUUUAGGUAGCUAGUAUGCACGUAUAUAUAUAUCCUCCCGGUAAUCGAUUUGAUGCUCUAGAAUCAGCAUACUUUACUGAUAAAAUUUAUAAAAAGCUUAAUAUAUAUAGUUAAAAAAUAUAUUCACUUUUGGAAGGAGGUCAUGACCCCCUUUGGCCUCCAAGAGGCUCCGCCAGUGCUGGCAGGGAUGUUUGACAUUGAAAAAUCGAUCCGGUCCAGCAAAGCAACAGCAAUAUAUGCAAAUUUACAAUUAAGCCUUUUAGCCUUUUAUUGUCUGUAAAUUAACAAACCCCCUACCCCAUAUUUUUGAGUUUAUCAUCACUGACACAUUCCAGUCUGACAUUCAGUUGGUCAUGUUGUCAUCAAGUGAUAAGUGAACAUAAGAGACAUGAAACAUAUGUUUAGGACUCACUGGGUCUACAAACUAGUAGACCAUUCGGCAGGUGACAUUGCCAAGAAAACCAGGUUCUGGUGAUUUUCUACUGUCAUGUCAACCAUCUCUGCAAACCACAUAAAGUUUUGGCCAGCCAUCGCUCAUACAAAUUGAAGCAUCAAUUCUUAGUAAUAUACUCAUAAAUGUUUUGCAUACAAAUGCCCAUUUUAAUUUUAAUCAUUUAGAACAUCCCACCUCAAAUAAACAUUCAAAAUAUUCAUUAAAGACCAAAUAGUGCAUGCAAUAAUUGUGAUACGUAAAAUAUAGAAAAAUGUUGAAAGUACAUGACAUAUUUAACUGCAAGUUUAAAAGUUUAGAUGUAGUAUACCAUUAAUGAUGUCAUCCAUCUCCAAGAAUCCACCAGUUGCCUGUACUAUUUUCUGAUUUAUUUGCUCAGCCAUAUUAGUUUGAACAAACUGCAUACCACAGAAAGCAAAAUAACACUUAUGAAAGAUCAUCAUGGCCUUAGUCCCUUCCAACUGUUACUAAUGAGACAAAAUAAUAUGCUAAUUGUCUGGAAUAGUGAGUUGGAUAAUAAUAUGCUAACUGUCUGGAAUAGUGAGUUGGAAAAGAAUGUGCUAAUUGUCUGGAAUAGUGAGUUGGAUUCUAAAUUAUACUCCAACCCCUGCAAGUAGUGAAUAUCCUCAAAUUUUCUAAGAUGGAAUUAUCGAUAAAACUUGGCAUUUGGCCCACUUAGUUGGUUUUGCCAUUUUGCUAAACUACACGUCUAUGCCAUUCUAUCUCAGAUUAAAUAAAAAAGGAGGAUUGUGCAAAAUUUUCUGUGUGAAUGUUUGGUCCUGAAAGAUAUCUGCCCCUGGUACUUGAGAUUGCAACAGCUGCACUCUCUGGUAAAUCUGGUGACUUUCCAAGUUGAUAGGAUUUUACGUAGUGGAGAAAACAAUGUGCUCUACUGUACCAUUGUCAAGUUAAUAUCUUGACAGACUAUAAAACCCAUCGGCAGAUUCCCACAAGAUUAGAAUUUUAAAAAAUGCACAGCAAUAGCUGAAAUAAUAUGGCGAGCAAACUCAGUAUGUGUAUGUGGUGGAAAAAUAAAUAAACAGACAGAUAAUAAAUACUCCCUCCGUCCCAUAAUGUAAGACGUUUUUCCACACUAGUGUAGUGUCAGAAAACGUCUUACAUUAUGUGACGGAGAAGUACAUCAUGAUAUAAUAACAUAUAAUAACUGACAGCAAUCAUGCAAUUCGUUAAUACCUCGGGGCAGAGCACAUUGACACGAACACCAUGGCGUUUCAAUGGAGCAAGUGAUCGAGUAAACAUAACAACACCACCUGACGAAAAUGAAGCUUGAGAUCACAAAGUGCACACAUGAUUCAAACUUAUCAUAUGGCAUAAAGGACUAGAAGUUUUUUUUUGGCGAGGGAUAAAGGACUAGAAGUUAAUACUAAAACAUGUAGCUAGCAGCAGCAUUUAACAUUCUAUAUAACCGAAACAUGUAUCUUGAACCAUGUCAAAAAACAAUUAGCAAGAAUAUAAAUUUCAAUAAACCAAUAUUCAUAAUUGGAAUUCAUAUGGACGCUGGCCUUGCAUCAGCACUGUGAUCUGCUGCCAGAGAAAAAAAGUAGAAGUAUACAGGAUGGUGUAUAAACCUUUUGUCCCGGUAUAUAUGGGAUCGGCGAACAUAGGAUAAAGGCCCGCAGCUGAACCAAUAUUGAUUAUGACACCAGGCUUCUUCCGGGAUCGCAUUAUUUGACUCUGAUGAAUAUAUCCAACAGUAAGUUUCGUGCAUAUGGCAUUUGCAUGAAGUACAAACAAGUAACAUGUAUAACAAUUGAUAUUAUCUUUCGAAUUACUCCAAGAUAAAUAAUUAAAAAAUCCUCUUCCGGCUUCAAAGGAAACCAUAAGGACAGGCCAUGUUAUGACAAAAUCAUUUCCUCUUAACUUCCUCAGGUAAUGGUUAAUGGAAACAAAUAAAGGGAAACCGGAUACUUUCUUCUCUUAAAUAACUGGAUAGCAAACAAUUAAUGCUAUGCCGAUUUCUGAGUUAUAUUACUUAAUAUGUCUAAGCAAUAAGAAAGCAUAGACAGUACUCAGUGUUACCAUUGGUCAAAUCGGUCCUCAGCGCGAUCCCAAUCCACCAGAUGCUAGCCCUGACACCCCCGAAGAAGACCCUGAAGCAACUAGAGAAGAUCCAGCGCGGCUUCCUCUGGGCUGGCCGUGCGGCUGCUCAGGGAGGGCACUGUCACAUUAACUGGCGCGCGGUCAGUCGGCCUCUCGCACUGGGAGGGCUGGGCAUCCGAGAUUUGGAGCGCACUGGGCUUGCACUUCGGCUGCGGUGGCUCUGGCUAUCUAGGACGGACGCCGACAGGGCCUGGAAAGGCAUGGACCUGCAGUUCUCCAGGGAGGAGCUCGGCCUCUUCUAUGCCUCCACCUUCAUGGUGCUAGGUGAUGGCCGCACGGCGCUGUUCUGGGAAGACCGAUGGCUGCAUGGGCAGUCGAUCCGCGAGCUAGCACCCCUGCUGUACCUAUGCAUUCCCAAGAACAGGAGGAGGGUGCGGACGGUGGCGGAUGGCCUCGCCGGCAACGCGUGGGCCCGAGACAUCCGCGGUGUCGUGGGGCUGCAAGAGAUUGGCCAAUACCUGACGACAUGGCAGCGCGUCACGCACACCGCCCUGUCCGCCGAGCCAGACAGGCUUGUCUGGAAAUGGACUGCUAAUGGAGUAUACUCGGCGCGAUCAUGCUAUCAGGCCACCUUCCACGGAUCCCUCGCUUGCCACUCCUGGAAGUUAAUCUGGAAGGGACGGGCUCCGCCGAAGGUCAAGUUCUUCCACUGGCUUGUGAGACUAGACCGAUGCUGGACCGCGGACAGACUCGCCCGUCGCGGCCUACCUCACCACGCCCGAUGCCUACUUUGCGAUCAGGAGCCAGAGACCAUUCACCACCUGCUACUGGCAUGUCCCUUCUCGCGGCAAGCCUGGCACGAGGCUCUUUCCUGGCUGCGCUUACCAGCCCCCACACCGGAGCAGGAUAUCUCCAUUCAGGACUGGUGGAUUAGGGCGAGAGAUGCAACACCACCAUCACUCCGCAAGGCGCUGAGGUCCACCACACUGCUAGUUCCAUGGAUGAUCUGGAAACAUAGGAAUGCGUGUGUAUUUGAUCAUGCCACUCCGUCGCUCCCCGAGCUCGCGGAUGGGAUCAAAGAUGAGAUGAGAUGUUGGGCUAGAGCUGGGGACAUGGGGCUUAGGGUAGUCUUGCCCCCAUCCUGGGAUGUCCAUUGAGUUGCUUGUAAUCUGUUGUAAUCGUCUCCUCUGAGACUGACUUUCCCUCUUUUCAAUACAAAGAAACGCACAUCUCUGCGUUUUCUCGAAAAAAAAAGUACUCAGUGUUACUACAGAAUUAGCAGAUUGAGCUACUGAACAAAUAAAUAUGGCAAUGUUAUUGCAAUAAUCAACACUUACUGCAAUGCGAGUACCAUCAAUAACAGCGACAAAGUUCACAUUUAUGGCAUGCCUCCAUGUCUUAGUUCCGUCGGAUAUAUCAUCAUAAACUAAUGUUAGGUUAGCAAUUCCAGCACAAUUGAUGCAGAUAUCUAAUCCACCAUAUGUGUCUACAUGUUUCGCAAAAGCAGCAGCUAGAUCACCUGCAUAUCAAAUCACUGUAACUUCAAAAUCAUGGAAAACCUGAAGAGCAGCAAAAUCGUGCUGUUAUUUAACAUUUGAAACCAUACUACAAGUAAUCUGCUUGACAAAACAAAUCAGAACACACCAGAAGAGUUUUUGUAAUGCCUGAUGUGCAAGAAAAUAAAUAAACAAAGCCCUGUUAAAGGAGAUUUGACGCUUCUUCAAAGCGAACGGAAAUAAAUACCAUACUGGUGCACUGGGUAUUAAAACCAUUUGAUGCAUUAGAUACUAGUUUAAUUUCUGAAAUACAGCAGAGAUGGUUGGUAUUUGAUAGCUUUGCUUCGCAGUAUUUUCAGCUUGUACUUAGAAGGCAAAAGAUUAGAAGUAACACCAGACAUACAUGAUCUCUACAAUUUUAUGGUCUUCAAAUCACAUUUAGAGUAAUGCUUGACAAGUAUACUGUAUGAAUGAAGUGACGCAUUUCUUAUCAUACUUUGAUUUGAUGCACUUAUCUUUCCAAAUAUUUUGGCAUCAACAAACGGUUAAAAAGGUACUGACGCAAAUUGACUGCUCUUUGCUUCCUUCCCCUGAAAGAACUCUUACCUUCAACAGAAACAUCACACUUGACGAAUAUGGCAGACGGUACUCCAAGAUCUCCAUGAAACUUUUUGUUUUCCUUUUGAACUAGCGAAGUAACUUCUCUUCCAUUUUGUUCAGAGAAAUCGACCACAGUCACAAAUAGACCCUUUUGUGCAAAAGCGAUGCAGAGCGCUUUCCCUUCAGAAAAUAAAACAAGGAGUUAACGGUCGAUAUGUUAAAUGCAAUCUACUAAAAUCAUUGCCCUGCACAGAAUUAUUUGACAUAGUAACUGACAGGUACCAAGUACCGAUACUAUACGGCUGCAAGUAUGGAUUGCCUGCUACCAUGCUAGUAGUAUCUCAUAACUCUUGAGACAUUUCUUGCCGUGUACGGGGCCACGGGCACAACAGCCAUAUUACAGAAUUUAGUUCUGUCGGUGUGGCGUUCAUAGUUCACUUUUCACUCUGGCAAACACAGCAGUAAAUUGACUCGUUAUUGCAGCCGAAGAAGUGCAGCUGCAUGUCCACCCCGCUCGCUCAUUUGUACAAGCACAAUGACGCGGCAGCGAUUAUCCGAUGCUUUCCAGGCAGGAACCCAUCAGUUCGAGAUCAGGUACUAGUACUAGCCGGCGUAAUUAGCCCACCCCUACCCAGUCCCCACAUCGAGCUAUCACCAACAGGUUUACACUAAGCAAAUCCGUUCCAGCUCACAGGUCAGCCCGCAAUCAAGCAUCCCCAGCCAGUAGCAACCGCGCUUGGCCACGCAGAAGAGCGGCAAGGGCGCAUCAGAUCAGAGCCAGAAUUUCGGCGAAGACGCAGGCCCGCGCGCGGACGCGGGUACGGAAGAGGAAGGGCGCUCCCUUACCGAUGCCGGAGGCGCCGCCGGUGACGAGGGCCGACAUGCCGGGCUUCAGCUCCAUCUCGCCGGCGCGGUGAGGGCAGACCGACCAGCUUCAGGCGAGCGAGAGAGGCACGGAGCGGGACGGGGUGGGUAUGGAGAGCGCGGCCGGCCUGCGGAGCUGCCGAGGCGGGAGCUGUCUGCUGGGGGAGACAGGGUCGUCCCGUCUGCUUCCUUCCUCCGUUUGAUCUGUUUGGGAGGAGAGAGUGAUCCGAUUGGGGAAAUGACGGCAAGGCUCCGUGACCGGUGAGGACGCGAAUGGGGUGAUCCAACGGCGCCACACGCGAAUUCGUUGGGCGUGGCCGGUAAAUGUUUUUCCAAAAAUGCUACACAUACGGACCCUUCCAUAACUUUUCCUCACCGUUCCCUUCCCUGAUUUUCAUUCAGGUGGGGUCCAGCUCUCACCCUUAAUCCAAUUAAAACAUGCCAACUCAAGAAUCAACCUGUAAACUUAAGUAAACAUCCCUAGGUGUAGCAUUUCUCAUGUUUUUCCUUUUCUUUUCGGGAACACUGUUUUAUGGGUUGUUUUAUUUUAUUUUUAUUUUUAUUUUUUGCGAAUAAAUCUUGUGCAUUACUCAACCUUCAGGGGUUGUUUGGAUAGCCAGUUUAUAGAGAACCGGUUUUAGUUAAACACAAUUUCUGUUAUAACAACCUAAAAACUUGUUUAAAUGAUCCAGCUAAAACGGGGAUAAAUUAAACUGAGUUUUAUAGAACCUAAAAAGUGAGUUUUUAGAAGAAAAAAAACGACUAAUAGUUAUAUAGCCGUUUGGUACCUAUGAGUAGAUGGCAACGAGUUGUCUUCCUCGUCGUGUUCCAUGGGCCGUAACCUCACGGCAAGCUUCGCAAGCCGCGUGUUGGUCCUGGGGCCCGUGGCAACGACUGCGAUACUAUCGAGAGCGAGGGGAAGAGACAGCCCUCGGUCUGAUCAUCCCAUUCGCUCUUACGAUCUAAACAUGGUUCAGUAGUCAAAGCAACCUCGUCACUUCCGUGUAUCCAUCGGACGGCGACACUUUCGGAGGUUUCUUAGGGACCGAUUCAAUGUGCAUAGAUUGACUGAAUGCAGAAAGCCUUCCACUGACAGGCGAUCGUGUUUUUCACACGAUUUCUCCUUACUCAUGUCAGCAUUCUCACUUUUGAUAUCUCCAGGUCUUGUCAUCAAAAAAUUUACAUGAUUGACACAAUGUCCCGCUACUAACACUUGAAAAAAGCUGCUUUCAAGGUCUCGUCGCUUCAAUGAAUCACUUGAGCCCUGAGACAUUUUCGAUGGCAUGGAGCUAGACCAGUGAGCUAUUACGCUUUCUUCAAAGGAUGACGAAUACAUACGUAGAUUAGUACUUUCGCCCUUCUAGGUAACCAACAGAGAGCACGUUGGGAAGCUCAAAUCUGAUUGUCAACAUAAUCUGUACAUAAUAUAACUAACUGCUUCUCAAAUUAAGGUCCACUAAAUGAUGUUAUAUUUUAUUUUUGAUCCAAACAAGGAACUACAUAUGCUUAUCUUAACAGAAAAACUAACUAAAACUGGUUUUCCUAAACCUCGUUUUCCAAAAUCUGGCAUUCAAUUCUUGUUAUCCAAACAACCACUCAGGGUUACAAUCAACAAGACACAAGUGCUAAAUGUUUUCCGGGCCAGAACAAAGCCACGCUGCAGUACAAUUGUCAUGCCUAACAUAACUAGCUAAGAAACACUACUAGGAAAAACCCUACCACUAGCGCGGGACAUCUAGCUACCAGUAGCGUCGACAAACGCGCUACUGCUACGACGCUAUAGCUAUUUUUUAAAAGUAGCGCGCUUUAUGGCCAGCGCUACUGGUAAAGUCACAUAUCAGUAGCGCUACGAACCCACACGCGCUACUAAUAUGUGACUUUACCAGUAGCGUUGUCUUUUAACCCGCACCACUACUAAUCCCGCAUAUUUCUUUUUUGUAUUUUCACACGGCUAUACAUAUUAAUAUACAACAACAAUAAUAAUUUUGCAAAAAACAACAUUUAGAUAAAAGUGGAUGGGCGCAAGUGAUCAAGUUAGGUUAGAGAGAAAAUAUGAUGUUACAAAUUGCAACAUCAUAUUUUCCUCUAAUUCACCUUGGUCACUUGCAUCCAUCCAUUCUAAUCUAAUUUCUAUCAUAUAACUUAUCAUCCUCUUAAUCAUCUAACAACUCAUCAUCCUCUUAAUCAUAUAAGAACUCAUCAUCCUCUUAAUUAUCUAACAACUCAUUAUCAUCUUAAUCAUAUCAAGUUAAAAUGUCAUAAAACAGAAAAACAUCAUAAUAAUCAUAAACUAAAAAAGAUCAUCUAUCUUGGCUAGCACAUAUUAUUCUCUUCUAAGUAGAACCUAUUACUCUCUACUGGGUAAAACAGCAUAAAAAGGUAAGCUUCACUCUAUCCAUUGUGAAGAAUAGAGAUCCACCUAUCUUCGACAUGUGGCAUACGUAAAUCCUUCGCGUGUCCGCCAAGCAGUUGUCGGUGGCUUUUCAUUAAAUUGUCAAAUCCUUUAAGUUUGAGGCUUUCACCCAUUCUAGAAAGUGAGUAUGCAUUGUGGAAACAUAUAGGCCACCAUGGUCGUAAGCUGAUAACAUUCAAAUGAUGACCUUCUAUAAUCAUCAGUUCAGACACAACCUUUGGUGGAAAUUUCUAUUAAGAACAUAAUAAUAACAUAGUUAGCAAUCUAGUUUUCCUUAAAAAAAUUAUGUAUGCAAAAGAUGGACUAAUUAAUGACACAAUGGUAAAAAAUAAUCUUAUCAUGAUAUCUACAUGGAAAUUAUUAGGGUUCAACUCGUGCACUAGUGGCACGUAUUCAGAAUCAAAUUUUCCAAUAUCUUCAUAAUUGUUCUUAUAAACAUCAACAUCAUCAAUAAAUGAGAUCGGAUGGUUUUUCUCCAACCAAGUUAGAUCGGAGCCAAGACUGUAGUAGGUCAUGCCUACUGUUUUUUGAGUUUUUUUUAAGAAGAGAAAUAAGUUGUAAAUUAAAAAUAAACAAGUUAAGUAGGGAUGAACACCAACUAUUUUUAAAUAAACAAUGCAAAUCACUUAACAAAUAUGUUUGUCAAACUCACAUUAAGGUAAAACUGGAAGCAUAUCGAUAUCCACCCAAAUGUCGAUAUUACCUUCAAUAUCAUCUUCAGGACAAAUAUCGAAGGUUAUUUCCAUAUCCUCUUGAGAUCCAUAUGCCUUGCCUAGAGCUUCCCAAGUUGAGCAAUGCUACGGCGCUAGAAAUCCCCGGCAACGGUGCCAGAAAUCCUUCUGCUACCUCUUGAGCUUGCGUUGGUUUUUUCCCUUGAAGAGGAAAGGGUGAUGCAGCACAGGAGCAGUAAGUAUUUCCCACAGUUUGAGAACUAAGGUAAAAACACGGAAAAACAAGAACUGACACUUGGCACUGAGUUAAUAAGUUUGUCCCAAAAAAGAUAUAAAAGGCAUACAAAACAUCCAAAGUUUGACAAGAUAAUAGCAUGGAACCAUCAAAAAAUAUAGAUACUUGGAGACAUAUCAGCAUCGCGGCCUCAAACUUUCAGAAACGACAACUUAGGUUUCUUGCCAAACCAUUAUUCAUACGGUGUCAUCUCAACGGAUUUAGACGGUGCCCUAUUUAAAGUGAAUGCGGCAGUUUCCAAUGCAUAUUCCCAAAAUGAUAGCGGUAAAUCAGUAAGAGACAUCAUAGAUCGCACCAUAUCCAAGAGAGUGCGAAUACGACAUUCAUACACAUCGUUACGCUACGGUGCGCCAGGCGGCGUGAGUUGUGAAACAAUUCCACAUUUUCUUAAGUGCGUGCCAAACUCGUGACUCAAAUAUUCUCCUCCAUGAUCAGAUCGUAAGAACUUUAUUUUCUUGGCACAUUGAUUCUACACCUCACUCUGAAAUUCCUUGAACCUUUCAAAGGUUUCAAAACUUGUGCUUCAUUAAGUAGACAUACCCAUAUCUUCUUAAAUCAUUAGUGAGGCCUGAGAACAUAACGAUAGCCACCGCGAGCCUCAACGCUCAUUGGACCGCAUACAUCAGUAUGUAUUAUUUCCAACAAGUUGGUUGCUCGCUCCAUUAUUCCGGAGAACGGAGUCUUGGUCAUCUUGCCCAUGAGGCACGGUUCACAUGUGUCAAAUGAUUUAAAAUCAAGAGACUCCAAAAGUCCAUCAGUAUGGAGUUUCUUAAUGCGCUUGACACCGACAUGACCAAGGCGGUAGUGCCACAAGUAUGUGGGACUAUCAUUAUCAACCUUACAUAUUUUGGUACUCACACUAUGAAUAUGUGUAACAUCAUGUUCGAGAGUUGAUACGUCCAUUUUGCAUCAUGCCUUCAUGUUGUUAUUUAUUGCUUUUUGGGCUCUUAUAUUACUUGUAGUACCAUAUUUAUGCCUUUUCUGUCUUAUUUUGCAAGGUUUAUUUGAAGAGGGAGAAUUCAGGCAGCUGAAAUUCUGGACUGGAAAAGGAGCAAAUCCUAGUCCACUAUUCUGCACAUCUCCAAAUGCCCUAAAAAUUUACGUGGAUUUUUUCUGGAUUAUAUUAAAAAAUACUGGGCGAAAGAACUAUCGGAGGGGGGCCACUAGGGCUCCACAAGCCCCCACUCCGCCACCACCCCCUGGUGGCGGUGGGCAAGCUUGUGGGCUGCCUGAAGGCCCACUAGCCCCCUCUUUUGCUAUAUGAAGCGUCCUGGUCUGGAAAAAAAUCAAUAGGGAGCUUUUUCGUGGUUUCGCCGCCGCCACGAGGCGGAACUUGAGCAGAUCCAAUCUAGAGCUCCGGCAGGACGAUCCUGCCGGGGAAACUUCCCUCCCGGAGGGGGGAAAUCGUCGCUAUCGUCAUCACCAACACUCCUCUCGUCGGAGGGGAGGCAUCUUCAUCAACAUCUUCAUCAGCACCAUCUCCUCUCCAAUCCCUAGUUCAUCUCUUGUAACCAAUCUUCAUCUCGCAACUCCGAUUGGUACUUGUAAGGUUGCUAGUAGUGUUGAUUACUCUUUGUAGUUGAUGCUAGUUGGAUUACUUGGUGGAAGAGUUUAUGUUCAGGUCCUUGAUGCUAUUCAUUACACCUCUGGUCAUGAUUAUGAUUAUGUCUUGUGAGUAGUUACUUUUGUUCCUGAGGACAUGGGAUAAGUCAUGCUGAUAAUAGUCAUGUGAAUUUGAUAUUCGUUUGGUAUUUUGAUAUGUUGUAUGUUGUUUUUCCUCUAGUGGUGUUAUGUGAAUGUCGACUACAUAACACUUCACCAUAUUUGGGCCUAGAGGAAGGCAUUGGGAAGUAGUAAGUAGAUGAUGGGUUGCUGGAGUGACAGAAGCUUAAACCCCAGUCUAUGCGUUGUUUCGUGAGGGGCUGAUUUGGAUUCACUAGUUUAAUGCUAUGGUUAGACUUUGUCUUAAUUCUUCUUUUGUAGUUGCGGAUGCUUGCAAGAGAGGUUAAUCAUAAGUGGGAUGCUUGUCCAAGUAAGGGCAGUACCCAAGCGCCGGUCCACCCACAUAUCAAACUAUCAAAGUAACGAACGCGAAUCAUAUAAACAUGACGAAACUAGCAUCACAGAAAUUCACGUGUGUCCUCGGGAGCGUUUUUCCUCCUAUAAGACUUUGUUCAGGCUUGUCCCUUGCUACAAAAGGGAUUGGGCCACUUGCUGCACCGUUGCUACUACUUGUUACUUGUUACUUUUUGCUCGCUACGUUUCACCUCGCUACACAAUCACUUGUUACCGCUACUUUCAGUGCUUGUAGUUAUUACCUUGCUGAAAUCCAUUUAUUAGAGCCUUCUGCUCCUCGUUGGGUUUGACACUCUUACUUAUCGAAAGGACUAUGAUUGAUCCCCGAUACUUAUGGGUCAUCAAGACUCUUUUAUGGCGCCGUUGCCGGGGAGUGAAGCGCCUUUGGUAAGUGGAAAUUGGUAAGGAAACAUUUUUAUACUGUGCUGAAAUUUAUUGUCACUUGUCACUAUGGAAACUCUUCCUUUGAGGAGUUUGUUCGGGGUAUCUUCACCACGAACGGAAGCACGAGGAGUUGCUCCUCAACCUGAGGUACCUACUGAAAAUAUCUUUUAUGAAAUUCCUUUGGGUAUGCUUGAGAAGCUGCUGGCUAAUCCUUUCACAGGAGAUGGAUCUUCACAUCCAGACUUGCAUCUAAUCUAUGUAGAUGAAGUUUGUGGUUUAUUUAAGCUUGCAGGUUUGCCCGAGGAUGAGGUAAAGAAGAAAGUCUUUCCUUUAUCUUUGAAGGAUAAGGCGUUGACAUGGUAUAGGCUAUGUGAUGAUGCUGGAUCAUGGGGCUACAAUCAGUUGAAAUUGGAAUUUCAUCAAAAGUUCUAUCCUAUGCAUUUAGUACAUCGUGAUCGGAACUUUAUUUAUAACUUUUGGCCUCAUGACAGGGAAAGCAUAGCUCAAGCUUGGGGAGGCUUAAAUCAAUGCUAUAUUCAUGCCCCAAUCAUGAGCUCUCGAGAGAAAUCAUCAUUCAAAACUUUUAUGCUCGGCUUUCUCAUGAAGAUCGUACCAUGCUUGACACUUCUUAUGCCGGUUCUUUUAUGAAGAAGGAUAUUGAUCACAAGUGGAAUUUAUUGGAGAGAAUCAAACGCAACUCUGAAGAUUGGGAGUUGGAGGAAGGUAAGGAGUCAGGUAUGAAUUUCCAGUUUGAUUGCGUUAAAUCUUUUGUUGAGACAAACACUUCUAGAGAUUUUAGCGCUAAGUAUGGACUUGACUCUGAGAUAGUAGCUUCUCUAUAUGAAUCUUUUGUUGCUCGUGUUGAUCUUCUCAAAGAGAAGUGGUUUAAAUAGCAUCCUCCUGUAGAAAGCAACAUAACCAAAACCAAUCUAGUUGAGGAGAAAAUCAUAGCUUUUAGUGAUCCUGUUGUUCCUUGUGCUUACACCGAGAAACCACCAUACCCUGCUAGGAUAAAGGAUUAUUCUAAAGCUCCAACUGUGAUACGUAGGGGUUACAUUAGACCACUUGCACCCCCCGAGGAGAUUAGAGUUGAACCUAGUGUUGCUAUUAUCAAAGAUCUCUUAGCCGAAGACAUAGACGGGCAUGUUAUCAAAUUCUGUGAGGACUCCGCUAGAAUUGCUAAACCUCACGCGAAAGACAAACACGGACCUGUAGUUGGCCUGCCCGUUGUUUCUGUUAAGAUAGGAGAUCACUGUUACCAUGGUUUAUGUGAUAUGGGAGCUAGUGUUAGUGCAAUACCUCGUUCUCUAUAUGAUGAAAUCAAAGAUGAGAUUGCACCUGCUGAGUUAGAACCCAUUGAUGUCCUCUGGGAAUUGUGAGAGACGUAGAAGUCCUGUGUGGUAAGACGAAGUAUCCUACUGAUUUCCUCGUCCUUGGUACUGCACAAGAUAGCUUUUGUCCCAUCAUAUUUGGUAGACUCUUUCUCAACACUGUCAAUGCUCACAUUGAUUGCAUUAAGCAGACCGUCACAGUUAGUUUCGAGGGUGUGUCUCAUGAAUUUAACUUCUCCAAGUUUGGAAGACAAACCCAUGAAAGAGAGUCAUCUGGUAGAGAUGAAAUCAUUGCUCUUGCCUCUAUUGCUGUACCUCCUACGGAUCCUUUAGAGCAAUAUCUGCUUGAGCAUGAAAAUGAUAUGCAUAUGGAGGAGAGAGAUGAGGUAGAUAAAAUUGUCUUAGAACAAUAUCCUAUUCUCAAGAAUAAUCUGCCUGUUGAACUGCUUGGGGAUCCUCCCCCACCAAAGGGUGAUCCUGUGUUCGAGCUUAAACAGUUGCGUGAUACUCUUAAGUAUGCCUAUCUUGAUGAGAAGGAGAUAUAUCCUGUCAUUAUUAGUGCUCUCCUCUCAGAGCGCGAAGAGAAGAAGUUACUAAAAACUCUGAGGAAGCACCGCGUUGCUAUUGGAUAUACUCUUGAUGAUCUUAAGGGUAUUAGUCCUACUCUAUGUGAGCACACGAUUAAAACCGAUCCUGACUUUAAACCAGUUGCUGAUCAUCAAAGGAGAUUAAAUCCUAAGAUGAAAGAGGUCGUUAGAAAAGAAAUAUUAAAGCUUCUGGAAGCAGGAAUCAUUUAUCAUGUCGCUCAUAGUGAUUGGGUAAGUCCAGUACAUUGCGUACCUAAGAAGGGAGGUAUCACCGUCGUUCCUAAUUAUAAGGAUGAACUAAUCCCACAAAGGAUUAUUACCGGCUAUAGAAUGGUGAUAGACUUCCGGAAACUGAACAAGGCAACCAGGAAAGAUCAUUAUCCUUUGCCGCUCAUCGACCAAAUUCUAGAAAGGCUAUCAAAACACACACACUUCUGCUUUCCAGACGGUUAUUCAGGUUUCUCGCAAAUACCUGUUGCACAAUCUGAUCAAGAGAAAACCACUUUCACCUGCCCUUUCGGUACCUUUGCCUAUAGACGUAUGCCUUUUGGCUUAUGUAAUGCACCUGCCACCUUCCAAAGAUGUAUGAUGGCUAUAUUUUGUGACUUUUGUGAGAAGAUCGUCGAGGUUUUCAUGGAUCACUUCUCCGUUUACGGGUCUUCCUUUGAUGAUUGCCUCAGCAACCUUGAUCGAGUCUUACAGAGAUGCGAAGAAACCAACCUCGUCUUGAAUUGGGAGAAGUGCCACUUUAUGGUUAAUGAAGGCAUUGUCUUAGGACACAAAAUCUCUGAAAGAGGCAUCGAAGUUGAUAAGGCUAAGGUUGAUGCAAUUGAGAAAAUGUCUUGCCCCACAGAUAUCAGCGGUAUACGAAGUUUCCUAGGUCAUGCUGGUUUCUAUAGAAGGUUCAUUAAAGACUUCUCUAAGAUUUCUAGGUCUCUUACCAACCUCUUGCAGAAGGAUGUUCCUUUUGUUUUUUAUGAGGAUUGUGAGGAAGCCUUUGAAAUACUUAAGAAGGCUUUGAUAACCGCACCUAUUGUUCAACCACCUCACUGGAACUUGCCCUUUGAAAUCAUGUGUGACGCUAGUGAUUAUGUUGUUGGUGCUGUUCUUGGACAAAGAGUUGACAAGAAGUUGAAUGUCAUUCACUACGCUAGUAAAACUCUAGACAGUGCCCAAAGAAACUAUGCCACUACGGAGAAGGAAUUUUUAGCAGUCGUGUUUGCAUGUGAGAAGUUCAGAUCUUACAUAGUUGACUCCAAAGUCACUAUUCACUCUGAUCAUGGUGCUAUUAAGUACCUCAUGGAGAAGAAGGACGCUAAGCCUAGGCUGAUCAGAUGGGUUCUCCUGCUACAGGAAUUUGAUUUGCACGUCGUUGACCGAAAGGGUGCUGAUAACCCUGUUGCAGAUAACUUGUCUAGGCUAGAGAAUGUCCUUGAUGACCCACUACCUAUUGAUGACAGCUUUCCUGAUGAGCAAUUAAAUGUCAUCUGCACUUCACAUAGUGCACCGUGGUAUGCCCGAUUAUGCAAACUAUAUCGUAGCCAAAUACAUACCACCCAAUUUCACCUAUCAACAAAAGAAGAAAUUCUUCUUUGAUUUGAGACACUACUUUUGGGAUGAUCCUCACCUUUAUAAGGAAGGAGUAGAUGGUGUUAUUAGACGUUGUGUGCCUGAACAUGAACAUGGACAGAUCUUGCAGAAGUGUCAUUCCGAAGCCUACGGAGGACACCAUGCUGGAGAUAGAACUGCCCAUAAGGUAUUGCAAUCAGGUUUCUAUUGGCCCACUCUCUUCAAGGAUGCCCGUAAGUUUGUCUUGUCUUGUGACGAAUGCCAAAGGAUAGGGAACAUCAGUAAGCGUCAGGAAAUGCCUAUGAACUAUUCACUUGUCAUUGAACCAUUUGAUGUCUGGGGCUUUGAUUAUAUGGGACCCUUCCCGGGUUCCAACGGGUACACUCACAUCUUAGUUGCUGUGGAUUACGUUACUAAGUGGGGAGAAGCUAUCCCCACUAAAAAUGCUGAUCACCACACCUCUAUUAAGAUGCUUAAAGAAGUCAUAUUCCCAAGAUUUGGAGUCCCUAGAUACUUGAUGACUGAUGGCGGUUCACACUUCAUUCAUGGUGUUUUCCGCAAGAUGCUAGCUAAGUAUGAUGUCAACCAUAGAGUUGCAUCUCCUUAUCAUCCUCAGUCUAGUGGUCAAGUGGAGUUGAGUAAUAGGGAGAUCAAGUUGAUCCUACAAAAGACCGUCAAUAGAUCUCGAAAGAACUGGUCUAGCAAACUUGACGAUGCACUAUGGGCUUAUAGGACUGCUUAUAAGAAUCCCAUGGGCAUGUCACCGUAUAAAAUGGUCUACGGUAAGGCAUGUCAUUUACCACUUGAGCUGGAACACAAAGCUUAUUGGGCAAUCAAAGAGCUCAACUUUGCUUUCAAACUUGCCGGUGAGAAGCGGUUGUUUGAUAUCAGCUCGUUAGAUGAAUGGACAACCCAGGCAUAUGAGAAUGCCAGGUUGUUCAAGGAAAAGGUUAAGAGAUGGCACGACAAACGAAUACAAAAACGAGAGUUUAAUGUAGGUGAUUAUGUCUUGCUAUACAAUUCUCGUUUGAGAUUCUUUGCAGGCAAGCUUCUCUCUAAAUGGGAAGGUCCCUAUGUUAUCGAGGAAGUAUAUCAUUCCGGUGCCAUCAAAAUCAAUAACAUGGAAGGAAAUUUUUCCUAGAGUGGUAAAUGGGCAAAGAAUCAAGCAUUACAUCUCUGGUACUCCCAUAAAUGUUGAGACCAAUAUCAUCAAUGUCAUAACUCCAGAGGAGUACAUGAGGGAUGUUUAUCAGCCUGUUUCAGACCUUGAAAACGAAGAUGUAUCUGUUUCGGCAAGAAAUUGGACUCCCAUACUUUUCCAAUAGGAAAUUUCCUUGGUUUUGGAAUUUUGGAAAAUUAGAAAAAUAAAAAGCAGUCCGGAGAGCGAACGAGGCAGCCACAAGGGCCCACUCUGCCACCACCCCCCUGGUGGCGGUGGGCAAGCUUGUGGGCACCUCCUGUGCCUCCCGGAAUCCGUUUUCUUGCGGAGGACUCCUUCUGGCCCAGAAAAAAUCAAUAUAUAGUCGCCCGAAGGUUUUGAUCUCCGUAUCGCGUAGUUUUCCUCUGUUUUCGUAUCGAGCCUGUUUCUGUGAUAGAUCUAGAUCAUCAUGACUUCCCCAAACGCUCCUAAGGACAAGAUCUUCGAGAAGGUUAUCAAUCCCUACCUCAUGGAAGUGCUGAAACACCCUCAAUCUAUCAAGAUGAGCGAGGGGAUGUUGCACAUCCGUGAUGUUGAGGGGCCUAAGAAGACCAGAAGCAUGGAGACGAGGCUUGAAGCAAUGGAGCAACAAGUCUUCAAGUGCCAAGGGAUGGUGGAGCGUGGACUCAACACCAACUUCAGGGCCACAUCUAUGACCUGCAGAAUCAAAACUGUGAGUAUGAGUACAGAUUUAAAUCAAUAAGGUUGGCUGCAGAUUUGAGGAUUCCGGCGACUCGUUCAUCCUGCCAUGAUGGAGCACCAAUGCCUUGCAAGACGGAGGAUCAGACUACUCCGACAACAACACCACCAUCACCACCAAAGGAAGACAACUAAGCAUUGGUAUGGGCAAUCCCCUUGGCUUCUGCCAAGCUUGGGGGAGUUGCCCUGGUAUCGUAUCACCUUUAUAUCCUUUGCUUUUACCUUUGUUUUAGUUAUUUCCUUUUCAUUUUUUAUUUCUUCUCUUAGAGGAAUAAGUCUUUAGUUUUUAGUUUGAGUCUUUUGCUUUUGUCUCUCCCCCGAUGUAUUCGAGCUUACGAGCUUUAUAAUAAAGAGUUUCUUAGUCAAGGGCUUUGCUUUGUGCCAUGAUCAAAAGUAUGAAAAGAACGAUAGCAUGAAAGAUCAUGAGACGAUCUUAUGGAAAGUGAUAACUUCACUUAUGACAAGUAUGAUGAUUGAAACUUGUUGAGAAUAAAUCAACAUAGACAUUAGUCAUUGUUGCAAUUAAUAAGAAGUAAUAAGGAAAGAGAGGUUCACAUAUAAAUAUAUCAUCUUAGACACUUUUUACAAUUGUGAGCACUCACCAAACUAUUACAUGCCUAGGAGUAGAUGUUGGACAAGGAAGACAACAUAAUGAAUUGUGUUUGCUUGGUUCCAAACAAUGUUAUAUGAUUAGAGAUCCCUUAGCAUGUGACGAUUGCUUCCACCUCAUAUUAUCCAAAACUCCCGCACCAAGUAGAGAUACUACUUGUGCAUCCAUAAACCUCCAACCCAGUUUUGCCAUGAGAGUCCACCAUACCUACCUAUGGAUUGAAUAAGAUCCUUCAAGUAAGUUGUCAUCGGUGCAAGCAAUAAAAAUUGCUCUCUAAUAUGUAUGAUCUAUUAGUGUGUCGAAAAUAAGCUUUGUACGAACCUGUGAUGAGGAAGACAUAAAAGCGACAGAGUGCAUAAUAAAGUUCUUUAUCAUAGGAGGCAAUAUAAAGUGACGUUCCUCCGCACUAAGAGGACACACAUUCAAACCUCAAAAGCGCAUGACAACCUCUGCUUCCCACUGUGAAGGGCCUAUCUUGUACCUUUACUUUUUACCCUUGUAAGAGUCAUGGUGAUCAUCACCAAUUCCCUUUUUUCCUUUGUCUUGGCUACCAUCACAUGCAUGGGAAAGAUCUAUAUUCAUAUAUCAACUUGGAGUUGAGUACUUAUGCUUUAUUGUUGUUGACUUUACCCUCGAGGUAAACCGUUGGCAGGCAAAACUAUAAGCCCCUAUCUUCCUCUGUGUCCAGCUGAAACUUUGACACCAUGAGUACCACGUGAGUUGUAAAAAUUGUGGAAAACAAAAGAGAUGAUUGAGUAUGUGGGUUUUCCUUACAAGCUCUUAUUUGACUCUUUCUGAUGUUGUGAUAAAUUGCAAUUGCUUCAAUGACUAUGGACUAUUGUUGGUUACUUCUCGGUAAGGUUUUUGCUUCAUGCUUUGCUUUGUGAAGGAAUUGUUACUUUCCCAUAAGAAUCUUUAUGAUUUAUUGUUGUUCUAUGUGUGAUCAUGAUGCCCCCAUGUCCGUAUUAUGUUUUAUCGACACCUUGGUCCCUCAACAUGUGGACAUGUUUAUGGAACUUGAUUUUCGCUUGAGGACAAGCGAGGUCUAAGCUUGGGGGAGCUGAUACGUCCAUUUUGCAUCAUGCUUUCAUGUUGUUCUUUAUUGCUUUUUGGGCUGUUAUAUUACUUGUGGUACCAUAUUUAUGCCCUUUCUCUCUUAUUUUGCAAGGUUUAUUUGAAGAGGGAGAAUUCAGGCAGCUGGAAUUCUGGACUAGAAAAGGAGCAAAUCCUAGUCCACUAUUAUGCACAUCUCCAAAUGCCCUGAAAAUUUACGUGGAUUUUUCUGGAUUAUAUUAAAAAUACUGGGCGAAAGAACUAUGGGAGGGGGGCAACCAGGGCUCCACAAGCCCCCACUCCACCACCCCCUGGUGGCGGUGGGCAAGCUUGUGGGCUGCCUGAAGGCCCACUAGCCCCCCUCUUUUCCUAUAUGAAGCGUCCUGGUCUGGAAAAAAAUCAACAAGGAGCUUAUUCGUGGUUUUGCCGCCGCCACGAGGCGGAACUUGAGCAGAUCCAAUCUAGAGCUCCGGCAGGACGAUCCUGCCGGGGAAACUUCCCUCCCGGAGGGGGNNNNNNNNNNNNNNNNNNNNNNNNNNNNNNNNNNNNNNNNNNNNNNNNNNNNNNNNNNNNNNNNNNNNNNNNNNNNNNNNNNNNNUCCUUGAUGCUAUUCAUUACACCUCUGGUCAUGAUUAUGAUUAUGUCUUGUGAGUAGUUACUUUUGUUCCUCAGGACAUGGGAUAAGUCAUGCUGAUAAUUGUCAUGUGAAUUUGAUAUUCGUUCGGUAUUUUGAUAUGGUGUAUGUUGUUUUUCCUCUAGUGGUGUUAUGUGAACGUCGACUACAUAACACUUCACCAUAUUUGAGCCUAGAGGAAGGCAUUGGGAAGUAGUAAGUAGAUGAUGGGUUGCUGGAGUGACAGAAGCUUAAACCCCAGUCUAUGCAUUGCUUCGUGAGGGGCUGAUUUGGAUCCACUAGUUUAAUGCUAUGGCUAGACUUUGUCUUAAUUCUUCUUUUGUAGUUGCGGAUGCUUGCAAGAGAGGUUAAUCAUAAGUGGGAUGCUUGUCCAAGUAAGGGCAGUACCCAAGCGCCGGUCCACCCACAUAUCAAACUAUCAAAGUAACGAACGCGAAUCAUAUGAACAUGACGAAACUAGCAUGACAGAAAUUCCCGUGUGUCCUCGGGAGCGUUUUUCCUCCUAUAAGACUUUGUUCAGGCUUGUCCCUUGCUACAAAAGGGAUUGGGCCACUUGCUGCACCGUUGCUACUACUUGUUACUUGUUACUUUUUGCUCGCUACGUUUCACCUCGCUACACAAUCACUUGUUACCGCUACUUUCAGUGCUUGCAGUUAUUACCUUGCUGAAAUCCGUUUAUAAGAGCCUUCUGCUCCUCGUUGGGUUCGACACUCUUACUUAUCGAAAGGACUACGAUUGAUCCCCUAUACUUGUGGGUCAUCAAGAUUCAAUAAAAAUAAACCAUUGACCUGCGGGGCAUGACCAUAAAACAUAUCUCUUAUAUAAAUGGAACAACCAUUAUUCUCGGAUUUAAAUGAGUAGCCACAUCGGAUCAAGCAAGAUCCCGGUACAAUGUUCAUGCUCAAAGCUGGUACUAAAUAACAAUCAUUAAGGUCUAGAACUAAUCCCAAAGGUAGAUGUAGAGGUAGCGUGACGACGACGAUCACAUCGACCUUGGAACCACUACCGACGCGCAUCGUCACCUCGUCCUUAGCCAGCCUCCACUUAUUCCACAAUUCCUGUUUUGAGUUACAAAUGUGAGCAACAACACCGGUAUCAAAUACCCAGGAGCUACUACGAGCGCUGGUAAGGUACACAUCAAUAACAUGUAUAUCAUAUAUACCUUUGAUGUUGCCGACCUUCUUAUCCGCUAAGUACUUGGGACAGUUUCGCUUCCUGUGACCGGUUCCCUUGCAAUAAUAGCACUCAGUCUCAGGCUUGGGCCAUUCUUUUUCUUCUUCCCGACAACUGGUUUACCGGGCGCGGCAACUGCUUUGUCGUCCUUAUUGAAAUUCCUUUUACCCUUGCCUUUCUUGAAACUGGCGGUCUUAUUCACCAUCAACACUUGAUGUUCUUUCUUGAUUUCCACCUCCGUUGAUUUCAGCAUUGAAUACAACUCGAGAAUGGUCUUCUCCAUCCCUUGCAUGUUGUAAUUCAUCACAAAGCUCUUAUAGCUAGGUGGAAGCGACUGGAGGAUUCUUUCAAUGACCGCGUCAUCCGGAAGUUCAACUCCCAGUUGAGUCAGACGACCGUGCAACCCAGACAUUUUGAGUAUGUGUUCACUCACAAAACUAUUUUCCUCCAUCUUACAGCUAAAGAACUUGUUGGAGACUUCAUAUCUAUCGACCCGGGCAUGAGCAUGGAAAACCAGUUUCAGCUCUUGGAACAUCUCAUAUGCUCCAUGUAGCUCAAAACGCCUUUGAAGCCCUGGUUCUAAACUAUAAAGCAUGCCGCACUGAACCAGGGAGUAAUCAUCACUGCACGACUGCUAGGCGUUCAGAACGUCCUGGGCUGCAGCGGGAAUGGGAGGGUCACCUAGCAGCGCAUCAAGUACAUAUGCCUUCUUGAAGGCAAUGAGGAUGAGCUUUAAGUUACGGACCCAGUCCGCAUAGUUGCUUCCAUAAUCUUUCAACUUGGUUUUCUCUAGGAACGCGUUGAAAUUGAGGUUGACAUUUGCGUUGGCCAUUGGAUAUACAAUAUUUGUAAAGACAAUUUUAGACUAAGUUCAUGAUAAUUAAGUUCAUCUAAUCAAAUUAUUUAAUGAACUCCCACUCAGAUAGACAUCCUCUAGUCAUCCAAGUGUUACAUGAUCCACGUCGACUAGCCCGUGUCCGAUCAUCACGUGAGACGGACUAGUAAUUGAUGGUGAGCAUCUCCAUGCUGAUCGUAUCAUCCAUACGACUCAUGUUCAACCUUUUGGUCUUUUGUAUUCCGAGGCCAUGUUUGUACAUGCUAGGCUCGUCGAGUCAACCUAAGUGUUUUGCGUGUGUAAAUUUGGCUUACACCCGUUGUAUUCGAACGUUAGAAUCUAUCACACCCACUCAUCACGUGGUGCUUCGAGACAACGAUCCUUCGCAAUGGUGCACACUUAGGGGAAUACAUAUCUCAAAAUUUUAAUGAGGGGUCAUCUUAUCUUUGCUACCGUCGUUCUAAGCAAUAAGAUGAAAAACAUGAUAAACAUCACAUGCAAUCAUAUAGUGACAUGAUAUGGCCAAUAUCAUCUUGCUCCUUUGAUCUCCAUCUUCGGGGCACGACAUGAUCAUCAUUGUCACCGGCAUGACACCAUGAUCUCCAUCAUCAUGAUCUCCAUCAUUGUGUCUCCGUGAAGUCAUCUCGCCAACUAUUACUUCUACUACUAUAGCUAACGGUUAGCAAUAAAGUAAAGUAACCACAUGGCAUUGCAUCUCAUACAAUAAAUUAAGACAACUCAUAUAGCUCCUCUCGGUUGUUGUCGUGGGUAUAAGUCUGACAGUAGAAGUACGGGGUACGAAAGUAUAUGGUCAGAGCCUUAGCUACGGCGAGGAUGUAUGAGUUCAGGCCCCUCUACGGUGGAGGUAAAAGCCCUACAUCUCAGUGCUCUUGGGAGCUUUGUGUCGAGUGUAUCAAGGGAUUACAGCAAGUGCCAACCCCUGUACCGGUGGCGAAGGGCGGCUUAUAUAGAGUGUGUUGCACUUCAUAAUGGCCCGGUGGACAGGGGUGGAGUAGUGGCGAGUAAAGGCUGGCGUUACUGGUAACGUAAGCCUUAAAUGCUAGUUAUGGUGUAUGAAAACGUAUGACCGUUGCCCUCCUGGGAGGUUACGACGUACAAAGUGGAUUCCAGUCAGUACGUUAGAUAUGCUCCGAGUGGAUCGUCGCCGACUGGAUGAUGGGGGCGUCCUUAGUUCAGUCGGAACUGUCUAAGGGCCUUGUCCUCUAUGAAGGGUAGUCCUUGGGUAGGACCUAUAGGGCAGACCUAUGACCCUACCCUGGGACUAUAACCCCAUCAUUAGUCCCCGAAUGGAUCGGGGUUGGAACGAUGAAGUGAUGUCCGGAGUUUGGAGCCGACUCGUAUUGAGGUGAUCUUGGCGUUGUCUGCCUUGAUCCAUUUUAUCUUUGCGGCUAGUGAUCCGAGUGAAUAUGCAAGCAAAAUGAACCAUGAGGGACCGAUUGCUUCCGCGGAAUCUUUCGACGUGACCGGUCAUACUGACAGCGCCGGAUUUUCCGGGAUUCUCAAAUUUCGGUUGCCGCGCGCUCAGCGGGGAUGACGACAUCGCCAUCGAGUAGAUUUCGCCUCCUCGAUUACCGCGCCGCGAUCUUCUCCACUAAUCUUGCAGCAGCCGGUUGGGAGGAUAAGAUCUUGGACCCACCUGUAGGUGACUCAGUCGGAGGCCUAUUAAAGCCUUCCCGGCGGACCUUCCUGUUGCAUUGCUCGUCUUCCUCCCAUCGAUCUCGCCUCCCCGCAACUCCCUGCACACCUCGAGCCACCUCCUUCCCCUCCUCCUCUGCGGAUCCGGCGCCCUUGCCAUGACGAAGGGGCAGACCAGCAAGCUCGAGGCGAAGAAGAAGAAGAAGGGGGCGGCCUCCACUCAGCGGCGGCAGCGGGCGUUGCCAGCGGGCUGGAUCCAGGGGGACUUCCUCCCCUCCACGGUGAGGGAGACCGACGUGCUGGAGCUGGUGGAGCACGGCAUGGUCGUCAAUAAGUCUUGGAGGCUGCCGGAAGGCGAGAUGGAGCCGGCGCCGAAGGAGGGGGAGUGCGUUCUGCUGCCCAGCCACGUGGCCAGAGGUUUCUCCCUGCCUCCCCAUCCUUUCUUCCGAGGUAUCAUGAAUUACUUCGGGGUGCAGCUCCAUCACUUUCCGCCAAAUGCGAUAGCUCAUCUUUCCGCAUUCAUCACCCUCUGCGAGUGCUUCAUAGGAUGUCCUCCCCACUGGGGGCUCUUCAAAUAUGUUUUCUCCGCUAGAUCUCAAACGGUUAAGAACCUUAGCCAGUCUGAUGAUAAGACACACAUCCUCCAGCUCUGCGGGGGUUUAGGAUUUCAGAAGAAAACGAAAAGUAGUUAUCCCUCCCUUCAGCUAUCCAAGUCGGUUAGGAACUGGCAAUCGUCCUGGUUCUAUUGCCAGGACAUUGCCUGCCCGAAUGCUUCGAGUGGAUUACCACCCUUCAGUUUAGACCGUCCGGGCCCUCCCAGGAAGCUAGCGCUCUCUAAGGGAGAAAAAAACCCAGAUCCAGCCUUUGAUCGACGCGCUGAUAGCCGUCGUCUGGAAGGGAGUCACCGGCAUGGACCUGUUGGAGACUUUUCUGGGUCGACGCAUCCAGCCGCUCCAGGCCCGAGACCACGCAAUGUGGCAUUACACGGGGCCUUGGGAUACCACUCGGUCCCAUCCUGAAGACGUGAGCGAGGAGACCGUGAGUGCGUGGGUCCGCAGCAUCAUGGUCACAUGUGAUAACCCCGUGGGAGCUCGGCGGGUGAAGGCCUUCCGCGCCCAAAAUCCUCCUCCGAAUGAGGUGAGUACAUGUUGUCGAGUGCUUUUAACCUUCUUAGUUGUAUUGCUUUUCUUGUCUCGUUGACUGACGUUGCCGACUGUGUUUUGUGCAGGAGUGGACGAACUGGCAUUCUGCAGUCUCAAAUGGGAAUCCGGUCGAGGAAGAAGAUGGCAGCAUGGAGGGUAGCGUGGGUAGUGCCCAGUACGUCUCUGACAGUAGGGAGACGAAGGAGGAAACAUAAGAGGAGGAGGGGGAGAGUGAAGAGCAGAGCUCGUCACCCUCACAACCAGAACACCGAACCAAGCACCGUCAUGACCCCGCUGUUCCGUUGGCUCCUCCCGUGGCCCCGAGUGCUCGGAGUGUGAAGAGAACCAGGGUUCUUCUGCCGAGCUCGUGGAUCAGCCGUCCAAGGUGGCUAAACCCAGCGGGUCUAAACCUCGGAAAGCUUUGCCCCGGAUGAGGAUCGCUGUUCCGGUCGCCUCAGCGUAAGUAUCUUUGCUCUUCCGUCUUCCUUCAGUAUCCGAUUGGACUAUUCUUUUGGGAAUUCAUGUUUACCCGUCGAAUGGAUUUCACUCAACAGAGCUGCUACCUCCGCUACCUCUCUGCCGCAUCAGGGUGACGAUCCCAUGGACACUGAUAAUGCCACCACGUCCCAGCAAGGUACGUUGUCCCGACUCCAAGAGCUGUAUUACCGUUUCAUGAGUGUUGUCUUUGAUCUUGAUCUUUUUCUGUAUUUUUAUUUUGUUCAGUCGGGCUUCCUUCGGAGGUGAUCCAUCUGGACGACGACGACCAAAGGAGGUCGGAACCAGCUUUGGCACCUGUCCUUGGGGUUAUCCAACCUACUGCCAACCCCGCCAUGAGCGUACCGCCGACUGAGACGGUGGUCUUCACGGCGGAACCGACUGGAGCAGAGCUCGGGAUGCCCAGGGAGCUCGGGAUACCUAGGGCGCCUUCUGCCAUGCCGGGUCCGUCGACUGUUCAAUAUGAUGCCCGACGCCUCCCGGAAGAUCUAGUAGGAGCUUCCAAGGACGCCAUGGUACAAGUGGAGCUGAUGGUGGGCGAAGCCAAGGGAGCAUAUGACUCCGUUGCGUCCGUGUACAAGAAGAGCUUGGAGCUUCAGGAUGAUAUCCGAGUAAGUGCGCUAGUAAGUGUUUACAUUCCUCUUGGUUCCCACUGGGGGUUUUGGCGAGAUACUCAGAUAUAGUAGGUUAAUUUUCCAGUGGGUUCACUCCGAGUGAACCCAGUGGGUGUAGUCCCCGAGACUUCUGCCGAGUGCUUGCACCGGCAGUUGUCUUUAUAUGUAUUUUCCAUAAUCUCUACAAAUCAGAACUGAUCUGCCCGAAUGGUACUAGUGGGGGCAUGCCGAGUGCACCCACUGGGUGUAGUCCCCGAGAGUAGUGUUACUCGGGUCGAGUAAGAGUAAUCUCAUAGUGUUGUUGGUUUGCUAUGGAGCUCAAUGGGACCGACCUGUUCGAGCUUCAUACCAGUGGGGUCACUCUCAGUGAACCCACUGGGUGUAGUCCCCGAGACAACUGUCGAUAGCUUGCAUCGGCAGGGGUCUGAAGAGUCUGUCAAAACUUUUUCCUUGUUGAACCUGGCUGAUCCUCCCUUUGUGUCUCUUUGACAGAAGACUUGUGAAAUGGGAUCGGUCUAUAAUGCUCUGAAGGCUGAGAAGAUUCAACUUGCUGCCGACUUGGAGGUAGCUGCGAAUGAUCUGGCUGGCAUGAAGAAGGCUCUCGCUGAACGAGAAGUAUCUUUGGAGGAAUCUCGGGGGACUAACAAGGCACUGCUAGCCGAGGUAGAAAAAAUGAAGAAGGAGAGAUUUGAAUGGAUGGGCCAGCUGAAGUUAAUGAAUGCUCGGUGCAAAGCGCAGGAGAACUACGUCGGCGACUGGGCGAAGAAGAUGGUCGCACUGCUUGGUGGUAAGUUGCUUGCCGAGUGCCCUUUGACUUUGGAGUUCACUCCGCACUUAUUUUCUCCCUGUCUUUUCUUUGCAGAUUUCUGUCGGGACGUUGAAGCCAAAACCGCCGAAAUUGAACGGUCGCUUGGGCAACCGAAUGUUCCACUCGGUGAUGAAGCUAACCGGGACAUGUUCCGACUGAAUUCCCGCCUUAACAAGGUGGGUCCUUUCAUUGGUCGCCUGAGAGGAGUCGUCGGCCGAAUUUACAAAGAGCUGUGGCCUGAAGAUGACUCCCGGAAUGAGAUAGAGGGGUUGAUGACUCGACUGGAGGACGUUCCAAGCAGAGUGUGGGCAUGGAAGAAGUCUGCCGCUCGGUGUGGCGCGGACGUGGCGCUGUCUCUGGUCCGAGUGCAUUGUAAGGAAGCCCGUGAAGACAAGCUGAAGACGUUGCAGGUCGCCAACACCAAGAAGCUUCGAUUUGAAGACUUCAUGGAGACCUUCCUCGACACGGCCACUCAGAUUGCAGAUGGAAUCGACCUCGACACCUUCGUGGAGCCUGCCAGCCCCGGCGAUGCUUGAUUGACUUUAUGCUGAACGCGCAUUUACCUCGGUAUGCCGAGCGGAGUUUGUAUUAAACUUUGGCCACUGUUGUUGGCCGGUACAUUCGUGGCUCAGUGUGGAUAAACUUGAUUCACACCGAGCCAACUGAUUGUAGAACUCAAUUUGAAUUCGAACCGGAUCUUUUGCUCUUCUUUCGCUGAGUUUUUUUUGACACGAUUUUGGCUCGUGGUUUUUGUUUAGGCGACUCAGCUAAGACUCGGAGGAAGCUCUUUACUUAGGCGACUCUGGUUCGCAGCUAAGUCCCCGAGUGUGACUUUUGGUGCACACUCAGAGUUAGUUGUUUGCUUAGGCGACUCUGGGUCGCAGCUAAGUCCCCGAGUGUGACUUUUGGAGGACACUUGGAGGAAGUUGUUUACUUAGGCGACUCUGGGUCGCAGCUAAGUCCCCGAGUGUGACUUUUGGUGCACAGUCGGAGCAAGUUGUUUACUUAGGCGACUCUGGGUCGCAACUAAGUUCCCGAGUGUGACUUUUGGUGCACACUCGGAGCGAGUUUUUACUUAGGCGACUCUGGGUCGCAGCUAAGUCCUCGAGUGUGACUUUUGGUGCACACUCGGAGCAAGUUGUUUACUUAAGCGACUCUAGGUCGCAUCUAAGUUCCCGAGUGUGACUUUUGGUGCACACUCGGAGCAAGUUGUUUACUUAAGCGACUCUAGGUCGCAUCUAAGUUCCCGAGUGUGACUUUUGGUGCACACUCGGAGCAAGUUGUUUACUUAAGCGACUCUAGGUCGCAUCUAAGUUCCCGAGUGUGACUUUUGGUGCACACUCGGAGCAAGUUCUUUACUUAGGCGACUCUGGGUCGCAGCUAAGUCUCCGAGUGUGACUUUUGGUACACACUCGGAAUUAAUUUUUUAGACCGGAGUCUGCAAACGCGAAAGAAUUUUGAAUCGGCAAGAAAUUAAUCCGCUUUGUAUUACUUCGAUGACAUUUGUUCUUUACAUUGUCUUUGUCGGUGGUUAUGCGUAGAAGCGCUUCAGUAGAUCUCCAUUCCAUGCUCGCGGCUCGUCCGUCUCCCUGUCGAGGUUGUAGAGUCGAUACGCUCCCUUGUUCAGCACCUUAGAAUUCCAUGCUCGCGGCUCGUCCGUCUCCCUGUCGAGGUUGUAGAGUCGAUACGCUCCGUUGUUCAGCACCUUAGAAAUGAUGAACGGUCCUUCCCAAGCGGGAGCCAACUUGUGUGGUCUCUGCUGAUCCACUCGGAGCACCAGGUCGCCUGCUUGGAACGUGCGGCUCCUGACGUGCCGCGCAUGAAAUCGCCGCAGAUCUUGCUGAUAAAUUGUUGAACGGAUCAAUGCCAUCUCGCGCUCCUCUUCUAAAAGGUCUACUCCGUCUUGCCUGGCUUGCUCUGCUUCGGCUUCGGAGAAGAGUUCGACUCGUGGAGAGUUGUGAAGCAAGUCACUCGGAAGGACUGCCUCUGCUCCAUAAACGAGGAAAAACGGGGAUCGUCCUGUCGAUCUAUUCGGAGUUGUUCGGAGGCCCCACAGCACCGAAGGCAGCUCGAUGACCCAUGUGCCGACGGCAUGCCCAACUUCCCGCAAGAGUCGAGGCUUCAACCCUUGAAGAAUGAUUCCAUUCGCCCGCUCCGCUUGCCCAUUUGUUUGGGGGUGCGCAACGGAUGCAAAAUCCACUCGGAUACCUUGGCCUGCGCAAAAACCUUUGAACUCGUCCGAGUUAAAGUUUGUGCCAUUGUUAGUGAUUAUGCUGUGUGGAACCCCGUAUCUGGCGAUGAUGUCUCUGAUAAACUUUAUGGCCGUAAGGGCAUCAAGCUUCUUGAUUGGCUUGGCUUCAAUCCACUUGGUAAACUUGUCGACUGCUACCGGCAGAUGGGUGAAUCCUCCUUGGCCUGUUAUGAAUGGUCCGACUAUAUCUAAUCCCCACACGGCGAAUGGCCAAGAAAGGGGAAUUGUCUUCAACGCGGACGUUGGCUUGUGGGACUUGUUUGAAUAGAACUGACAACCUUCGCAAUGGUCGACUAUAUCUUUUGCCAUUUCAUUCGCCUGCAACCAUAAGAAACCAGCUCUGAAUGCUUUGGCGACGAUUGCCCUUGAGGAGGCAUGAUGGCCGCAGGUUCCCGAGUGAAUUUCUUCCAAAAUUAACUAUCCUUCCUCAGGAGAGAUACAUCGCUGAAGGACGCGUGAAACACUUUCUCUGUAUAACUGGUCAUCAAUGACGAUGAAGGACUUCGACCUGCGAACGAUCUGCCUAGCUUGGACCUCGUCUUUCGGUAACUCUUGCCUCACGAUAUACGCAAUGAAUGGCACAGUCCAUUCGGGAGUGACAGCUAGAAUCUCCAUGACCAGGUCAACCACAGCGGGAACCUCGACUUCAGUCUGAUCUGUUGAGCUCUUCGGUUGCACAGGUUCCUCUGUAAAAGGAUCUUCUUUUACCGAGGGGAGGUGUAAGUGCUUGAGGCAGACAUCACUCGGGACAGGUCUUCGUGUGGAUCCAAGUUUUGCCAAUUCAUCUGCUGCUUGGUUUUUCAGUCGGGGAACAUGGUGAAGUUCCAGACCUUCGAACUUCUUUUCGAGCUUUCUUAUUGCGUUGCAGUAUGCAAUCAUGGUGGGGUUCCUUACGUCCCACUCCUUCAUUACUUUAUUAACCACUAGAUCUGAGUCGCCAUAGACCAUCAGGUGAUGGACGCCGAGUGUGAUGGCCAUGCGCAACCCGUAAAGGAGAGCUUCGUACUCCGCUUCGUUGUUGGAAGAAUCAAAAUGGAUCUGCAACACAUACUUGAGUUUAUCACCUUUCAGGGAUAAGAGUACUACGCCGGCGCCGGAGCCAUUCAACAUCUUGGACCCAUCGAAGAACAUGGUCCAAUGAGCCGAGUAGAUGUGAGUCAGUUGCUGUUGUUCUACCCAUUCUGCUAUUAAGUCAGCAAGAGCUUUAGACUUUAUAGCUUUCUUGGCUUCGAACUUGAUGUCGCAGUAUAGCAUCUCCAUUGCCCACUUUGCCACUCGGCUUGAUGCGUCCCGAUUGUGGAGAAUUUCCGACAGCGGAGCAUCAUAUAUGACAGAUACCGAGUGGUCUUGGAAAUAAUGAGCUACCUUCUUUGCAGUCAUGUAGAUCCCAUAAAUAAGCUUCUGAUAAUGGGGAUACCUCUGCUUGGAAGGAGUCAGAACUUUGGAAACAUAAUAUACUGGCCGCUGAACCUUGUACGCUUUGCCUUCUUCUUCGCGUUCGACUGUCAGAACGGUGCUGACGACUUGAUUUGUAGCCGCGAUGUACAGAAGAAGGGGUUCUUUACUAAGCGGGGCAGUAAGAACCGGCUGGGUGGAAAGCAGGGCUUUGAGGUCGUCGAAUGCGGUUUGGGCUUCGUCUGUCCACUCGAAUGUAUCCGACUUCUUCAUGAGUCGGUACAGAGGUAACGCCUUCUCGCCUAGUCGAGCGAUAAACCUGCUCAAAGCCGCUAGGCAACCUGUGAUCUUUUGUACGUCAUGUACUCUUACCGGUCGCUCCAUUCGAACAAUGGUCUCGAUCUUUUCGGGGUUGACAUCGAUCCCUCGUUCGGAAACGAAGAAACCGAGUAACUUCCCGCUGGGAACACCGAAUGAACACUUGGCUGGGUUGAGCUUGAUAUCGUACCUUCAUAGGUUGGCGAAUGUUUCUGCCAAGUCAGUCAGCAGGUCGGAACCUUUGCGUGACUUGACUACAAUAUCGUCCAUAUAUGCCUCCACAUUUCGACCAAUCUGGUCUAGGAGGCAUUUUUGGAUCAUUCGCAUAAAAGUUGCUCCUGCAUUUUUCAAACCGAAUGACAUAGUGAUGUAACGAAGCACCCGAAUGCGGUGAUGAAAGAUGUUUUUAAUUCAUCUGGACCAUACAGACGGAUCUCAUGAUAGCCCGAAUAGGCAUCAAGGAAGGAUAAGCGCCCGCAACCCGCAGUCGUAUCAACGAUUUGAUCAAUGCGGGGGAGCGGGAAGUGGUCUUUCGGACAGACCUUAUUAAGGUGCUUGAAAUCGAUGCACAUACGGAGAGACUUGUCCUUCUUGGGCACCAUGACAACAUUAGCGAGCCACUCGGAGUGGUGUACCUCGCGAAUGAAGUUGGCUGCCAGAAGUUUAGCUACCUCCUCUCCGAUUGCUUUUCUCUGGUGCGCGGUGGACCGACGCAGGCGUUCUCGGACGGGCCGAGCGGCAGGAUCCACAUGCGGUCGGUGCUCAGCCAACUCCCUCGGUACACCUGGCAUGUCAGCAGGCUUCCAUGCAAAAAUGUCCCAGUUCCCACGGAGGAAUUGGAUGAGCUCGGCUUCCUAUUUUGGAUCAAGGGUGGUGGAAAUGUUUGUUGGGGCGGCGGUGGCAUCCGCCGGGUGGAUGCUUACUUUCUUCGUGUCUCCCGCCGACUCGAAUGCGGAGUCGGAAGCUGGCUUCUUUGAACGCAUCAGGUCGGCGGGGUCGGCAAUCUUUUUGUACUCAUCCAACUCGAGUACAGCCAUCUGAUGGUCUGCAAUUUUCGACCCCUGCUGCAGACACUCCUCGGCCCGCUGCCGAUUGCCUGUGACAGUAAUCACGCCUUUGGGACCAGGCAUCUUCAGCUUCAAAUAUACUUAACAUGGACAGGCCAUGAGACGUACGUAUGCCGGACGGCCCAGAAUGGCAUGGUAUGCACUCUGGAAGUCUACCACCUCGAAUGUUAACUUCUCUUUGCGGAAGUUCUUGUUAGAGCCGAAAACGUCAUCCAACGCAAUCUGGCCGAGUGAUUUGGCCUUUCUUCCUGGGACAACUCCAUGGAAUUGCAUACUGCUCUCGCUAAGUCUGGACAUCGGAAUGCCCAUUCCCUUGAGAGUAUCAGCGUACAUGAUAUUCAAGCCGCUGCCGCCGUCCAUGAGGACUUUGCGCAGCCUAACUCCUUCCACCACCGGGUCGACGACCAGAGCUUGCCUCCCUAGGGUGGGUACGUGUGCUGGGUGGUCUGACUGAUCAAAAGUGAUUGCAGUCUGUGACCACUUGAGGAACGUGGGAGUGGAUGGGGUUGCCAUGUUUACCUCCCCGUUGACCAGCUUCAAUCGACUUUUGCUUUCUACAUCAGCAAAAAUCAUUAACGUUGCAUGGACUUGAGGGAACGGAUCCUCCUUGUCCUCAUCAUCUUGCUCGGUGUCUUUCUCACUCGGCUAUCCUUCACCGAAUCCUUGGAUCAGGAGGCGACACUGCCGAGUGGUAUGUUUCGGCAAUAUGACAUUACCCUCUUCAUCCGUCUUUGUGUGGAUUGGACACGGUUGAUCUAGGAUGGAAUUUCCUGACUGUUUCUUCUUGGGGGUGUACUGUGGUUUCCCCUUGCCUUUGAACUUAGCGUUUGUAACGACCGCCGCCUCUGCUUGCGGAGUGGAUUGGGCUUUCUGUUUCUGCUUCCGACUGCUGCUCCCAUCUCCGUCGGCGACUGACUUAUGCUUGCCGCUAUGUAUGCGGUCCUCCUCUUCGCCAUUUGCAUAGUGCGCGACUAUCUCCAUCAUCUUGCUCAUGGAGAUGUCGCAUGUCUGACCAAACUUCAGGUAUAAAUCUCUGUACCGAAUGCCUGCCUUGAAGGUGCAGAAUGCUUGGUGCUCUGUAACAUUCUCCACCGUGUGGUAGAGGGUUGUCCAGCGCUGGAUGAAAUCGCGCAGGGGCUCGUUUUGCUUCUGGACACAGUGCUGAAGCUCUGCGAGACCAGCAUGGCAUUUACACAUACCCUCGAAGGUCCUGAUGAAGACUCGGGACAGAUCUGCCCAACUGUAAAUGCUUGAUGGAGCUAACUGGUUUAGCCAAGCUCGAGCCGAACCGUCGAGCAUCAGUGGGAGAUGUUUCAUGGCGACAUGGUCAUCUCCGCCACCGAUUUGGACCGCCACUCUGUAGUCGUCUAACCAAGUUUCUGGUUUGGACUCUCCUGUGAAUUUGCUGAUUCCCGUCGCCAAUCGGAAGUUGGGAGGGAUGAUUCCCGUCGCCAAUCGGAAGUUGGGAGGGAUGUCAGCCGAGCGAAUGGCCCGACUGAAGCACUCGGGACCAGAAACAACGGUCCUACUUCCACUCGGAUGAUCUCUAUCGUGACCAUCACGGUGGGCUUGGCUUCUAUCAACCUUCUUCUGAGUGAUAUACCCUCUUGCAUCAGGCCUUUGAUUAUGCGCGCCACCGCCCGAACGAUGAUCAUCGUAAUGCCGGGGUCUGUAAGGCCCACUCCGCGGAGGAGUACGCGAACGGCGACGAUCUUCGGGAUGAGAUCGAAUGGAAAGUGGAUUCUGACUCGGGUCCUGGAACGGCUGCCCCCUCUCCAUCGCUGGUGAGAGCCGGGACUGAAACCGAUCGAUGUGUGUUCGCUUGAACAGAACUGUUGUGGAUCUUGUUGUGCGACUGGGAGACCGCCGAGUUUUGCUGCUGCGCCGUAUGUAACAAGGCACGGAUCUGCUCGAUUCCUCUACCAGCCUCUGAAUCAGUCGGCUGGAGAGAAUCAGCGAUCCUGGCGGCUGCAGCCAAGUUGAGGAUGGGUGUGCGGAACACCUCGAUGUUGCCCUGGCGAGUGCGUUGACUGGAAGAACGAAGGUGCUGACGACGAGCGUCGGAUGAUUCUCCGAUCUCACGCUCAUUCCGACCAGUCUCGGAGGGACUUUCGUGGGAAUCGACCAUGAGUACUUCAGCUGCAGGCCCGUGACCCUGAUACUCGGAAGGUAGUUCAGUCGGAACUGACUCCAAGCACUGGGAUGACCGCGGGACCACAACCGAUUCGAGCACCGCCACUUCAGAGGACAUGUUUUGUCGCGCUAGGGCGUGUCGCACCCAAUGCUGGAGCCACGAACGACCGGAUUGCUUGUUGCGGCGUGACGGGGGGAAGAUCGACACUGGGGUUGAUGGCUGGAGAAGAAGAACGCCGGAGGAACUGGCACGAAAGUGUGUAGCCCCGCGACUCGGAAGCGUCUCGAUGUCGAUGGGCGCAUCCUAAAGCCACGCCGAGUCAUCGGCGAUGAAGGAGAGUGCACCGAAGAGGAUCUCAUGACCCAUGCACAGAUCUCCGCCGGAUGACAUGACGAAAAGAUGAAAUCGCAAACUCGUCGGAAGUCGCUUAGACGCCUGCCCCACGGUGGGCGCCAACUAUCGUGGGUAUAAGUCUGACAGUAGAAGUACGGGGUACGAAAGUAUAUNNNNNNNNNNNNNNNNNNNNNNNNNNNNNNNNNNNNNNNNNNNNNNNNNNNNNNNNNNNNNNNNNNNNNNNNNNNNNNNNNNNNNNNNNNNNNNNNNNNNCAGCAAAGCUCUUUGCCGUCAGCUUUCCAUAGGAGCAGUCGGCAAAGUGCUCGAGACGGCAGCCGACAGGCGUUGCCUCCGUUAGGGGUUAACAGAGGCUUUGCCGUCUGCCUUCCCCUUAUUCUUUGUCGUCUGCCUCCCCCUUAUUCUUUGCCAUCUGCCUCCCCCUUAUUCUUUGUCGUCUGCCUCCUCCUCCUCCCCCCCCCUCCACUCUUUGUCGUCUGCCCUCCUCCUCACCCCUCCUCUGUGCCCUCUUCUUUGCCGUCUGCCCACCCUCGAGGCAGACGGCAAAGAGCCUAUAUAGACACCCCAGGAUGCACAGCUGGGUGCCAUGUGGCACCUUUGCCAUCUGCCAGCUGAUGGCACAGGUCUUUGCCACCAGCUGGCAGACGACAAAGAGCCCAUAUAGUACCUAUUUUUUUUGUUUUAUAUAUAUUUGACAGCACAUUUAUAUAAUUCACCACGCAUAUAUGAUAUAUAGUUCACCACACAUAUACUUGUCAACACAUAUAUAUAAUUCACCACACAUAUAUGAUAUACAUAUAAAUCAAUGUACAUCCCCAUAUAUCGAAAGAACCAACAUACAAAGUAUUGCACUGUUUAUCCAUAUAUACAUAUACAUAUAGUUCGACAUUGUUCAUCAACUCAAAUGAAAACUAGAUGAUAUACAUAUAAAGUUCAUCCAUCGACAUUGUUCAACUCCAUGAAUGCCAGCUUCCAUGCAUGUAGUAUAUCCAAUCUGCAAAAAUGUGAAUAAGAAAGUCAGAAGAAGAACAAAAUAUGAUGUUUUUGAGCUAAUUAUGUCAUUUUUAGCGGAAAACAAGCUAAGAAUAUAAUAUUCAUGAGCUAACCAAGGUUCUUGUGCCAUUUUUAGCUUAUUAUGGCAUUUUGGAGCUAAAUGGGUUAAUUAUGUCAUUGUUGGGGAAAUUAAAGCAAGGAUAAUAUGAAAGAGGAGAAGAAAGAGGAGGAGGAGGAGAAGAAUAAGAAAUCAAGAAGAAGGAGGAGGAGGAGGAGAAGGACUAGAAGGUCCUUGGCCUUCUCCUCCUCCUCCUUCUCCUUCUUCUCUUCUUCUUCUUCUUCUUUCUUUCUUUUCAUUUUUCCUAUUUAUUCUCCUCUUCUCCUCUUGUUGGAGCUAAAUUACCUAAUUAUGUCUUUUUGGAGCUAUAUGGGCUAAUUAUCGCAUUUUAGAGGAAAACAAUCUAAGAAUAUAAUAUUCGUGAGCUAACCAAGGUUCUUAUGCCAUUUUGAGCUUAUUAUGGCAUUUUGGAGCUAAAUGGCCUAAUUAUGUCAUUGUUGGGGAAAUUAAAGCAAGGAUAAUAUGAAAGAGGAGAAGAAAGAGGAGGAGGAGGAGAAGAAUAAGAAAUCAAGAAGAAGGAGGAGGAGGAGGAGAAGGACUAGCAGGGGGAGGAGGAGAAGAAGAAGAAAUCAAGAAGAAGGAGGAGAAGGAGGAGAAGGAGGAGGAGGAGAAGGACUAGAAGGUCCUUGGCCUUCUCCUCCUUCUCCUUCUUCUCUUCUUCUUCUUCUUCUUCUUCUUUCUUUUCAUUUUGCCUAUUUCUUCUCCUCUUCUCCUCUUGUUGGAGCUAAAAUACCUAAUUAUGUCUUUUUGGAGCUAAAUGGGUUAAUUAUCCCAUUUUAGAGGAAACAAGCUAAGUAAUAAUAUUCAUGAGCUAACCAAGGUUCUUAUGCCAUUUUGAGCUUAUUAUGGCAUUUUGGAGCUAAAUGGGCUAAUUAUGUCUUUUUGGAGCUAAAUGGGCUAACUAUGUCAUUGUUGGGGAAAUUAAGGCAAGGAGAAUAUGAAAGAGGAGAAGAGAAACUUAUCGUAGUGGUCAUCAAGGAGGAGAAAAAGGAUAAUAUGAUAGAGGAGAAGAAAUAGGAGGAGGAGAAGAAGAAGAAGAAAUCGAGAAGAAGGAGGGGAAGGAGGAGAAGGAGGAGGAGGAGAAGGACUAGAAGGUCCUUGGCCUUCUCCUUCUCCUCCUCCUUCUCCUUCUUCUCUUCUUCUUCUUCUUCUUCUUUCUUUUCAUUUUUCCUAUUUCUUCUNNNNNNNNNNNNNNNNNNNNNNNNNNNNNNNNNNNNNNNNNNNNNNNNNNNNNNNNNNNNNNNNNNNNNNNNNNNNNNNNNNNNNNNNNNNNNNNNNNNNGGCAAGGUACGACCCCACCAUCUCUAUAACCACAAACGAGCCCAUUCUCGUCUACGUUGAUGUGGCUUACAAAUUUCCUUGUGGAACCUACCUUCUCAGGUCGUCGUCUGCAUCGAUCCAGCAUACAGUCAGACCCUCGCUAGGCUGUAGCCUGUACUACGCAGAGGCGCAGAGAUCAUCACAAAGGAUGACGCAGGAAAUGUAAUUUAUGACAAGUGCAUACGUCAUAUAGGUGCACAUUCGGUGCUGAGGCGAGGGACUUCGUGGUUGCAUAGUAGAGCCACCGUGUCAGCUCGAUUGUCUGAUCGGUUUACAAUGAGCAGAGACUGCAACUGGCCAAGCGUUAUAUAGAAACCAAAUAACUUUACGAUCCUACUCCUACAUAUACCAUGCCUAAAUAAAUGAAUAAACUUCUCCCUCUGUCCAUGCCUAAAUAAAUGAAUAAACUUCUCCCUCUGUCCGGAAAUACUUAUUGAAGGAUUGGAUGUAUCUAGAUGUAUUUUAAUUCUACGUAUAUCCAUUUUAAUCAAUUUUUGCAAGAAAAAAUAUUUCGGAUGGAGAGAGUACAUACUUGGAAGUUUGGACUUUUAGAUAAACUAGAUGAAGCAUGAAUUUAAUACCAACUAUAGAAAGAAUAAGAAUGAUACUUGGAAAGCACCAUGCGGUCCAUGCAUAUACCACUCGACGCUCGUCCUCCUAUGGUAGCCGCCGCCUCCCUCCUUCCCUGCUCACUGGCACCGGGCCUACACUCCGCACGGUGGUGACGUGACAAAUGUUUUUUUUCUGCGUGCCUUUUUGUCUUUUUUGAAUGGUUGUUUCGAUUUUUUUUUGGAGUUACGGUUUUUCGUUGGUCUUUUGUAAAAAAAAUCAUGGAAAAACGUGUUUUCCGUUUUUUACGCAAAAAAACAUGUUUUUUUGGUGACAGCNNNNNNNNNNNNNNNNNNNNNNNNNNNNNNNNNNNNNNNNNNNNNNNNNNNNNNNNNNNNNNNNNNNNNNNNNNNNNNNNNNNNNNNNNNNNNNNNNNNNACACAGGAACUAGGUUGUUCAGAUUGAAUCUUACUGAGCAUCCUUUUACAGGGAGGUUUGACGGCAAACUUCUUUGCAUAUUUUGGAGACACAUAUUUGUACUCCUUCCACUCUUUUGCCCACUUGCGCUCAAUCUUUUGAAGCCUAAUCUUGCGCUUCGCCAUGGUCUCUUUGUUGGAAAUAUGCCCUAGAGGCAAUAAUAAAUUAGUUAUUAUUAUAUUUCUUUGUUCAUGAUAUUUGUUUAUUAUCCAUGCUAUAACUGUAUUGAUUGGAAACACAAAUACAUGUGUGGAUACAUAGACAAAACACUAAGCCUCUAGUUGACUAGCUCGUUGAUCAAAGAUGGUUAAGGUUUCCUUACCAUAGACAAGCGUUGUCACUUGAUAACGGGAUCACAUCAUUAGGAGAAUGAUGUGAUGGACAAGGCCCAAACUAUAAACUUAGCGUAUGAUCGUGUCAGUUUAUUGCUACUGUUGUUUGCAUGUCAAUGUAUCUGUUCCUAUGACCAUGAGAUCAUGCAACUCCCGGACACCGGAGGAAUACCUUGUGGGUUAUCAAACGUCGCAAUGUAACUGGGUGACUAUAAAGGUGCUCUACAGGUAUCUCCAAAGGUGUCUGUUGGGUUGGCAUGGAUCAAGACUGGGAUUUGUCACUCCGUAUAACAAAGAGGUAUCUCGGGGCCCACUCGGUAAUACAUCACAGCAAGCCUUGCAAGCAAUGUGACUAAGGAUUUAGUUACGGGAUCUUGUAUUACGAAACGAGUAAAGAGACUUGCCGGUAACGAGAUUGAACUAGGUAUGGAGAUACCGACGAUCGAAUCUCGGGCAAGUAACAUACCGAAGGAAAAAGGGAACAACAUACGGGAUUAACUGAAUCCUUGACAUAGAGGUCCAACCGAUAGAGAUCUUCGUAGAACAUGUGGGAGCCAAUAUGGACAUCCAGGUCCCGCUCUUGGUCAUUGACCAGAGAGUGUCUCAGGUCAUGUCUGCAUAGUUCUCGAACCCGCAGGGUCUGCACACUUAAGGUUUGGUGACGUUUCGGUAUAGUUGAGUUAUAUGUGUUGGUGACCGAAGUUUUGUUCAGAGUCCCGGAUGAGAUCUCGGACGUGACGAGGAGUUCCCGAAUGGUACGGAAACAAAGAUUGAUAUAUAGGAAGUUGGUAUUUGGAUUCCGAAAGGUUUUCGGGCAUUGCCGGCAGUGUAGCGGGAGUGAUGAAUGGGUUCCGGGGGCCCACUGGGUGGUCCCACCACGCCCCAAGGGGUCCACGUGGUUUAUUGGAUGCGCAAUAAGGCAUAAUGGGCUGACAAAGUCAUCCAAGGAAAGCCCAUGAGGAAAAAGUGGAGAAUCCAAAAGAGGUGGGAAAUUAAGGAAGGAGUCCUAAUCCAAGUGGGAUUGGAGGAGGACUCCUCCCUCCUCCACUUCGGCCGACCCAAGGGCUGCUCCCUUGUGGCGCAAGGCCUGCCCCUCCCUCCUCCUAUAUAUACUAGAGGUUUAGGGCUGUUUGAGACAAAACUUUGCCACGUACAACCCUAAACCUCUACUUCGUAGUUCUUCCUCUAGAUCAGUUUUCUGCGGAGCUCGGGAGGAGCCCUGCAGGAAUUGAUCACCACCACCACCGGAGCAUCGUCGCUCUGCCGGUGAACUCAUCUACAUCCUUGUCUCUCUUUCUGGAUCAAGAAGGCGGAGAUCGUCAUCGAGUUGUACGUGUGCGGAAGGCGGAGGUGCCGUCCGCUCGGCACUUGAUCGGGACGGAUCGUGGGACGGAUCCUGAAGACGUACCACUACAUCAACUGUGUUUAUUAACGCUUCCGCUUAGCAAUCUACAUGGUUAUGUGGAUCCGAUCUCCCUCUCGUAAUGAUCAUCACAAUGAUAGGUCUUCGUGUGCGUAGCAAAUUUUUUGUUUCCCAUGCUACGUUCUCCAACACUCUUUACCAUGAAUUUCUUCAUCAAGUGUAUAGUAGUCAGCAUAUAUUUCUUCAGGGAUCUCAAAAGCAGUAUCCUGCUCCAGCUUCUUGCCACCUUUCUGUUUCUGGUCUUCUUCCAUUUUCUUCAGCCGAGGUUUUUGCUGAGGUAAGGUUUCUUCGAGAAAUGCUGCAAAUGAGUUAAGUUGAUGAGAACCUAGAGAUUCAUCAGCUGACAUUUUGUACCUGUGACCAGAGUAUAGGUGCGAAGAAUUUGGAGAGGUCAUAUGCGAUCUCAGAUUUGAGGAAAUUGAAAAAAAAAGAUGAGGAAUUUGACGAGUGAGUUGAGGAAUUUGACUAAGCAUUCUGAUCUUGGGUUCCAGAGUUGUGCAGAUUUGAAAAUUUACACAAUUGAGGAAUCUCGUGAAGAAUUUUAGUAACUUAGUGAAAUUCAUCAAGUGUUCUAGGCAUGAGUGUGCACAACUGAGAAAAUUUCUGAGGAAAAACUGAUUUCACGAAUCUAAAGUGAAAUGAAAGAUCAACAGGGGUAGUAAAGUAAGAUUUUAUUUACCUUGUGCGAAGAACACGAUGAACUGAGACAGUAAAAAGAAGAUGUUCUUCGGUUCAGAUCUUGAGUGCCCUAACUUGGCGACUGAAAACAGCUAGGCGGCGGAGGAGGAGGAUAUUCCACUGUCGACGUGAGUCCGACGACUGCGAGGGCGAGGCAGUGAAGCUCUUCCUCACCGACGGCGAAGAUGUUAGCGGCGGCGCUAGGGUUCGAGCUCGAGCGGAGAAGACGAGAGGGAAGGAAGAGUUUUGACUGAGGGGGUAAGGGGCUAUUUAUAGCUCAAGUGAAAAACUAUUCGGGCCGAAACUUUUGGACCAAACUUCCCUUGCCCCUUCGUCUCCGCUUGACACGUGGUGCCCACGAUUGAAGCGGUGGAGAUCGUGGUUAUCCGAACGUGAGUAGUGGGUGCGGUUACUGUUGCAACGGUUAAAAAAUUGAAUUUUGAGGAUUCCAUUACAAAGUCCUCAGCUGACAAGGAUUCAGUGAGGAUUUUGAACAAGUGUCAAAUAGAACGCAUAUGAAGCAUUGAGAAUAGACUGGAUUCAGCUUAGCAUAGAGGGGAGUCGGGUCCGAUAACAUUCACUUAGAUGACAUAUCAAAUUGAAGACUGAGCUAUAAGUGAAUGCUGUUGAGGACAUUGAAAGCUCAUUAUAUAUANNNNNNNNNNNNNNNNNNNNNNNNNNNNNNNNNNNNNNNNNNNNNNNNNNNNNNNNNNNNNNNNNNNNNNNNNNNNNNNNNNNNNNNNNNNNNNNNNNNNCUGAAUUCAAGAACUAUACCUUAAAUGAGUUCCUUAGUGACGAGGGGAUCAAUCAUCAACAUUCAGCACCCUAUACCCCUUGAUAGAACGGUGUGGCGGAGAGGAAGAACCGGACGUUGAUGGAUGCGGCAAGAACCAUGAUGGCGGAGUUCAAAUCUCCGUACAACUUUUGGGCCGAAGCCAUUAGCAUUGCAUGUCAUGCAUCCAAUCGGCUCUACCUCCACAAAGGCUUGAACAAGACUCCAUAUGAGAUUCUUAUAGGGAACAAGCCCAAUCACAAGUACUUCCAGGUGUUCGGCUGUAAGUGUUUCAUACUCAAGAAAAGUGUUUGUUUUUCUAAAUUUCAAGCUAGAGCUCAGUAGGGCAUAUUUGUUGGUUAUGCUACAAACUCUCAUGCUUACCGUGUUCUCAACAAGUCCACCGGACUCAUUGAGGAGACAUGUAAUGUGGAGUUUGAUGAAAAUAAUGGUUCUCAAGUGGAGCAAAGUGGUCGUUGUGAUGUAGGUGAAAUUCCUCCUCAAGCCAUAAGAAGAAUGGGGAUUGGUCAAAUACUUCCCAUUGAGGAACCCCUUGUGGCCGAAGGAGAAGGACAAUGCUCUACUCAAGUGGAUCCAUCACCCUCGCUAGACCCACACGCUUUCGAAGAACAAAGUGACGGCCCUCAACCCGACGAACAUGAUUAAGGACAAGAUCAACCUCAUGAAGAUGGUGUCACACCAUAUGAUGUCCAAGAUCAUGCUCAAGACUCCGGGCUUGCUCAAGAUCCAGUGCAACCACAACAUCAAGGGAAAUCUAGUGAGCAAGCUCAAUACGGUGCUCAAGAUGUUCAAGCAGAAAGCCCUAGAUUAUCAAGUAGGGAAGUCUUGAAGCGUUGCACUGCCAGGAUAGCUAACAGGCUCUGAGUUCGACAACAUAUCUUCAAAAAUGUUCUUGGUAGCUUCAAUAAAGGGGUAACCACUCGUCAACAAUUAUCAAACUAUUGUAUGCAUCACGCGUUUGUUUCGUGUGUUGAACCACAAAAGGUACAUGAUGCGCUCGAUGAUGAGGACUGGCUUGAAGCCAUGCAUGAUGAACUUAACAACUUCGAGCGCAAUCAAGUUUGGGAGUUAAUGCCGAGGCCAAUGGGGGAACAUAAUGUCAUUGCAACCAAAUGGAUCUUCAAGAACAAGCGGGAUGCUAAUGGUGUUGUCAUUCGAAACAAGGCAAGACUGGUGGCUCAAGGCUACUCCCAAGUCGAGGGUAUCGACUACGGUGAAACCUUUGCUCCUAUCGCUCGUCUUGAAUCUAUUCGCAUGUUGCUUGCAUUUGCUUCUCCUCAUGAUUUUAAAUUGCAAGAAAUGGAUGUGAAGAGUGCUUUUCUUAAUGCCCCUUUAAAUGAGUUGGUAUAUGUUAAACAACCCCCAUGAUUUGAGGAUCCCAAGUUCCCCACUCAUGUAUACAAACUCAAGAAGGCACUCUACGGCCUUAAACAAGCUCCACGUGCGUGGUAUGAUUACCUUACUGAGUUGUUGAAAGAUCGUGGGUUUGACAUUGGGAAAAUUGAUCCCACCUUUUUACUAAAAAGGUCAAAAGGGAUUUGUUCAUAUGCCGACUAUAUGUUGAUGAUAUUAUUUUUGGUUCUCCUAACAAAUCUUUCAAUGAAGAGUUUGCUGCACUAAUGACCGAGAAGUUUGAGAUGUCUAUGAUGGAACGAACAAGGAAGAGAAGGAACCUUCAUCAAACAAGCCAAGUACACUCAAGACAUGCUUAAGAGGUUCGAGCUCGAGGACGUCAAGCUAGUCAAAUUUCCCAUGCCAACCAAAUGCAAGCUCGACAAUGAUCCCAAUGGUACAACAGUGGAUCAAAAGGUGUAUAGCUCCAUGAUUGGAUCCUUGCCUUACAUUUGUGCAUCUAGACCAGAUAUCAUGCUAAGUGUGGGAAUUUGUGCACGGUUUCAAUCCGCACCAAAGGAAAGCCACUAUGCGGCAGUCAAACGAAUCUUUCGAUAUUUGCCUCAUACCCCAAACUUUGUCUUAUGGUACCCCAAAGGAGNNNNNNNNNNNNNNNNNNNNNNNNNNNNNNNNNNNNNNNNNNNNNNNNNNNNNNNNNNNNNNNNNNNNNNNNNNNNNNNNNNNNNNNNNNNNNNNNNNNNGCGUCUUCUCUUUGCCGUCUGCCGUCCCCCCCCCUUUGCCAUGUGGGGGCAGACGGCAAAGAGGGGAGAGAGGGGGGGCUGAUUCACCCAUUUGCCGUCUGCCCACCACCCUUUGCCAUGUGGGGGCAGACGGCAAAGAGGGGAAACAGAGGGGGCAGAUUCCCCCCUUUGUCGUCUGCCCACCCCCCUUUGCCAUGUGGGGGCAGACGGCAAAGAGGGGAAACAGAGGGGGCAGAUUCCCCCCUUUGCCGUCUUCCCACCCCCCUUUGCCAUGUGAAGGCAGACGGCAAAGAGGGGAACCUGCCCCAUUUUAAUUUAUUUUUUAUUAUAUCCAGCAUUUUUAACAAUAAUCAGGAGAAAUAUAUAUAUAUAUAUAUAUAUNNNNNNNNNNCUCAUAACCAUAUUAAAAUAACUCUCAUCCAUAGUGCAUACAUAUUAUGCAAGUUGCAUCCGUACCAAACCAUAUAUUACACAAGUUUCAUCCACAUGCAUACAAAGUUUCAUAUAUAUCCAUAUACUACAAUAGUUUCAAUACAAGCCAUGGUACAAGAAAUCAUCUUCAAGCAUUCCAUCAAUAUAAUCCAAGCUUCCCCUGAAGUGAAGGUAAUCUGCAAAAUGACAAAUAAGAAAGUUAGAAGAAUAAUACUAGAUUAAGAAGUGUAUAUAUAGGUUAUUUCGGAGAGAAAUUAGCUAAGUAUAGACCAUUUAGGAGCUAACUAAGCUAAUUAUGUCAUUUAUGUGGAACCCUAGCUAACUAUAGGUCGUUUCGGAGCUAACUUGGGUAAAAUAGGUCAUUCUGGAGCAAACUAUGCUUAUUAAGCCAUUUUGGAUCUAGCUAGGCUAAUUAUAGGCCAUUUAAUACCUAAGUUAGGGGAAAUAGGUCAUCUUGCAGCUACGUAAGCCUUAUUAUGUCAUUUAGGAGANNNNNNNNNNNNNNNNNNNNNNNNNNNNNNNNNNNNNNNNNNNNNNNNNNNNNNNNNNNNNNNNNNNNNNNNNNNNNNNNNNNNNNNNNNNNNNNNNNNNGAAGAAGGAGAAGGAGGAGCUCCUUCUCCUUCUUCUCCUCCUUCUUCUCCUUCUCCUUAUCGUCCCCCUUCUCCUUCUUCUUCUUCUAUUCUUCUUCCUCUUCCUUCCUUUCAUUUUUCCACUUUCUUCUCCUCUUGUCCCCUUCUUCGGGCUAAAUUGGCUAAGAAUGCCUUUUUGGAGCUAAUUAUGUCAUUUCGAGGAUAAUUAGCUAAGUAUAGGUCAUGUUUUAUUAAAUAGACCAUUUAGGAGCUAACUAAGCUAAUUAUGCCAUCUAGGUGGAAACCUAGCUAACUAUAGGUCAUUUCGGAGCUAACUUGGGUAAAAUAGGUCAUUCUGGAGCAAACUAUGCUUAUUAAGCCAUUUUGGAUCUAGCUAGGCUAAUUAUAGGCCAUUUAAUACCUAUGUUAGGAGGAAUAGGUCAUAUUGCAGCUACGUAAGCCUUAUUAUGUCCUUUAGGAGAGAACUUAGCUAAUUGUAGGUCAUUUUUUAUUAAAUAUGUCAUUUUGGAGCUAACUAAGCUAAUUAUGUCAUUUCGUAGGAUAAUUAGCCAAUUUAGCCUUUCUUGGAUGAGUCUAAGCUAUACGUAGAGAAGAGAAAGAGAAGAAGAAGUAAAAGAAGGAGGAGGAGGAGAAGGAGAAGGAAGAGGAGAAGAAGAAGAAAAGAAGAAGGAGAAGGAGAAGGAGGAAGAAGGAGGAAGAAGAAGGAGAAGGAGGAGCUCCUUCUCCUUCUUCUCCUCCUUCUUCUUAUCCUCCUCCCUCUCCUUCUUCUUCUUCUCCUCUUCUUCUUCUUCCUUCCUAUCAUUUUUCCUCUUUCUUCUCCUCUUGUCCCCUUCUUCGGGCUAAAUUGGCUAAGAAUGCCUUUUUGGAGCUAAUUAUGUCAUUUCGAGGAUAAUUAGNNNNNNNNNNNNNNNNNNNNNNNNNNNNNNNNNNNNNNNNNNNNNNNNNNNNNNNNNNNNNNNNNNNNNNNNNNNNNNNNNNNNNNNNNNNNNNNNNNNNGCGAGCCCCCUGCCGCGCGCCCCCUACUCCCCCUGCCGUCGUCCACCGCCGCCGCCGCCGCCUCCUGCCGUCGUCCACCGCGGUGAGUUCUGCCUCUUCUUUUUCUUUUUAAAAAAGUUAAUUACUUUAGUUAGUUUAUUAGGUUAGUUUUUUAUUAUAUAUAGGGUCAUUUAGUUAGUUAGUUUAUUUGGUUAGAUUAUUAGGCUAAUUAGCAGAAGGAAAAAAAUGAAAAAUAAAAAAGGAAAAUAAGAAAAUAAUUAGAAGAAGAACGAAAAGAAGAAGGAGAAGAAGAAGAAGAAGAAGAAGAAGAAGAAGAGGAGGAGGAGGAGGAGGAGGAGGAAGAGGAGGAGAAAGAAGAAGAAGAAGAAGAAGAAGAAGAAGAAGAAAAAGAAUAGGAGGAGCAAAAGAGGAGGGGGAGUAGGAGGAGAAAAAAAAAGAAGAAGAAGAAGAAGAAAAAGAGGAGAGAGGAGAAGAAGAAAGAAGAGGAAAAGGGAACCCCUGCACCCCGAAACUGACCCUCGACCCCCGACCCCUGACGCCCGACGCCACUGACCCCCGACCAUCGACCCCCGACGCCACUGACCCCUGACCCCUGACCCCCGACGCCACUGACCCCAGACGCCACUAACCCUCGACCCCCGACCCAGACCNNNNNNNNNNNNNNNNNNNNNNNNNNNNNNNNNNNNNNNNNNNNNNNNNNNNNNNNNNNNNNNNNNNNNNNNNNNNNNNNNNNNNNNNNNNNNNNNNNNNACAUAAACUCUUCCACCAAAUAAUCCAACUAGCAUCAACUACAAAGAAUAAUCAACACUACUAGCAACCUUACAAGUACCAAUCGGAGUCGCGAGACGGAGAUUGGUUACAAAAGAUGAACUAGGGUUUGGAGAUGAGAUGUUGUUGAUGAAGAUGUUGAUGGUGACGAGUCCCCUCCGAUUAAGGAGUGUUGGUGAUGAUGAUGGCGACGAUUUCCCCCUCCGGGAGGGAAGUUUCCCCGGCAGGAUCGUCCUGCCGGAGCUCUAGAUUGGAUCUGCUCAAGUUCCGCCUCGUGGCGGCGGCGAAACCAUGAAAAAGCUCCCGUAUGAUUUUUUUUGGACCAAGACGCUUCAUAUAGAAAAAGAGGGGGGCUAGUGGGCCGUCAGGGAGCCCACAAGCCCCCACUCGGCCACCAGGGGGUGGCGCUGUCAAGGCUUGUGGCGCCCUGGCAGCCGCCCUCUGGUAGUUCUUUUGCCCAGUAUUUUUUAUAUAAUCCCAUCUUCGACCCAGUAUUUUUGAUAAAUUGGGGGAAAAUCCCCGUUGAUUUUCACGGCGUUUGGAGUUGCGCAGAAUAGGUAUCUCAAGUUUGCUCCACUUUCAGGCCAGAAUUCCAGUUGCCGGUAUUCUCCAUGUUCAUGUAAACCUUGCAAAAUAAGAGAGAAAAGGCAUAACAAUAGUACCGUGAAGUGAAAUAACAUCCAAAGAAGCGAUAAAUAUCAACAUGAAAACAUGAUGCAAAAUGGACGUAUCAACUCCCCCAAGCUUAGACCUCGCUUGUCCUCAAGCGAAAGCUGAGCUCAAUAAAUAUGUCCACAUGUUUAGGGAGAGAGGUGUCGACAAAACAAGAUAAGUACAUGCAUGCAUCAUGAUCAUGCUCAGAACAGCAAUACCAACAUAUAAUCUCUCAUGCUAAAGUGAUAAUUCCUUCACAAAGUAAAGCAUGGAUCAAGAACCUUACCGAGAAGUAGCAACCGAUAGCCUUUAGUCAUUGAAGCAAUUACAAUUUAUCACAACAUCAGAAAGAGUCAAUAAGAGCUUGUAAAGCAAAUCCACAUACUCAAUCAUUCUUUCGUUCUCUACAAUUGCUACAAAUUACGUGGUACUCAUGAGAUCAAAGUUUCAGCUGGACACAGAGAAAGAUAGGGGCUUAUAGUUUUGCCUCCCAACUGCUUACCUCAAGGGUAAUGUCAACAAUAAUAAUUCAUGAAUACUUACCUCCAAGUUGACAUAUGAAUAUAGAUCUUUCCCAAGCAUGUGACGGUAGCCAAGACAAAGGCAAAAUAAGGAAUUUGUGAAGAUCACCAUGACUAUUUCGGGGACAAAAAGUAAAGGUACAAGAUAGGCCCUUCGCAGAGGGAAGCAGAGGUUGUCAUGCGCUUUUGAGGUUUGGAUGCGUGUCCUCUUAGUGCGGAGGAACGUCACUUUAUAUUGCCUCCUGUGAUAAAGAACUUUAUUAUGCAGUCUCUCGCUUUUAUGUCUUCCUCAUCACAGGUUUGUAUAAAGCUUAUUUUCCACACACUAAUAGAUCAUACAUAUUAGAGAGCAAUUUUUAUUGCUUGCACCGAUGACAACUUACUUGAGGGAUCUUAUUCAAUCCAUAGGUAGGUAUGGUGGACCUUGAGGGAUCUUAUUCAAUCCAUAGGUAGGUAUGGUGGACACUCAUGGCAAAACUGGUUUGAAGGUUUAUGGAUGCACAAGUAGUAUCUCUACUUAGUGUGGGAGUUUUUGCUAAUAUGAGGUGGAAGCAAUCGUCACAUGCUAAGGGAUCUCUAAUCAUAUAACAUUGUUCAGAGCCAAGCAAACAUAAUUCAUUACGUUGUCUUCCUUGUCCAACCUCUACUUCUAGGCAUGCAAUAGUUUGGUGAGUGUUCACAGUCAUAGAUGGUGUCAGAGAUGAUAUAUUUAUAUGUGAACCUCUCCUUCUUUAUCACUUCCUAUUAAUUGCAACAAUGACCAAGGUCUAUGUUUGCCUACCCUCAACAAGUUUCAAUCCUCAUUAUUUUUAUAUGUGAAGCCAUCACCUCCCAUAAGAUCAUUACAUGAUCUUUCAUGCUUUUGUUCUAUUCUCACUCUUUUGAUCAAGGCAAGAGGCAAAGUCCUUCAACUAAGACACUCUUUAUUAUAUGGCUCAUGAGCAAGAAUACAUCGGGGGUGACACAAAGCAAAACUCAAGACUAAAACACUAAGACUUUUAAACUACUAGAGAAAGAGAAAACUGAAAAGGAAAACUAAAACAAAGGUAAAGGCAAAAGAUGUGAUGGUGAUACGAUACCGGGGCAACUCCCCCAAGCUUGGCACAAGCCAAGUGGAUUGCCCAUACCAAUGCUCUGUUGUCUUCCUUUGGUGGUGAUGGUGGAGUUGUUGCAACAUGAGUUUGAUCCUCCGUCUUCCAAGGCAUAGGUGCUCCAUCAUGGAAAGAUGAACGAGUCUCCGGAAUCCUCAAAUCUGCAGCCAACCUUAUUGAUUUAAAUCUAUACUCAUACUCACUGUUUUGGUUCUGCAGGUCAUAGAUCUGACCCUGGAGUUGAUCAACCCUGUCAUAGAGCCUGGAGAGAUGCUUCCCAAUGUCAAUGGCAUCAAUCCUGUGCUUGUUGGUGAACUCUAUGAUCAUCAUGUGGUUGGCGUUGAGUCCAUGCUCCACCAUCCCUUGGCACUUGAAGACUUGUUGCUCCAUUGCUUCGAGCCUCAUCUCCAUGCUUCCGGUCUUCUUAGGCCCCUCAACAUCACGGAUGUGCGACAUCCCCUCAUGCAUCUCGAUAGAUUGAGGGUGUUGCAGCACUUCUGUGAGGUAGGGAUUGAUGACCUUCUCGAAGAUCUUGUCCUUAGGAGCUUUUGGGGAAGUAAUGGCGAUCUAGAUCUGCAACAGAAACAGGCUCGAAAGGAAAAACAUAGGAAAUCUGCGUGAUGCACGGGUCAGACCAAACGGAAGUAUAUAUAAUGAUUUUUUCCAGACCCGAAGGAGUACCCUGCACGAAAUCGGAGUCUGGGAGGCGCACGAGUUGGCCACAAGCCCUCACGGCGCGGCCAGGGGGUGGGCACGCGCCGUGCAGGCUUGUCGCCUCCUCGCGCACUUUCCGGACUACUUCCAAUUUUUGUAUUUUUUUCAAAUAUUCCAAAACGGAGAAAAUUUCCUACUGGAAAAGUUUGGACUCUGUUUUCUUACCAAAACACAUACCUCUUCGUUUUCGAAGUCUGAAACAGGCUGAUAAAUAUCCCUUAGGUAUUCUUCCGGAGUUAUGGUAUUGAUGAUAUUCCUUUCAACAUUUAUGGGAGUACCUGAUAUAUAAUGCUUGAUUCUCUGCCCAUUUAUCACUCUCGAACAAUUACCUUCCGUGUUGUUGAUCUUGAUAGCACCGAAACGAUAUACUUCCUCAACAACAUAGGGACCUUCCCAUUUGGAGAGAAGCUUGCCUGCAAAGAAUCUUAAACGAGAGUUAUAUAGCAAGACAUAAUCACCUACAUUGAACUCACGCUUUUGUAUCCUCUUAUCAUGCUACCUCUUAACCUUCUCUUUGAACAGCUUGGCAUUCUCAUAUGCCCGAGUUCUCCACUCAUCAAGCGAGCUAAUAUCAAAUAACCUCUUCUCACUGGCAAGUUUGAAAUCAAAGUUGAGCUCUUUGAUUGCCCAAUAAGCUUUAUGCUCUAGCUCAAGAGGUAAACGACAUGCUUUCCCAUACACCAUUUUGUAGAGAGACAUGCCCAUGGGAUUCUUAUAGGCUGUUCUAUAAGCCCACAGUGCAUCAUCGAGCUUCUUAGACCAAUUCUUUCUAGACCUGUUGACAGUUUUUUGCAGAAUCAGUUUAAUCUCUCUAUUACUUAGCUCUACUUGACCACUCGAGUGAGGGUGAUAGGGAGAUGCAAUUCUAUGGUUGACAUCGUACUUAGCGAGCGUUUUAUGGAAAGCACCAUGAAUGAAGUGUGAACCAUCGUCGGUCAUUAGAUAUCUAGGGACUCCAAAUAUAGGGAAGAUAACUUCUUUCAGCAUCUUGAUAGAGGUGUUGUGAUCAGCACUACUAGUGGGGAUAGCUUCUACCCACUUAGUGACGUAAUCAACAGCAACUAAGAUGUGAGUAUACCCAUUGGAUUUUGGAAAAGGUCCCAUAUAAUCAAAGCCCCAGACAUCAAAUGGUUCAAUGACAAGUGAAUAGUUCAUAGGCAUUUCCUGACGUUUGCUAAUAUUACCUAUUCUCUGACAUUCGUCACAAGACAGGACAAACUUACGGGCAUCCUUUAAGAGAGUGGGCCAAUAGAAACCUGAUUGCAAUACCUUGUGUGGAGUUCUAUCUCCCGCAUGGUGUCCUCCGUAGGCCUCGGAGUGACACUUCUGUAGGAUUUGUCCCUGUUCAUGUUCAGGUACACAACGUCUAAUAACACCAUCUACUCCUUCCUUAUAAAGGUGAGGAUCAUCCCAAAAGUAAUGUCUCAAGUCAAAGAAGAACUUCUUUUUUUGCUGGUACGUGAAACUAGGUGGUAUGUGAUACGUCUCAAACGUAUCUAUAAUUUUUGAUGGUUUCAUGCUGUUAUCUUGUCAUUUUUGGAUGUUUUAUGUACCUUUUAUAUCUUUUUUUGGACUAACUUAUUAAUUCAGUGUCAAGUGCGAGUUCCUGUUUUUUCUGUGUUUUUGGCUCAUUUCAGAUCUGAUUUUGGAACGGAGUCCAAACAGAAUAAAAUCCCCGAAAUGAUUUUUCCUGAACGAAAGAAUAUCAGGGGGCUUGUGGGACAAGCCAGGAGGGCUACAGGGAGCCCACAAGCCCCCACUCCGCCACCAGGGGGCGGGGGUGGGCACGCUUGUGGCCUCCCUGGCGCCCCCUGACCUAGAUUUUUCGCCUAUAUAUUCCCUAAAAUACAGCAAAAAAUAAGGGGAUCCACGAAAAUACUUUUCCGCCGCCGCAAGCUUCCGUUUCCGCGAGAUCUCAUCUCGAGACCCUUCCCGGUGCCCUGCCGGAGGGGACUUUGGAGUUGGAGGGGUUCUUCAUCAUCAUCAUCGCCCCUCCAAUGACUCGUGAGUAGUUCACUUCAGACCUACGGGUCCGUAGUUAGUAGCUAGAUGGCUUCUUCUCUCUCUUGGAUCUUCAAUACAAAGUUCUCCAUGAUCUUCAUGGAGAUCUAUCCGAUGUAAUCUUCUUUGGCGGUGUGUUUGUCGAGAUCCGAUGAAUUGUGGAUUUGUGAUCAUAUUAUCUAUGAUAUUUAUUUGAGUCUUUGCCGAUUUCUUAUAUGCAUGAUUUGAUAUCCUUGUAAGUCUCUCCGAGUCNNNNNNNNNNNNNNNNNNNNNNNNNNNNNNNNNNNNNNNNNNNNNNNNNNNNNNNNNNNNNNNNNNNNNNNNNNNNNNNNNNNNNNNNNNNNNNNNNNNNAUUUUUGCAUGUAGGAUUCCGUCGCUAGUUUGCCAUAUCAUGUUUAGGACAUAUUUUCGCAUAUACGUGUGGCGUUAUUUUAUUUUUGCAACCCCUCAUAUUAUACAUGUUUUCGGGGUAGAAAAAUCCGUAGAAUUUAAUUGUGCAUUUAGUUUUAGCUUUUGAGCAAGUUAGUGCGUGUGAUAUUUUGCCAUGUUUCCCUUUUGUUUAUUUCGUGGGAUUUAAUCCGUGCAUGAUAUGAAUAAGUUGUCAACUAGAGAUAUGCCCUUGGAUGUGUAGGCUAGCCUCUGGUAAUUUUGGUUCCAAUAGAAAUCCAUGUUUAGGUGUGGUUUUCUUGCCCUCAACUUGUUAGAAAAUAAUGUUGUUUUAGAGAUGCUCAAAUAUUUCUAAGUCUGAAAUCUGUUAUAUUUAGUUGUUGUCUUGUCAUGAGUUUAUCUGGUGAUCUAUAGCUCUUUUGAGGUUGAUGCAAUGGAGUUAGUUGUAGACUUUAGGAUUCUCUAGCGUGAUGUCAAUUUUCAUGCCAUUUGGAGUCCUGUAGCUUAUGGUUUUUCUGCUGUUAAUAUGCCUUCAGAUUGAAAAGUGCACCGGCAUAAACUGUUAUUUUCACUAUGUCCGAAACUGUGUGUGAGAUGCCAUUUUGUGAGUUCUUUUCCUAGUGAUCCAUGCUUCCAUGCUAAUUGUUAUUAGUAGUAUAUUGUAGUGAUUCUUGGCCUCUGUUGCCUCAUGCCUUGUUUGAGCAUUUUUGGUUUGUGUAGCUCGUAGUUGUGGGGUGUAGAAAAUGAUAUGUGGCUGAUUUUGGCAGAUUGUAGUGCUUUCUUGUUUAGCUCAUAGUUGUUGAACCGUUGCUCCGUUUUGGUCGUGUCCUAUAUGAAACUUGCUUAGGAUCUCGUGUAUUUUCAUAUUAUAUUGCUGGUUAUGAGUUUUGAAAUGCUUGUGCCUGUCAUUGCACACAUAUUGCAUUCAUGCCAUCAUAUCUUGCGGUGUUCGUAUCUUUUGAACCGUAGCUCCGUUGGAGAUGUUCUCUACGUGUAAAUUGAUUGGAACGACGCGUAGAAUAACGUGAACCCAUUUAUUUUGCUGUUUACCAAAAAUUUAAACGUGUUAGUUUAGAUCUGGACAGAAUUGUAAAUUANNNNNNNNNNNNNNNNNNNNNNNNNNNNNNNNNNNNNNNNNNNNNNNNNNNNNNNNNNNNNNNNNNNNNNNNNNNNNNNNNNNNNNNNNNNNNNNNNNNNUUCCAUCCGCACUACUUUUGCCUAACCAUUGCACUACAGUUGCAUACAAGUCUCACAACAAUUGCUAUAGAACUUCCACAAUUGACAGCAUCUGCGUGUAACAAUACGGUUGCUCACUAGCCGCACUACUUUAAUACAGUUGCUUAAUUAUCAACUUUUUUCUUUCAGAAAAUGUAUCAAUAAUAAUCCAUGUGGCAGUCCUGGAGAUUCAGGUUUAACAGAUGGAAAGGUGGGAGAAGCACAAUGAACAAGAAUGGGGAUAAGAGUAAAAAUUUGCACCUCCUUCCUCUUGUAGGCGACAAUAUAUCUUUUUUGUGUGUUACUGUGGUUUUUGAAAGCAGAUUUCGAAGCUCUAAUGGUUGAGAUCCAUGACGAUUUAGUCCUUGCACGUAAUUUGGGGGAGAAGAAGAUGUGAGGAAAGGGGUAGGUGGAGAGAUGAGGAGGGACAGAUAGAGUCACGGGAUGGGGGCAGGGGAGCAGAUGAUUUGUGGGAAGGGACCAACUCAGCCUCCCAGUCGCGGGCGUGAAGCGCAUGGGGUUGAUCGCGAGCGCGGCCCGGCCUCCUUUCUUUUUUCUACAGGGGAUCAAUACUUACAUGAAAUGAUCGGUUGUCACGAAUCCCUAUCCAGCACUCAGUUGCUGCCUAGCCACGUCAUUUUAUUGUAUAUGUAAACUAUUGUUGUACUAUUGAUAUUUGCAUGUUAUUUAUAGAUAGAUUAUGGCAUUUUCUAUAGUUACUUUAAAUGUUACAUACUAAAACAGAGAGUCAAAUGUUUAGGAGACAGGAUUAGAUUGUGAGCUCCGCUUCCGUGUCCGUGGAUAAAUAGUUUUGUCCGUUUCGAGGGUGGGCGUUGGAGAUGCCCUUACCGGCCUUGCUGCGUGCCGUCUGCCGUGCACGUUGUCGCCGGCGUGAGGGUUCCGUGCCGGACCAGCUGGCCCUAGCCCGACGCGGCCCGAUGCACGUCGAGCUGGCCUCAUGAAUCAGCCCAAGUCCCAGCACUUUCCACUCUCUAAUCUACUCUAUCUAAUAACAAAGAAAAAAAUAAAUAAGGACAAAGGGGAUGAGCCCCUUUGGGAAAGCAAGAGUCGAUUCGGGCAUCCCUGCCGUGCCUUCACCCAGCAGCAAAGCCACCAAGGUAAACCAGAGCAGAGCACCGCCGCCCACCCGCCCCCAAAAUUACCACCUUUGAACCGAGGAUCCGCGCCCCGUCNNNNNNNNNNNNNNNNNNNNNNNNNNNNNNNNNNNNNNNNNNNNNNNNNNNNNNNNNNNNNNNNNNNNNNNCACGGCCGACAUCGCGCGCCUCGCGCUCCGCGUGCUGCUCUGCGAGGGCAACGCCGUCGCCGCCGUCUGCGCCGCCGCCAGCUUCGCCGCCCUCCUCUUCGGCCGCCGCGACGACGCCGGCGCCGAAGCCGGGCGGCGGCUGAUCUGAAGGCUUUUCGAGCUCCUUUCACGCCCUUUUUAUUUGUUUCUAAUUUCAUUUGUAGUCUGUAUACCGACAGUUUGAGGGUUUCAUUCUUGGCAAUGGAAGUUCUUGUUUCUGUAAUGGUGCGCCUGUUCACUUAACCAGUAGUGAUGUUUAAACUGUAUAAGCCGGAGCCGGGCUGCUCCGGUUGCGCCAUUUCCACGAGUCGGCCGGAGUGCUGGGCAGCUGCGGCACGACGGGGCGACGGCAGAGUCCGAAGGGCCACCCCUUGCAGUCCUGUAAACCAUCCCACUUGGCCCGCCGGCCCAUGUCCGUCGAGGAAGCAACGGUCGCCGCCCGGCUGGUGCUGCUUGUGAAGAAGCUCUUCACCGAGAAGAACGCCUCGCUCUCGUUGUCACCGUCACCGUCGCUCGCCGCCGCAUACUCUUCUACCUCCACCGCCACGCACUUCUCGAUAGAGCUUGGUGGGUGGAGCGGAGUGAAGGACCAGACGAGGGCGCCCGAGUCCACGCUGCACCUCGACGACCUCUUCCUCGUCUCCCGGUUCCUCAUCUCGUUCAGUAUCACCUGAAUGCAAUAGUUACACGGAUGUGUCAUGCUCACAUGAAUUGGUCAAGAGCAGAGCACGCUCUGCCGCUACCUGUUUCGUGUCGAGCUCCUCCUCGUUGUCGUUGCCGUCGCCGGAGCCACACCCGGCGCCGGGGAUGCCGAGGCAGGGGACAUGGCAGUGCGCGUAGGCCUCUCUAACGAGGCAGGAGAGGGACUUGCAGCGGUUAUUAGCGGCGGGGAGGCCGGGAUGGCACUCGUGCGCCACGCAGCGCAUUGCAUUAUGAAGCUUAAGUAAGAUUACGUAGGUGUAGGAUUAUUGCAUUGCGAAUGGGUAUCGUAUUAGGAGCAAUGCUACAUCUACGUAAAUGUUUACGUACGUUUACGGGAUAGUCUGAUUUGACAAUUAUUGAUUGGAUUAAGAGAAGGACGAGGCCCACCCACCCCUGAAAAUCAGGGGGCAUGUUUAAAUUAGUUGGAAGGUUUAGUAAACGUAAGUAAGAUUUAGUAGGUCUAGCAUUUUUUUAUCGUACUAGUGCAUAGUGCAUGGAGUUUAUGCGUACUCUUUUGGGUUCAAGGCUACGUAACAGCCGCAUAGCUCGAGCUGGACAGCGUACUGGAAUUGGCGGCGCCGAGCUCCGCUUCCAAUCCUGUCGUGUUACUGAAGGGGGAAAAACGUGUCAAGAACCCCCUAGCGUGCCCGUCUUCUUCGAUCCAAGACGGGCGGAAGUUUCACCGUCAAAGCGUAAGCGGCACAAACCACGACCAGUACAAGCUCGUUGUUUAAUCCGCACGAGGUUCAGAUACGCGAAGAUCGUGUUGACUGCAUGGCCGAGAGCACCGAAGCCACAAACGAUGCAAGGCAACAUUGCUGGUGGUGGUUUAAUUUGAUGUAGCUUUCAGGACAGGGCCAUGGUGCGAAUCAAAGACCAACGUCCAGGCAAAUGCAGGUGCGGCGGUAACCAUCGGUGUGAAGAGAUGGGCAUAUCCGACGAAAUACAACGUACAUACAAGUGUGACCACGUACACGAACAUUGUCAUGUACAGGUGACUUGCCGUUAACGGCGGAUUAGGUUUUGCACGCAACAAAUAACAUAUGCUUCCCCACAAAAAAUAUAGUAGCCACCCGACACCUGGCUCUUGAUGCCAUCAACUUGACAUCAACACCCGACACCUGGCUCUUGAUGCCAUCAUAGUAGCCAUCAAAGGAGAAAAUGACGGGUCACCUCUACACCCGAACUCGACGCGGCUUCAUCGCUUAUAUGUAGCUUUGUGGGUCUUCAAGAUGGCUCGUUAAAGAUAAAACCAUUACUAUUGAACGAAUCAGACCAGGACAAUAUCCUCGACACGCCAUCGAACUUCAGAUUUAACACCCCACAUGACUAAGACGCCGGAGAAGAAAACCAUACCUGCAAUCCAUGAACAACGAACCUAGCACACAAUUCACCAUCUUUGAGAUGCCAUCAACGCAAACCAUGAUCUCCAUCCGCUCAUGGGCUACCUCUCAAGAUCCGUGUCAGUGCUGGAGCAAAUGUCAUCGCAAUGACGGAGCCCAAGGACAGAAAUCCAUCACAAGGAUGCCAAUGCCGUCACGGCAUCCCUGUUUCAACAGACGAGUUUCCAAAUUCAUCACCGACGAGAGAGACAAUCGCCUCAUCGGGGAUGAAUCUGGAGCUUCCUUAUUCAGUGACGCCGUCGUCGCACCCAAGCCAAGACGCCGAAAGAACCAAAAACCUAAGUUGCCAUGGCCCUAAAGCCUAAAGACAAAACGAAUCCACACCUGCGGGAUGCGGUGACCCCCUUCACUGAUGAGGACAUCAACACCAUUGUUACACCAACAGCCUCAGCUGCUACACAUACUGGACCGGUUACUAGAGCUCGCACAUGCCAAUCGAAUAACAGGUACUUCCGUUUCUUGGAAAUCCUUCUAAUGUUCAUGAACAUAUGAUGCUGCCUAAAUUAGAUACUUUUGUUGUACUUAUGAAUGAAGGACCUAGCAUGGACAAGAAGGAUAUCCGUUGAAGAAGGAUCAAGCAUGGAGAAGAAGGUGCACACGCGGGAAAGAACAAUGGAGUUGUGAUUUCGCACUUUGAAGUCACCAUAAGGAGAGCAUGAAGGCUUGGACGAAAUAUUCAAGAUGUCACUUUAUAAAUUUCGUCCAUAGGCUAUUAUAGGUGUUCCGCCACCUUAUUUUUUGGUCAGGCCCAUGUAAUUUCGAAAUACCAUAUUAUAGGUUGUUUUUAGAGUCCGUAUGUGUGGGGAAACAGAGUUUAGGAUCGUUUUCGGACCCCUCCUCCAAGGGUCACGAAAAUCCCUCUCUAUUCCCUCAUAUAUACAACCCUUAGGGCACCGUUUAGACUUGGCUUUUGUUUAGAUUACAAGUUCGCCAUAGCUGUAACUUCGCGUUCUUCAUUUGUAUUCCACGACCAGACAAAGGCGUCAGAGAACCCCACAUUAAUCAAUAAAGCUUUCCUUUUAUAUUCGCAAUAUCCAGAUUGAAAAUUUAGUUUCUUGCUUGUUCUUCAUUUGCAUGCAGGAAACAGACCCUCGUGGUUAGGUUGAUCGUGCUCCGACGUGGUCAACAACCUCUCGGAAUUGGUUUAGCGAUUGCUAAGGCGCGACAUCCUCACACGUUUGUAGUCAGAUCGUUAAAGUCUACUCCACCAAAACGAUAACCACCAUCUCAUCGAAAGACGGGGACAACUUUGCCUCUAUCAUUCACCACCGAAGAGCAAGAGGUUGCCGGCGUAGGAGAGGCAGCGAAAGGACCGAUACUCCUGGUGACAGGCUAUCGGUGGCUAGGUUUCCUGGUCGCUUGACCUAGGAGGAAAACGAUCAGUCGGACAUCGGCGGAUUAGGUUUUACAUAUAACAAACCUGAGAGCAUCUACAACCGGACCUAGCAAAUUCGGCCCCUCCACGGACACUAACCGAUCAAGCCUCAAAUAAUGCAUUCUACAUCCGGACAUCUCCGAUUAGGAUCCUCAAAUCCAUACAAAAACAUGCAAGAUAUGAACCGUACGUACUACAUAGAACAAAUCUACUCCUCGUCGGAGAUGUCGACGAUCUCCAUGCCCUCCGGCGGAUAAAUGGCCGCCUUCCGCAGCUUCGCCCCUACGGCGCCUCCGGCUGCUUCGCUGCGGCCUCCCCCGCCUUAAUCUCUGCCUUGAGCGCGUCGAAGAGGGCACGGCCUCCGCAUGCCUCUACCGAAUGAGCCGGCGGUUGGCCUCCACCUCGGCCUCAUCCCGGAUGGAAUCCAAGAUGGUCUGUCGCUCCGCCAUCUCCUUUGAUUGGGCGACGGCGAACUCCGCCUCCACCUCCGUCAUGCUCAAACCGGGAGCCUCCUCCUCCGGGCAGUCCUCCAUGGCUUCCUACUGCUGCUGCUCGUCCUCCUCCGUCUCCGGGAGUCCGGAGGGAGACUCGCAGCGAUGCCGACGGCGUGGCGAGCCUUGAUCACCGCCUCGAUUUGCAGGCGCCACUCUGAAGUGAGCUACGCGUAGGUGGUGACAAGCCACCAAGCCAUCCUGACGGAGAGGGAAGUGCUAGAGGAGGCGGACAGGCUCGGGUUGCAGCGUAGAGAAAGAGGAGGCAGAUAAGCUAGAGCUAGGGGGGGUGCUGGCCAUCUAAAAUAGUCGGCUCGACCUCAGGCGAGGAGCCACAGCGGCGCCGCACGACGUUCACACCACACCGACGGUCGAGACGCUCGUUAGACCGUCGGGUUUCUCGGCAAGUCCGCGUGGGGCCAAGCCGUCCGACCGACGUGGCGGGUGUGCCGAGGGUCCCCCAUAUCCGUCUCAUAUUUAGGCUGAAAAUGGGGAGUGUCGAGCCAGAGCGGCGCCACGCGACGUUCACACCGCACCGACAGUCGAGGCGCUCGUUAGACCGUCGGGUUUCUCCGGCAAGUCCGCGUGGGGCCAAGCCGUCAGACCAACGUGGCGGGGGUGCCAAGGCUCCCCCAUAUCCGUCUCAUAUUUAGGCUGAAAUGAGGAGUGUCGAUAGGUCCGGACGUUUGAGGCCAGUUUGAGAGGUCAUUCUGGAUUGUAAUUUCAUGACCUGGGAGUGACCGGGCUAUCGAAUUUCCCGACAAGUCCGCAUGAGGCCAAGCCGUUAGACCGACGUGCGGACAUACCCGGACUCCUCACAUCACAUCGGCCUCAUAUUUAGGAUGAAAAUGGGGGAGGCCGCUCGAUUCAGAUGUUUGAUGCCAGUUUGAGCCUCAUAUUUAGGAUGAAAAUGGGGAGGCCGCUCGAUUCAGACGUUUGAUGCCAGUUUGAGAGACCCGUCUGGGUCAUAAUUUCAUGACCGGGCAGUGAUCAGCGUGGAUGACGCCAAAUACAGUGUUAAUUUACAGCAAAAGAUGUCGACAAAUUAGGACUUAUCUUGUUGUUUCGUCAGGGGAAUUGAUAGGAGAAAUCAUCGAAGUCAAAGAAAUGAGCAGUAAGCAUUCACCUCAGCUGUCGUACAGUUGAACAUCAGGACCAGCGACAGGUGAGGAAGCAUCAAGUCAUAGCCAAUGAGCAACAUUAACAGAAAGAGACGUACAGAUAACAACCCAAACAAGCACCUUUAAUUCACAGCGACUUGAAUUAACAAAGGUGGUUAGCUGAGCACAAUGGUCAGAAACAUCAUUCAUCACAUCACAACCAUCAGGGCUCAGGUACACAAGAAAAAAUGAAUAAGCUAGCAGAGGCACGAUGAAUCAAGUCCUAUUUAUAACCAGUCGUGCCUUAAGAGAACACGAGCCGCAGCCCAGAACAACAGACGUCGAUAAAGAAUCAGGUGCCUGCGCUUCUAUUUCCCCAUCUUCGCCCACCGAAAUCCCCAUUUUACCAAGUUCGCAAGCUGUGAUACAAAAAUAAUCGCCGCAUCUACAGGCGUACAGUAGUUCCAUGCCAUCGUCAGAACUUUCAACAAUCAUAUCCUCGACUUCGAUAUCGGUUGCGAUAAUAUCAACACUCUGUCUGGAUGAUUGCAGCUGUUUAUCAUACUCUGCUCGACAUUUGGGGUAGCGUAGGGUUUCCCAUGCCUUCUGCACACCGAAAAAACCAUGUUGCUCACCUGUAGACACAAAUGACUCGAGAGUCACCUGUGCUUUGUCAGGAUGCGUGUUUAAAGCAGCACACUUGUAUGCUGCGCGUAUUUCGUCAUAUGUAGCAUCUUCAGGCACAGAUAGAACUUCAUACAAGGUCUUCUGGUUGGAAAUGCUGCUGCCUUCAAGCAUUUGCAGAAGCUGGACUGCUGUACCUAGACUGGACAAGUAAGAAAGAGGCCUCAGCCAAACAAAGAAACAGAGAAAAGCAUGCAACUAACCCGAACCACUUCAUCACAAGACAAUUGCUAGACAAAGCAGAAUAACACUUGCUAUAUACUCCAUAUAUAUAGUCCCUCCGUAUCAUAGUGUCAAGAAACAUCUUAUAUUUUGAUACCGAGGAAGUAGUACAUAACUGCCAUGUACUCCCUCUGUAAAGUAAUAAGUAUAAUGUUUAGAUCACUAAAGUAGUUUACAGAUGGAGUAACACAUAUUUUCAUCAAGAAAGAAAAGGCACUGCCAAAAUGUGGUAUAUUCCAGUGGCUUGAGCAAAGUUCAGAAACAACAUUUCUAUCAAGAACAAGCUUCAGAUGAAAAUUUGAGCUGCCUUUCGAAGUUCUAUACCAAGUAUAUAUACUGUAUUUGAUACUAGUAUUAUGCAGCUCCUUAAGAAUUAGAGGUCACCCCGGAAACUACUAAACUUCACUCGAGGGAAACCCGCUAGAUCAACGACACAUAACUAAGAAAAGAUGGUGAUGACGCUACCUUGGAUUCGGAGGCGAAGCGGGGGCGGGCCUGCGGUGUUGGAAGUGGAGCAGGGCGGCAGGCGGCGUUUGGGGAGGGNNNNNNNNNNNNNNNNNNNNNNNNNNNNNNNNNNNNNNNUAUGCCCCGGUUGAGGGUGUUUUUUUUUUUCCGUGAGGAUCGACUGUCGAGGGUGAUGGGUGGGGUUGAGAGCAUGGUUAAUAGUAUAGCCAACUCGUGGCUUUUUUUGGAUACGGCCCUCAGGCAAUUUAUUUAAUCAAAGACCGUACAUAAUCUGAGUGUACAGCCGCACUCAGAAAGUCAGGAUAACAUCCAUAGUUACACUAUGCAUCUCACUGGAGAGCCCUCUUGUUGCCAACAUAUGAGCUACUACAUUAGCUUCUCUUCCACUAAACUUUAAUUCGACACCCUGAAAACACGAGAGAUAUGAGGACAUCUCACUAAAAAUGAGACCCCAACUAGAACGGUCCCUACCUCCAUUCCAGUCUUCUACUACUGACUUGCAGUCUGUUGAGAUUUGAAUGAAUGGCCAGCGUCUCUCCUUGGCUAGAAUCAUAGCAUCUCUGCAUCCCAAAGCUUCACUAACAUAGGGGUCAGUAAUACCAACAUAUGGACUGAACUUUGAGACAAUGAAUCUGCCUUCAUGACCCCUUGCAACCACACCGGUGCCUGCUCGUCCACCCAUUGCAUCAAUUGCCGCAUCAGAGUUAAUCUUGAUCACCCCCACCUCCGGUCUCAUCCAAAGCUCCAUCACCUUUGGACUAGCAUACUGUUUGGCUGGGAUGUAGAGUGAUCUGAUGUGCUCCUGGACGAUCUCCAUCGAUCUAAGGGGUUGAAACAUUGUCUCACCAGGUGUGUAUUUGUUGCGGUUACCCCAUAUAGCCCACAUAACUGAGAUGAUCACCGCUGCGUCCUCCUUGGCGAUAAACCUUGGAUCCAGUAGGUCCCAGGUCCAUGUCGCUUGGUAUAACCUUGGGAGUUUGACCCCAAAGAACCUAAGUGUUUCCGUCCAGAAUUGUGUCGCCUGGUUGCAAGUAACCAAUGUAUGGAACAACAUUUCAUCCUCAUUGCCACACAAUGCACAUGUAGCAACUUCUCCUACAUGUCUCCUGACGAGCUCAGCCCUUGCCGGCAGAAAGCCCUUGAUCACCCUCCACCAGAACACCCGAAUUUUUGAUUGAACCUUGAGCUUCCACAAGCUUUUCCAUAUUUCCUCAUCACCAGCCGAGCUGCUUGGACCCCCUUGCAUCUCAGUCUGUCGACGUUUCAGCUCUCUGUAAGCUGUCUUGACCGAGAAAAUACCCGAGCGAUCCCAUGCCCAUGCCCAGAAAUCAUCAGCGACAAUCCUUGGUCUAGGCAUAUUCAUGAUUGCCUCCACAUCCGAUCGUAGGAACAACCUUUGGAGCAACUCUCGUUUCCAUUCCCCGCUGUCUUCCUGUAGCAGAUCCGACACAAGUUGCACAGGCUCAUCAGAUAACCUGCAGACUGGCUUCAUCGAAGGUGAUCCCGCUAUCCAGUGAUCAUGCCAAAUCUCAGUAGUGCGGCCAUCUCCCACCCUGCGGAUCAGCCCCUUCUUCAGAACCUCCCUCCCCUGUAUGAUUGCCCGCCAAGUACGCGAGGAAUUGGCAGGGCAUCCGCCCUGUAAGAAGUCACCGUCCGCAAAAUAUCUCCCUCUCAACACCCGUGAACAUAAAGAUUCUGGGAAGCACAUCAGUCUCCAUGCUUGCUUUGCCAACAAGGCAUCAUUGAACAGCUCGAGAUCACGGAAUCCAAUUCCUCCCUGCGCUUUUGGGGUCGCCAUGCUGGACCAUGCUUGCCAGUGCAUCCCUUUCUUAUCUAGCGAACCACCCCACCAGUAUUUGGACAUAACUGUCGUCAACUUUCGGCACAAACCUUUUGUUAGUUUAAAACAACUCAUAGAAAAAGCUGGCAGAGCUUGGACUACAGAUUUGAUAUGCACUUCUCUCCCUGCACAUGAUGCUUUCCUAAAACUCCACCCCUGAACAUUUGAUCUUGCUGAUUCCACAAUGUGUUCGAAAUUCUGCUCUGUAAUCUUCCCUGCAGCAGUCGGCAGACCAAGAUAUUUCUCUGUCAGUGCUUCUCUCUGUAUCUGUAGAACAUUCCGCACUCCACGCUUUGUUGAAGCCCCACACUUUGGACUAAAGAACACUGAGCUCUUAUACUUAUUGGCACUUUGGCCUGACCCAGUGCAGUAUGCACUUAAGAUUUCAUUCAGCCGAGUUGCACUCCUACUGUCCGCUUUCAUAAAAACCAAACAGUCAUCUCCAAAGAGCAAAUGUGACACCAAGGAGAUCUCUGGCCUGCCCGGAUCCCUCGAUCAAUCCAACCGCCAUCAUAAUUCUUUAACAUGCAUGACAUGCCUUCUCCACAUAGGAGGAACAAAUAAGGAGAGAUUGGGUCUCCUUGUCUCAACGCCCGCGUUGGAAUAAAACUUUGUAGUAGCUCUCCAUUCACCUUCACCUGGAAAGAUACUAUCUUGACACAUUUCGUUAUGAUAGAUAUCCAUCUCUCACAGAAACCCAAUUGACUCAUGAUCCCUUGCAGAUAGUCCCACUCUACCCGAUCAUAUGCUUUGAUCAUGUCAAUUUUAACGGCACACCACCCCUGCUUCCCUUUCUUCCUCUUCAUCGCAUGGAUACACUCAUAAGCUGUAAGGAUAUUAUCUGUGAUGAGCCUCCCUGGUACAAAGGCACUUUGUUCUUCGGAGACGAUCUCAUCAAGAAUCUCACGAAGACGAUUAGCCAAAACCUUAGAGCAAAGUUUAUAAAUAACAUUACACAAGGAUAUAGGUCUGUAUUGAGUUAUGUUUUGUGGAUUUUUAACCUUUGGGAUGAGGACUAUCACUGUCCUAUUUACCUCCUCUGGCAUUUGGCCCCCAUUUAAGAAAUUGAGCACUGCCUUUGUCACAUCAUCACCUACCAAUCCCCAAUGCCUCUGGUAGAAGCCAGCGUUAAACCCAUCUUCCCCAGGUGCUUUCGACGGAGCCAUACCAAACAAAGCAUUCCGAAUCUCAUCGGCCUGAAAUUACCUGGUGAGUCUCUCAUUCAUUUGCACUGUCACCUUUGCCGGUACAUGAUGCAACACCUCCUCCGGUACGAGAACUUCCUGUGCAGCGUAUAGGUUAGUGUAAAACUGUUGUAUUUCCUCGUGUAUUGCCUCCUUACUGUCACACAGGUGGCCUUGCGCAUCCACCAAGGCUGUGAUGCUAUUGCGCAUCCGUCGAGCUUUUGAUUGUGCAUGAAAAAACCCAGUAUUACGAUCGCCCUCCCUCAACCAGUUCACCAUGGAUCUUUGGCGUGCCAUGAUCUCCUCCCUCAACAAAAGCUCAUUCAGCUGCUUUGCCAACUCCUUCUCCUGAUCUGAGGAUCCUCGGUAUAGGGAGCUGCUUUUUUCCUUUUCAAACUCUUUCCUCACUUUCUUUAAUUUUCUUCUCACAUCACCAAACUUCUUUUCUUUCCAGUCGGUUAGAUGGCUUUGCAUAUGUUUUAAUCUAGUUUGGAGACCCCAAAGGGAGAGGUGUCCUCCCCCCUGCUCCCAGCCAUUCUCCACCGCGGAUGUAUACGAUUCUUCCCUAUGCCAAGCAUCUUCAUAGAUAAACCGGCGCCUCCCCCUCCUAUCCUCAGCGUUCACAUGAUUUAUUUUAGCCGAUACGAUACAGUGAUCAGACCUUGGUGAAGGUAUAUGGCACACUCUCGUUGCCUCAUACAAAGACAAAAACUCUGGAUUGGCUAGAAACCUAUCCAGCCUCACUUUCACAUUUGCUGCUCCCUCUCUCCGAUUGUCCCACGUGAACGGGGUCCCCUUAAACCCAAGAUCAUGGAGAUCAAAAUCAUCUAUUGCCUCUCGAAACCAUGCCAUAUGACACUCCGUUCUGUCAUGUGUACCAAAGUACUCUGAAUUGUUGACUAUCUCAUUAAAGUCUCCCCCACACAGCCAUGGUAAAGAGCUUUGAACUUUUAAACUCCUGAGAAGAUCCCAGCUCUGGGCUCUCUCACUACGACGAGAUUUGGCAUAAAAACCAGUAAACCUCCACGUCUUUCGAUCCCAUCCAACAUUCUGUACUUCCACGUCAAUAUGUUGAUCAGAACAAUUGUUCAGUUUUACUUCCACCUCUUGUGACCAAAAUAAGGCCAAACCGCCACUUAAGCCUACACUGCUUACGGGCAAACAUUCAGCAAAACCCAAUAUCCUCGUUAAGUCUGCAACUUUUGACCCCUCGAUCUUUGUUUCAGCAACAAACACCAAGGCGGGCGCUUCCACUCUCACCAGAUGGUGGAGUUCACGAACUGUCUCCGGGUUCCCAAGCCCGCGACAGUUCCAAGCAAAGCAAUUCAUUGGUCCUGGCAGGGCUGAUCAGCAGCCUCCGCCAAUAUCAUCGUGUCAGCUUCCCCCUCUGCUUUCUUCUUCUUUGAAUCCCUACUAUCUGUCCACGACUCGCUCGACAGCUCUUCUUCAUUAGCUCGUUUCUUGUUCAGCGUUUCCUGAUCAACCAGCAUGAGUUGAGUCUGUCUCCUCUCCACCACAUCUCCUUGAUGGGCAUCCAUAUUCACCCUUCUGUAGACUUGGUUCUUCCCAUUAGAAUGGUUACGUCCCCUUUGAUACGGGGCACCUCUUCCUAGUCCACCACCUCUGGCAUUAAACUGGUAUACCGCUGCUUGCACUCGGUCAUCAGUAGCCUUGUCUGGAGAGGUCACUUCUUCUCCUUUCUCAACUUCAUCUUCUUCUCCCCCCUUUUCUUCCUGCCGACCAGCUGUCGGGUUCUUGCCACCCUUCAUGGGUAUAUUUCCCCAGCUCCUCUUGCGGACUGGCAUUCUCAAUUUUUCUUCAUAUGGGAGUCGGCCAUGGGCAUCCCUCUCUGCCAGUGUCGGACAGUAAAGAUCCGCAUGCCCAAGACAACCACACGAGAAACAGAAAUAGGGCAAAGCUUCAUACUGGAUAUCAUAAAAUACCACUUCUUUCGUCUUUGCCGAUUCCAGCCGAACCCAUCUCAUUAGUGGCUCAUUGACAUUUAUCCACACCCUCGCUCUCAGCGCUUCCUCGAAAGCAAAACCCUUCGCAUCAACAUCCACCUUGAUCACCUUCCCAACUAACUUUGCAAUUCUUUCCGGCCAUGGAGGACAUCUCAGGUUAAAGGGUAGAUUGAUUAGCCUAGCCCAGAUUUGCAUCAUCUCGAACUCUAGAUCAGAGGGCCGUGCCCUAGCAUCGAGGAUUUCCANNNNNNNNNNNNNNNNNNNAUCGAGGAUUUCCAGUACCACGACAUGUUUCCCAACCAUCCACGACCCCCUUCAAAGAUUCUAUCUCUCUCCAUCUUGCCUUCGAAGCUUGCCACGAACAUGUUGUCCCCCACCGGACUAAAACAGAGACCUCGCACAUUGCCCCAUGCCGGACGCAGCGCCUCCUCAAUGGUGUUGACAUGCAGAACCCUCCUGUUCAAGACCUUUUCGACCACACCCAAGAUCGAUUCCCCUUGCAUCUCAUCCUCAUCAUCAACUACCAGCUUUGCACUCUCCCGAUCCGUCAGGUUCAUCUUCUCCAUCAUCUUCUCCAUCCCCUCUUUCUCUCUCGCAGCAUUCCUAGACGAGCUCGCCAUCGCCGCUGAUCCCUCCUGUACAGCGCAAGGCCCGGCAGNNNNNNNNNNNNNNNNNNNNNNNNNNNNNNNNNNNNNNNNNNNNNNNNCUUCCGAUCGCGCCUCGGAAGAGGAAGUCGCCCGAGCGCCGCCUUUCCACUCGAAACCCUAGAAAACGUUUCGGGGAUCAGUUAAAGAUAGCCAACUGCUGGCUAUAAGUCAUCUUAUAGCCCACCUUAUAGUUAGCUUGUACAAUAGUUAGCUACAAAAGAGUACUACUUUUAUCAUAUAUGGCCCACCUUUCAUUCUCAUAAAGCACCUAGGAGCACGUGCUAGAGCUGGCUCUUCAUGAAGAGCCCGCUUCCCUUCUCUCUCCUCUUCUCUCUCAUCCAACUCAACAAAAAUAUAGUAUUUUAAUCCUUACAGCCUGCUGAUUGUACCUUACUGUACUUGCUCUGAGAAGGAUAAGGCUGGUUGUAAUGGUAGUAUCAUAAGUAGUAUACUCCCUCCGUUCCUAAAUAUAAGUUUUUUAAGCGAUUUCACUAAGGGGCUAUAUACGGAGGAAAAUUUAAGCGAUUUCACUAAGGGUCUAUAUACGGAGCAAAAUGAUUGAAUCUAUACUCUAAAGUAUGUCUAUAUACAUCCGUAUGUAGUCUACUAGUGAAAUCUGCACAAAGACAUAUAUUUAGGAACGGAGGGAGUAUCAUGCAUGCCAACUAGGCAUAUUUGAUGAUGUAGCAUAGAAUUAAAUGAAGAAAGAGAUGAUUGAGUAUAUUAUGAUACCGUAUCAUAUUAAAUAUUGUACUGCUAUGUGUCAUGCAUGGCAAUAAAUGAAAUGUUCUAUGAUACUAUUAUAUGAUACUAUGCAUUACGGAUGUAGUAUCAUACACUAGUAUCAUAUGCAUGAUACUAGUAUAUGAUACUCUCCAUUACAACCAGCCUUAAUGGGUCUGGACACCAAUGUAAAAUGGAAAAUACAGGAGUUAAGGAGACAACAUGUUGUAUAUGAACCCGUAAGGUCGUAAACAAAUUUCAUGAGGAAAAACUAAAAUUGACAGCGAAAAACUCAAGCAAAAAAUCUGAGCUAAGAAACAAAUUGUCUAGGAUAAUAUAGAGUGAAUAGUACCUCUAAAUAGUGAUGACUAUGUUAUUUUCGCCAACAACACCAUGAAGUCACUUUUUCCCGUAUAUUUAUGUGUGUCUAACGUUUUAUCAAGUUUGUUGCCAACAAGUUACAUGAUUUUUUGACCAUUUUUAAAGGGAGCUGCAACAAUUCCUUGCACUUGGUGAUUAUCACGUGCGUGGCUUUCACCUUGGCCCAUCUCGAGGUGCCAUGGUCUCCUCUUGGUCCAAAUAAUUGCUUAGUAUUUUUAUAUAUUUUUAACAUGAUUUUCGAAACAAAGAGAUGACACCAAUGAUAUCUUAUUGAAACUCAUGUAAGGUCUCAAGGUUGCUAGGGUUUGUUGCAUGGUGUUGCCAAUGUCUCUUGUUUUUGUACUCUCACGGGAUCCAGGCCCUACCUCAUAUAGGGUUACUUGAGCCGAGAUUGGUUUACACCUAAAUCUCUUAGUCAGUUAGAGCAACUCCAAGAGAGCAAUUCAAAUCGUCUGCCCGUAUCCGUUUGGAUCGGCACAUACAAAAAUGAAGGCUCAACGCGCCGAUCCAAACACAAAACGCGUCCACUUCGCGUCCGUGCGGAUCCAUUUUCGGUCCAAAAUUGCGCCUCAAAUGCGUCGGCGCGAACGCGGCGCACGCCUUCUCAUGCUCGUGCCCGUCCACACGUGACCCCCAGUCAAAGCCAUCGUCGUCUUUAUUAACAACGACCGCCCAUCAUAGGCCCACGCAUCAUCCUCUUCCAGAAGUCGCCCCCAUCCCCAUCUAGCCACCUACUGCUCCCCCACUGACGGCAAACCAUAGUCACCACCAUGGGGUUCAUCUCCGCGAAGGACAAGGGCAAGUCCCCCCGCCAUCCCUGUCCACGCGUCGGCGUCUUCCCAUCCGCCUCGACACCGGGGUCAGCGUACGAGUGCACCAGGCGAGGUGGCACUGGGAGCACCGUGUCCCCCUCUCCUACCAUGAUGUUACGGUGCCGCACGAUUAGCAUUUGGAUCCGAAGAGGAUCCCACUGCCGCGGUCGACGUGGGCGCAUGCGGAGGAUGAAUAGCGUCAGCAGGAGCAGCUGAUGUCAGAGCAGCAGCGCAACCCCAUCUACGCUGGAGACACCCCCGACUGACAUGCCUGGUUCGCGUGAGAGCACGAGGAGCAGCGCGUGCGUGGCGUCUGCGACGUGGUGUUGGACCGCCAUCGCUCCUCGUCAUGCGCGAAGAAGACCAUGAGGCGGAGGUGCCAUACCAGAACGUGCUGGCGACCGUCAUGCGUGCUAGCGAGGAGGAGGCGCGCGUGAAGGAGGGGGGAGGCCUACUAAAAGAAGCUGUCAUAGGCCAUUGCGCUCUUCGCUGCCGGCGACCGCGUCGUGCCGCCGCUGGCCCCGACGCCCACCGUCGAGUCAAGUUCACUGGUUCUCAGACCCGAGCUGUACGCCUGCGACGGAGUGGUGCACGAGUGGGUCGGCGCGCCACCCGUCUAGUUGGGUGCGACGUCGGAGCAGGAGGCGGAUUACGUGGAGCAUUGGCGGUAGCGGCAGGUGAGGGAGGAGGACGCAGAGGCUUGGCGGACCGAGCUCAUGGAGCGCGAGGCCGAAGCUGAGGAGGAGGAGCGACGUGCUGCCCAGCGAGCGUCGGUGCAAGCACUGGCGGACGACGUCGCCGCCACCUCGGAGACGGUCUUCCCCUGGGCUGGCCCGACGCCGACGCUCGCCGACCUCACUGGCCCCGACGAUGGCAACGAGGAGGAUUCCUAGGGCAACAAGCUUGCUCGUUUUUAGUUUGUUUAAUUUCAUGUGGUAAUGUAAUGUGGACUAUCGCCGGUCUUCGAGGCCGGCAUCAAAUGUUUAAUUAAUGGUUUCUAUAUUUUUAAAAUGUUUACUUAUGUUUUUUCGCCGCCUCAAAAGCGUCGCUCGACGUGUUGGGCGCAAGCGUCGACCCGAUUGCAAAAGCGGACACGGAUGUCCGCCUGGCACACCUAGACGGACAAAAUACGGAUAAAAAUGUCAUUCGUUUGGUGUUGGAGAUAUGUUCUAGACGCAAUCAUGUAUGAUGAUAUUUCCUAUGUAUUUAUGAAUAAAGAUAGUAUUUGAACAUUAUCAAUGAUGUGUAUUAACAAAUACGUGACUUGUUUGUGAGACUAUAGAUUAUAUGAUAAGUGUCAUAAAUGGUCCCUAGUCGAAAGGGUUGCGUGGACACGCAACCAAUGAGACUAGCAUAUGAAACGGUGGAUGGUUUGGUCUCACUGGCCAUGUAGCAUUGGAUGCUAGCCGGAUAAUAUGGACUCAGAAAGAUCUGGUCGGAUUUGAUGUAGUCGGAUCCGAGUCGAGAUAAGGUCUAAGUUGGACAAACCCAAGUAUGACACGCAACGAUAGAUUAUCUAUGAGUCUCUAGUACAACAUAUUUUCUAUGUCCUAAGACCUGAGCUGGCACAUGUACUCGGGAUGGUGACAGACUUGCUUUGGGCCGACCAAAUGCUACUCCGUGACUGGGUAGUACAAAGGUUGGUUUUGGACUUGUCGAGACCCAUGCCGCGAGACGUGGUCGAGCAAGAUGGGAUUUGCCCCUUCGAUCACAAGAGAUAUAACCUGGGCCCCUCGGGUGAUCUGACCUAGAUAAGCAUGGACACGCGACGAGGAUUAUGCGAUAAUCCGAAGUGCUGGUCAGAUUCAUCGGAACGAGAAAUAGGUCGUGCUGAACAAGGAUGACCAUGUUGCCUCAUGUACGACAACAUAUAUCAUAUGGGAAAGGGAACAGAAGUAUGAAGUAUAGGUUCGCCUAAGCAGCCUCAUCGCACACUUGGAGUCGCCACGCUUUGCUAGAGGCUGCUACUUACAAGACGAGUCGGAUGUGAGUUGACUCGCGAUCAAGUGAACGAGAACCUAAGGGUUCGCGCGCUUAAAGGAAGGAACACAUGGGCUUUAGGUGCUGUGCGAGUCCCAAGAGUUGAGCCCCCGCUGGAUGCCUAUACAUAGUGGAGGUGCAACACACUUAAUUAGUUGACCGCUUUGGUGUCGUCAUUAAGGUUUGCAUGUGUUGCAACUAGCCACCUCCACUCGCCGUCGCCGACUGUGUGAUCCGUACCUAGCAGUCCACCGCACGGUGUUCCUCCUACACAUGCGGAUACCAUUAGAAGAGGUGCACUUGCGCCGCUCCGAUGAACCUCUACGUGGGAUUAGAUGACUGGCUGUUCGAGGGAGAUCGGACGAGAAGGAGACAGACAACGCGAACACAUUGCCCCAAUUCUACUUCCGCUACACAACACUACACGUCUAGUGGAAACAAUCUGUGAUCCAUCUUCGUAGGAUGUUCUUGGAUGUUCUGCGCGUCUAGUAGUAACAAUCUAUGAUUUAUAGGUUUAGGAAAAUUUUAACUUUCAUGCGAUGUACCUAUGGUAGAACCCAACAUUUCGAUCAACACGUUGGAGUUGCUCUUACAACUAGAACUAACUAGAACUUGGGAUAGUAGAUAGUGUUGAAAUCUGAGAUGGGCUUAGGGCACAUGAGACAAAAUUUCAAAGAAAAUAUCUAAGGGCCCAUGUAGGUGGUGGCAUAACAAGGGGUUGUGGGAAGUUUAGUCCCACCCCGCUAAUGGAGAAGGAGUUGGACCCCUUUAUAAGGGUCUCUCUUCUAUAUGUUAUUGGAGCAUGAAAGAGAAGAGGCCCUCGCCCCCUCCUCCUCUGUCGCCCACCUCGCUAGUCCACGCCUCGUCAAGACGCGUCGCGAGUUGCGGGAAUGAGUCGAGCCGAGCUCAUACCUACGCGCUUAUUUUUGCCGGCCAGGAACGAAGAAUACGUAACAGACGCACCAUGAUUUGAGACUCGGAUCGUGGGCUGUUACCGACUCGGACGUGGGUCCAACCGACGUCUCUCCACCCGGUCGCGCCUACAUAAGAGAGGCUCCUGCCAACCCUAGCCAUCACGAGAUCAGAUCACAUUUGCCUCCAUGCGCUCGUUCCUUCUGCUGCAGCUACCCCCGGUGACUCCGUCAUGUUCACCGCGUACACGGUCAAUGGGAGAGCAGGUGUCCAAAACCCCGCCUCUCCGGAUUCUGUAUGGGAGAGGGGCGAUUAGGUUUUAGGGGAGCGACUAUGCGACUGCUCGCCUCCAUUCGUCUGCUUCAUGUACGUCUGUGUCACCUUCGUCAUCGCCAUGUCUUCACCAGCUGACGUCGUCCGUCUCACCCGAGAGAAAGCUGAAGCCGACAAGAAGGCGACCGAGGACUCUGUCGCCGCCAUUGCUGGUGCUAUAGCCUACUGGCCGAACGGAGGGUAUAUCUCGUUUAUCCCGCUUCUACUUAUUAUUGUCUUAGGCUUACUGAUGAUUUGUGUAGAUAUAUCUACUAUCUGCCUAGUAUGCGAUGCUAUGAUCAAUUAUCAAUCUGUGCUUACUACAGUUCAUGCCAUGUUAGUGAUUUACUCGUGGAUUAAUAUAAUCGAGAAAUUUCCUAUUUACUCAACAGUCCAAAAACCUAAUGUGUGUAGGAAUUAUUCGAGUAGAGGUUUCGCUGCUGCACUAAAACCGAAUAAGUUUACAGGUACUGUGACAGCCCGAGACCGACGCUCCAGAAGAUUCCCCUUUUAUUCCGUUGUCGUCGUGUUAAUUAUUUGUUUGUGGCAUUUAUCAUCGCAUCAUGCGCAUCAUCUGCAUUGCAUCAGCACCCCGUUGCCGUGUGUUUUCAAAACUUGCAUCCGAUAUUAGUUGCGGGUUCUCGCCGUUUUUACCGUUGACCGUUUUGAGACCAACCACACACGCCCGCGCCCGUGAAAUCGUUAAAGUAUUUGUUUUUAAAAGUGUCUGGAAAAUAUUCUUGGAUUGGGAUGAAACUUGGCGUGCGGUCUUAAUAUAGUGUAGGUAGGACGCCUGCCAAAUUUCGUCACAAUCGGAGUUUGUUUGAUACCCGAACCGUUAAACCUAUAGCGGCACUAUAGCCGGUCCAAUGUCGGACGUUUUCGUUGUUUUGAACUCUGUCGUCGGGUUGCGUGUUUUCCCUCUCAUCUCCGCCUAGCCUCUCUGCAUAGUGCAUCGACGUACCCGCAUCCUAGUCCGAAAACUUCCCCGGAUCCGAACUGGGUGGUCGUGACCGUUGGGUCUGGAUCAACCCCGUUUUACCGCAAACCGUCAUCGGUUUGUCCAUUGGACUCCUCAGCCUAUUUAUUCUCGACCGUCCGAUCAAAUCAGAGGGUCCAGAUCAAGCUCGAAAUUCCGCUAGCUAUUUAAGCGGAUGAAACCCCAGAACCUAGGACCCCUGUCCCAUCCAUCGAAUCCUCUCGUGUCCAGCGCCGCCGCCACCCAUUCUCUCGAGUUGCCCUGAUCCAAAAUUCUCCCGUGCCCCAACCGCGUCCCUCGUCUUGCGCGCCGCCCAAUGGAGCUUGCUCGUGCCCCGACCGUCUUGUGCAGCCGCGUCGAUCAGCAGCACCUGGUCAAGUUGAUGCCCCGUGUCUUCUCUUAUAUCUCCCUCUGCUCGACCUCUCUCUCUACCUAAUUUCUCAUCUCUCUCUCUCUGUUUCUGGCUGACAGGAACGAAAGGCAUGGGGGCCAGCAGGAACGAAGCUCGCCGAGAGCGUGCCGUUGACCGACCCCAUGCCCAUCGCUUUCUCUUUCUGAUUCCCUGUGCUCUCCUCCUCUCUCUCCCGUAACCCCCCUUUCUAUGUGUCUCUUGGUCCCCGAGCAGGAGCCCCAAGCCAAGCCGCUGCCAUGGACCUCAUAGCAGCUCCAUUCCUGAGGGUUGUCCGCGUCGUCGUUGCCCGGAUCCGGCGCUGAUUGAGCGGAUUCGACCGGUUCGGAGCCCUGCCGGAGCCGCGUCGCCUCGUGGCCACCGUACCGGUCACCCCAGUUCGUCACUUCCAUGGACAGGAGGUCUGUGACACUGGACCCUUGGCCGCCUCCGUCAAUCUUCGCCCCAUCACUGGAUGGAGCUCCUGUCGCUGGGAACGGAUCAGCCCCGACGCCGUCUCAAGGCGCUACCGCAGCUUCGUGCCUCCCGUGACCCACGCCAGGGCCCUUCUCUGUGUUUUUUUGCCACCUCGAGAGCUCUAUCAUGGGAUUCCUUUAAUCUAGAUAAUUCUAGAGCAAAGGUUUCCUCAAGAGGUUCCUUGGUUGUUUGUUCAUUUUCAAGAGCUUGAGAUAGCUCCGCGAUCUCAUUAGCGUAAUCACGUUCAUGACCUUCCAUUCUCUAAAUGGUGGCCUCAUGCUCCUCGAGAUGAGCUUCCAACUCCUCAAUAUAUUUCUUGCCCUCAGUGGCAAUAGACAUGAUUUCCAAGAAGUUGGAACAAGCAAGUUUAUCCUUACAAAGAGAUUUAAAAAUCAUUUCACCCUUAAUUUUUAAGGAUGCAAUAUCAUCACUCUCUUCAUAUUUAUCCUCAUCCUCAUUAUCAUCAACAUCAUCAUCAUGAGAUAUAUUGGGAUUCAAAGUAGGAGAUACCUUUGAAGCCUUAGCCAUAAGUAAAUAGUGAGUAACAAUAGAUGAUGAUGUAGGAUCCCUUGAAGCAUCAUUCAAGGCCACAUCUUGUUCCAUGGAGUGGGAAUUUCCUCUACAUUGUUAGCACAACAACUCGAGGAAAUAGAUACAUUUUUAUCAUGGCAACAAGAUAUAGAAAGCAUAUCAUCAUGAGAUUUAGACAAGCAGUUUUUACAUGAUAUGCACGGACUAUCAACACAAGCAUGUAAAACAUUUAGAGUGCUCGAAGUGUUAACGCCCAAAUAUGAAGCAUUGCAAUAAUAUAGUGAUGAAGGAUCAUCAACAAUAAACCCACUAUCAUCGUUGCAAUGAUCACCACUACUCACCAUAUCAUUACCUUGUGGCAAUCCACAUGUAGGUGAAGUAGAAGAAGUUGAGAAGACCACACGACCGGAGGUGGAGGGAGAACAAUCAUUCCCACAAAUCUUGGACAUACCAUAUUUAUCUUGAAGCUUUGUCCACAACUCAUGAGCAUCCUGGAAUGGCAUGAGUUGAAAUAUAACUACAUUGCUCAAAGCAUCAAAAAGCACAUUAGAAGUUUGAGCAUUGAGAUAAUAGUUUUCUCAUCCUCAAAAUAUAUAUUUUGGGAAUCCUUUGGAGGAGAAAAACCCAUAUCUACAAUUCGCUCUAAAUUUGGGUCCAUGACCCUAAAGUGAUUAAGCAUGCGAAUUACCCAAACAUCAAAAAUUGUGCCAUCGAAACUAAGAGUGUCAGUGAAUCUUAAACCCCCAGUCGACAUCCUUACUCUCUAGGUGGUUAAACCUAAUAAUGAGAGACCUAGCUCUGAUACCAAUUGAAAGGACGUGGAUGUCGCCUAGAGGGGGGGGGGGGGAAUAGGCGCUUUAAAGUAAUUACGGUUUAGGCUUGAACAAAUGCGGAAUGAAACUAACGUUUAAUUUGUCAAGCACAAAACCUACAACAACUAGGCUCACCUAUGUGCACCAACAACUUAUGCUAAGCAAGAUAAACAACUAAGUGAUAGCAAGAUACAUGACAAUAAACAAUAUGGCUAUCACAAAGUAAAGUGCAUAAGUAAAGGGUUCGGGUAAGAGAUAACCGAGGCAUGCGGAGACGAUGAUGUAUCCCAAAGUUCACACCCUUGCGGAUGCUAAUCUCCGUUGGAGCGGUGUGGAGGCACAAUGCUCCCCAAGAUGCCACUAAGGCCACCGUAAUCUCCUCACGCCCUCGCACAAUGCAAGAUGCCGUGAUUCCACUAAGGGACCCUUGAGGGCUGUCACCGAACCCGUACAAAUGGCAAACCUUGGGCGCGGUCACCGAUACGCGUACAAAUUGCUCGGGGCAAUCUCCACAACCUAAUUGGAGGCCCCGACGCUUGCCAGGAGCUUUACACCACAAUGAUUGAGCUCCGAGACACCACCAAGCUUCUAGGACGCCAAAGCAUCCACGAAGAACAAUAUCUAGGGUACUAAGUACCAAAGGUAAUAAGCUUCUCAACUUCUCACUUCCACGUAUCACCAUAAAGAACUCAAACCGAUGCAACUAAUGAAGUGGCAAGAACACACGAAGUGGUCAAGUCCCUCACACUCAAAUCCCUCCACAACAACAAAAGCCACAGAGAAAUAUGAGAGGAAGAACAAGGAGCUCACAAAGAACUCCAAGAUCUAGAUCCAAGGGGUUUCCCUCACAUAGAGGAGAAAGUGAUUGGAGGAGAUGUGGAUCUAGAUCUCCUCUCUCUUUUCCCUCAAGAACAAGCAAGAAUCAUUGGAGGGAUUGAGAGUUAGGAAGCUCUAAGAAGGUCAACAAUGGGGGAAGAACACAAGCUCAACGGAUAGAUAAAGCCAAGGGGGAAGAAGACCCCCUUUAUAUAGUGGGGGAAGGAAUCAGACCGUUACCCCCACUUACAGCCCGAGCCCAGCGGUACUGCCGCUGGCUGUAGCGGUACUACCGCUAACCCUCCAGCGGUACUACCGCUGGCUGUAGUGUUACUACCGCUGGCUAUAGCGAUACUACCGCUGGCUGUAGCGGUACUACCGCUGACCCUCCAGCGGUACUACCGCUGGCUGUAGCGGUACUAUCGCUGACCCUCCAGCGGUACUACCGCUGGCUGCAGCGGUACUACCGCUGAGCCCAUGGUAGCACAAAGAUACUACCGGGCCAACCACCGCCAAGAAAGUCUCCGCAAAAAGUCCGACAUAGUACAGCCGCAAGAUGACGGUACUAAAGUCCUGGAGCGGUACUACCGCUGACCAGGGGCGGUACUACCGCUGGGACAACGGUACUACCGCCAGCUCUAGCGGUACUAUCACUAGGGCCAGCGGUACUACCGUCAGCUCUAGCGGUACUACCGCUAGGGCCAAGGGUACUACCGCUCGCCACUGAAACAGCCAUAACAGCGACUCGAAAUCUUAAGACCAUGCAGAUAUGAAAAUGCUAAUGAUAUAGAGAUGUGAGACCUCUAUGAAUUAAGAACCGGCAAAAACUGCAACAUCGAAAACAUCAUAGUAGAUGCAUAUGGACUCCGUUUUCGAUGACCUCGAGGUUGUCAUGAAGAUGACCAUAAGCUUUAAAACUCACAAAGAGAAACACCAAAUAAGAACCAAGAAGUAUGAUGCAAGGAUGCAAAUGGUUUGAGCUCUCAACGAACGAUACGAUCAAGCUACUCACUUGAGAGCCCCCCUUGACAGUACAACUUUCUAUCCUAAAACAGAAAACCUAUCAAGGGCAAACCUAUACCUUGCACCUCGACCUCUUGAGCUAGAUGAUGAUGAUCUUGGCUUCCUCAAGAUGGACCACCUUUCUUGAUUGCGUUGGCUUGAUGAAGACUAGUUGAUUGCUCCCCCAUACUCACUAUGGGUGAGCCACUCUUCAGCAUAUCUUCACAACUCCAUUGCCACCACAAUGGACCGCAAGCUUCAAGCAUGAUAUAUUCGUGCUGAUCCACUUGAACUUGCACACCGCAAUCUUGAUGACAAUCACCACUUGGCGUCAUCCUUCAUGGGUUGUAUGAGAUCUUCCUUUUGACGCAAGCCCAUGGAAACAUACCUAACCCCCACAUAGAACUCUCAGAAGACCAUGGGUUAGUACACAAACACGUAAUGGACAAUGCUUACCAUACCAUGGGAUCACUUGAUCCCUCUCGGUACAUCUUGUACGCUUUGUGUGUUGAUCAUCUUGAUUUACUCUUUGUCUGAGAUCUUGAUCAACCUUGUGUCUCUAUGACCAUUCUUUGGAUAAUACCUUGAAUACCAUCUUGGUCAUCAUAUAAACUCCUUGAACCCAACAGGUGGACUUCAAGAAGUGCCUAUGGACAAAUCCUAUAAAUAUAACUUAAGGCAACCAUUAGUCCAUAGGAAUUUUCAUCAAUUACCAAAACCACAUAUGGAGAUAUAUGCUCUAACAGAGGAGUAAUUCAACAUAAUACAGAGAGGGCCAGUGCUGAUAGUGCUCGUCAAAACAGAGCACUGUGCGGGCCAACCCGGGACAACUCGGGUGAUUUCUAUCAGGCCACCGUACGCGUCGCUCAUCCGUUGUGUCCUGAGAACGAGAUACGCGGCUCCUAUCGGGAUCGUCGACACGUGGGCGACCUUGCUAGAUUAGUUUUACCUUUGACGAAAUAUCUUGUGCAUCGGGAUUCCGGUGAUGCUUUGGGUAAUCUCAGAGUUGAGGUUUUCCACUAAGGAGUCCGACGAGAUCGCGAGUUUCGUGAUCGAGGAUUUCUAUGCGGCUUGUGGCAAUUUGUGAAGGACUAGUCGGAGCACCCCUCCAGGGUUAAAUCUUUUGGAAAGUCGUGGCCGUGGUUAUGUGGCAACGUGGAAACUUUGUUUAACACUGGUUCUAGACAACUUGAAGUUAACUUAAUUAAAAUAUGCCAACUGAGUGUGUAACCGUGACUGUCUCUUUCGCAAGCUCCUUCUCUGAUUGAGGACAUGGUGGGGUUAUGUGUGAUGUAAGUAGGUGUUCAUGAUCAUUCAUUUGAUCAUUAACAGUUCACGUCCGCUAUGCGUAGAUCAUCCCCCCUCUUUAUUCUUGUACUCGUAAGUUAGUCACCAAAUAAAUGCUUAGUCGCUUGCUGCAGCCUCACCCCUUAACCAUGCCUCACCUAUUAAGCUUUGCUAGUCGUGAUACCUUUGGAAAUGAGAUUGCUGAGUCCCCCGUGGCUCACAGAUUACUACAACACCAGUUGUAGGUACACGUAAAGGUUACUUGCCGCGAGCGCGUUGAUUGUUCAUUUGGAGUUUCUUCUUCUUCUUCAUCGAUCUAGGAUGGGUUCCAGGCCGGCAGCCUGGGAUAGCAAGGAUGGAUGUCGUUCUUUUCUCGUUUGUUUUUUCGCCCGUAGUAGGACCCUGCUAUUCUUCAUAUGUAUUGUACCGAUGUGACUCUGAUGUAGCUUGUGGCGAGUGUAAGACAAUUCCAUAUAUCUCAUCUCUUCAGUACAUGUACUUGUAACCAUAUCCAUUCUUGCAAAACGACGAGAGGCGCUUCUAUCCCUGUCGAGGCCCUCGCACCAAAAUAAGGAUAGAAUCACAUCUUGGGCGUUACAGGUACGUACUUUAAGCAUUGGCAAACCAAAACCACUUUAUGGUUCACGGCUAUGAACGUGUUCUAGGUGUCGGUGUUACUCCUACAGGAACAAUCUCUCCUGAAUAGGAGAAGGCGUUCACGGAGGCCACUUUGUACUUUCUUGGAGUAGUUCUAAGCUUGACCAGAGAUAAGAUGGUUGACACAUAUUUACAUGUGUGUGUUGCCAAGGACUCGUGGGAGGUGCUCGAAUCUAAAUUCGGGGCCACCGAUGUUGGGAGCGAGAUGUAUAUUGUGGAGCAGUUCCAUGAUUAGAAAAUUGUUGAGAACAGUUCUUUAUUGGGACAAGCUCAUGAGAUAAUAUGCAUUGCUAAAGAACUUGAGAUUCUUAAGUGCGAUUUAGCAGGAAGAUAUGUCGCUAGGUGUAUAAUCGCUAAGCUCCCUUAUUACUCGAGGAACUUUGUUACCACUAUGAAACAUCAGAGGCGUGAAUUCUCAAUAGAGGAUAUCAUCGGCCAUCUGGGUGUUGAGCAGAACUCGAGAGCAAAUGACUCACAUGGAAAAGCGGUCGAAGGUCCUUGUGUUGCCAAUAUGGUACAUCAGAGUAACUUCAAUUCCACAAGCCCAAGGGAAAGAAUUAUGUCCAACAGAAUACCAACUUUAAGAAGAAGGGAAAGAAGACCUUCAAGAAGAACAAGAAGGGAGAUGGCUGCUUCAAUUGUGGGUCUGAGGAACAUUGGGCCAGUAAGUGGCCAAACAAGUACAAGAAGCCAUGGCAGAAUUCCAAGUCUACCAAUAUGAUUGUGAGCAACACUGUAAGUGUUGCACGUGGGUACGGUAAUUUGUUUACUUUAUUUUCGGUUUGUCAAUCUACCGAUUUGUGGGUGGACACAGGUGCAAAUAUUCAUGUGUGCACUGACAUCUCAUUGUUCUCUUCUUACUAGGUCACAAACCGAGGGUCCGUAUUGAUGGGGAAUGGCGCGAGUGCUUCUGUUCUUGGUGUUGGCACGGUCGAUCUGAAGUUUACUUCGGGAAGUAUUGUGCAGCUGAAGAACGUGCAACAUAUCCCCGCCAUCAAGAAGAACCUUAUUAGUGGCUCCCUUCUGUGUAGAGAAGGGUUUAAGUUGGUUUUUGAGUUUAAUAAAGUAGUUGUUACGAAAUAUGGACUUUUCGUUGGAAAAGGUUAUGAAUGUGGAGGUCUAGUUCGCCUUUCCGUUGCAGAUUUUUGUAAUAAAUUCAUGAACAAAUUCAUUCUAGUGUUAAUGAAUGUGAAGUUUGGCAUUCACGUCUUUGUCACAUUAGUUUCGGUGUCAUGUCGCGACUAGGAAAACUGAAUUUAAUCCCGAGUUUGACUAUAGCCAAAGGUUGUAAGUGCCAUUCAUGUGCGCAAGCAAAGCAACCUCCCAAGCCUCACAAGGCUGCAGAGGAGAGACACUUGGCGCCGUUAAAAUUCAUAUAUUCUAAUCUUUUUUAGAUGGAUGGUGUGUUGACUAAAGGUGGAAAGAAAUAUUCCAUGACAUUGAUAGAUGAUUCCACUAGAUAUUGUUAUGUGUAUUUGUUAAAUACUAAAGAUGAGGCUCUACGGUACUCUAAAAUCUGUAAGGCAGAAGUUGAGAAUCAACUCGAAAAGAAAACUAAAUGAGUUCGGUCUGAUCGUGGUGGAGAGUACUUCUCAAAUGAGUUUGAUUCUUUUUGUACGGAACACGACAUUAUUCAUGAGAUGAUGCCUCCCUAUUCACCCCAUCAAAUGGAGCUGUCGAGCGGAAAAAUCGUACUCUAACUGAUUUGGUUAAUGCUAUGUUAGAUACGUCGGGUUUAUCCAAGUCAUGGUGGGGGAGGCUAUAUUGACUUUGUUUCAUGUCCCGAAUAAGGUUCCUACAAAAUAUAAUGAGGUCACUUCCUAUAAGGAGUGGUCGAAGAGAAGGACGAUGCUAUCGUACUUACGUACUUGGGGUUGCUUGGCGAAAGUCAACGUGUCCAUCCCCAAAAAGCGUAAGCUUGGAUCAAAGCCCGUGGAUUGCGUUAAUUUGGGCUACGCUAAGAAUAACGUUGGCUAUAGAUUUCUAGUAGUGAAAUCUGAGGUACCUGACAUGAAGGUCAGUACGAUUAUGGAGUCUAAGGAUGUUGCAUUCUUUAAGGAUAUUUUCCCAUGAUAUAUAUGCAAAGCACCUCUAGAUAGGAAUCCGAGGAGACUCCUAAGCCUUCCAUUCCUACGGAAUAUUAUGAACAAACACUUGAUGAAAAUGCUGAGGAGGGUUAGGAGGAAACCCUUGGUAGGGGCAAGAGACAAAGGACUGCAAAGACCUUUGGUGAUGAUUUAUUCGUAUACCUCGUGGAUGAUAGUCCCACUUCUAUUUCAGAAGCGUAUGCAUCUCCAAAUGCUGACUACUAGAAAGAUGCGGUCUGUAGCGAGAUGGAUUCCAUCAUGGCUAAUGGGACAUGGGAAAUUGCUCAUCGUCCCUAUGGUUGCAAACCAUUGGGAUGUAAGUGGGUGUUCAAAAAGAAGCUUAGGCUCGAUCGUAUAAUUGAAAAGUACAAGGCUAGGCUUGUGGCCAAGGGCUAUGCCCAGAAAGAAGAAGAAGAUUUCUUUGACGCUUAUUCAGGUGUGGCCAGACUGAACACCAUUUGAGUACUACUCUCGUUGGCAGCCUCGCAUGGUAUUCUCGUUCAACAAAUGGAUGUUAAUACGCCUUUCCUGAACGGAGAGCUAAACAAGAAAAUUUAUAUGCAAGAGGCAGAUGGCUUUGUGAUAGAUAGUCAGGAAGGAAAGGUGUGUAAGUUGUUGAAAUGUUUAUAUGGCCUGAGACAAGCGCCUAAGCACUGGCAUGGGAAGUUUAAUACAGCUUUGACAUCUGUUGAAUUCUUUGUUAAUGAAGCUCACAAAUGUGUAUACUAUCUCCAUGGUGGGGUGAAGGAGUUAUACUAUGCUUGUAUGUUGAUGACAUACAAAUUUUUGGAACCAACCUCAAAGUGAUUGAGGAGGUUAAGUCUUUUCUGUAUCAGAACUUUGAGACGAAGGACCUUGGGGUGGCUAAUGUUAUCUUGAAUAUCAAGCUUUUGGGAGAUGAUGAGGGUGGGAUUACACAUAUGCAAUCCCACUAUGUUGAGGAGAUUUUGAUUCGCUUUAGAUAUUCGGACUACAAAAUUUGUCAAACACCAUAUGAUCCUAGUGUGCCGAUUCGAAAGUUCAGAGGCACAACUAAAGAUCAGUUGAGAUUCUCUCAAGUUAUUGGUUCACUUAUGUAUCUAGCUAGCGCAACGAGGCGUUUACUGUGAGCAAGAUGAGCCUCUUUGUUGCCAAUCCGGGUGAUGUUGAUUGGCAUGCUAUUGAAAGAAUUAUGCGCUAUGUGAAAGGUACUAUAUACCACGGACUUCAUUAUACAGAAUACCCGUUGAUACUGGAAGGGUAUAGUGAUGUGAAUUGGAUCUCUGAUGCUCAUGAGAUGAAGGCCACUACUGGGUAUAUGUUUACUCUUGGAGGUGGUGCUGUUUCUUGGAAAUCUUGCAAGCAAACGAUCUUAACGAAAUCGACAAUGGAAGCAGAAUUAAUAGCAUUAGACACAUCUGGUGUCGAAGUAGAAUUUCUUCGAGAUCUUUUGAUGGACUUGCGUGUGGUUGAGAAGCCAGUUCUGGCUAUCCUUAUGAACUUUGAUAAUUAUAGAGUUAUUGUAAAAGUGAAGAGUUCAAAGGACAACAUGAAGUCCAACAAACAUAUAGGAAUGAGAUUGAAGUCUCUUAGACGUUUAAGAAACUCCGGAGUGCUAGCAUUAGAUUACAUCCAAACGGCCAAGAAUCUGACAGAUCCCUUUACUAAAGGGCUAUCACGUGUUGUGAUAGAUAGUGCAUCUAGGGAGAUGGGUAUGCGACCCACAAGAGUUGCCAUGGUAGUAACCCAACCUAUAUGAUCGGAGGUCCCGUAAAGUAGGACCUGGGAAAACAAGGCACUGGUGAACUGAGGAGAGUAACUUUACUAACCCACUCCGUUGGAGAUGCAAUACUCUCGGAUACUGUAUGGUAGGAUGACUAUUCCUUCAUGUGUUUUAAAGCUUAUGUGUAAGCAAGAUGUUGUCCUACAUAGCGAUCUUUGUAGGAACACACCUAUAUGAGCCCGACUGCUGGUCACAGUCUAUGAGAUUGGGGUGAUCUCAAGUAAGCUCAUGAAUAGACCAGGAGUGUGACUAAUAUGCUCCACUCGAGGGGUGAGCCUUCGGCAACUUAGUACUAGUAAGACUUGUGGUGAAGCUUCUUUACGCCAAACUGACAGUUCAAGGCAUAGUCCAUUGUUUAGUUGUGAAGGAGUGUAGCUACUUGCUCUAGGUGAAGCUCAACCCUAAUAGGUCUUCACUGAAAUGUUGGUAUAUCAAAAUAGUGAUUGGAACAAAAGAACAUAAUGUGCCCUUGAGAUCUGGUGGGGGAUUGUUGAAAUCUGAUAUGGGCUUAGGGCCCAUGAGACAAUUUUAGAAAAUAUCUAAGGGCCCAUGUAGGUUGUGGCAUGACAAGGGGUGGUGGGAAGUUUAGUCACCCCCCACUAGUGGAGAAGGAGUUUGACCCCUUUAUAAGGGUCUCUCUUCUACAUGUUAUUAGAGCAUGAGAAGAGAAGAUGCCCUCGCGCACUCCUCCUCCGCCGCGUGCCUUGCCACGCCACACCAUGACGCGUUGUGGGUUGCGAGAAUAAUCGAGCUAAGCUCAUACCUACGCGCUUAUUUUUGCGAGUCAAGAAUGGAGAAUACGUAAUGGACGCGCCACGAUUUGAGACAUCAGAACAUGGGCUGUUACCGACUCGAACGUGGGUCCAUCCCACGUCUCUCCACCCGCGUGUGCCUACAUAAGCGAGGCUCCUCCCAGCCCUACCCAUCAUGUGAUCAGAUCGCAUCUGCCUCCACACGCUCGUUCCUUCUACUGAUGCUUCCGCCGGCGACUCCAUCUCGUUCACCGCUUACACAGUCGAUCGGAGAGGAGGCCUCCAAAACCCCGCCUCUCUGGAUCCUGUAUGGGAGAGGGCGAUUAGGUUUUUGGUGAGCAACUACGUGACUGCUCACCUCCGUUCAUGUGCUUCAUCUACAUCUGCAUUGCCUUAAUCAUCGCCAUGUCUUCACUAGCCGACGUCGACCGUAUUGCCCAAGAGAAGGUCGAAGCCGACAAGAAGGCGGCCGAGGACUCUACCGCCGCCACUCCUGCUGCAAUGGCCAACUGGCCGAUGGGAGGGUAUAACUCGUUUAUCCCACUACUACUUAUUAUUUUCUUAGGCAUAUUGAUGAUUUGCGUAGAUAUAUUGAAAGCAAAAAUGCUCCCUUGGUGGUUUUGAUAAUUCAUGACAACAUACAUUGUCUCUUGGAGUAGCACUUUUACCUAGAACAUUUCAGGUAUAGUCCACGCAGAUCUCUCGCUAUAGAAUUGUGUGAGUAAGCCACUUUGAAGCAAGGAAGGAAUAGGAUUGGCUCAAGAUUCAAGCAAGAAGACUCUACAUUUUAUAUUUGUGAGAAAUCACUAUGGGUCCAUAGGAAAGCAAAUACUAUUCAAAGGGGAUGAGGUAUUAUGAUGAAUUGGUUCCUCAACUGCUUAGAGAUAGCCACCAAAAAUAGUCGGUCACUUUCCCACAAAAUAUAUCUAUCCCAAGCCAAAUAUGCAAAAUCGGUGCCACCAACAAUUCCUACUCGGCUAUACCAAUUUUACACUUAGACAGAUCGUAUGCCAAUCCCACCAUCUCGGUACAACCAACAUUCAUAUCGGUGCCACCGAGAUUGGGUGACCAACAUUCUGUUGAGGUAACUUCAAGUUUCGGAAUUUCCGAGUUUGAAGUCGGUCUCACUGAGUUUGGGAACCAGUCUAGGUACUACCGAGAUUCCUAUAUCGGUCUCACCGAGAAUUCAAAGUUGCCACAUUUAGUGCAACUCGGUACCACCUAGAUUAACAUUUCGGUGUCAUCGAGUUGGGCAAUAAUGUUGUAAUGGUUGGAUUUUAGGAGAUGCCUAUAUACACCCCUUCACCUACCUCUCAUUGCAGAGGAAGCACUCAGAACGCACUUACACUUGCCAGAUCAAUUUUUCUGAGGGAGAGCACCUACUCGUGUGUUGACAUCAAGAGAUUCCGUUCCAAUGAUUUGAACCUUGAUUUCUACCCUCCCCAAGUUGCUUUCCACAAGAUAAAUCUCUCCUACCCCCGCCAAAUUUGAGAGAGAGUGAUUGAGUGUUGAGGAGACUAUCUUUUGAAGCACAAGAGCAAGGAGUUCAUCAUUCUAUCACAUCUAUUAUCUUUUGGAGGGUGGUGCCUCCUAGAUUGGUUAGGUGUCACUUAGGAGCCUCCUACUUCGUGUUGUGGAGUUGAACCAAUAUGAUUGUAACGGCAAGGAGAUCGCUGAUACGUCCAUUCUACAUCAUGCUUUCAUGUUGAUAUUUAUCGCUUUUUGGUAUGUUAGUUCACUUCACGGUACAAUACUUAUGCCUUUUCUCUCUUAUUUUGCAAGGUUUACAUGAAGAGGGAGAAUGCCGACAGCUGGAAUUCUGGCCUGAAAAAGGAGCAAGUUUGAGAUGCGCAUUCUGCGCAACUCCAAAAGCCGUGAAAAUCAAUGUAGAUUUUUUUGGGAUUUAUAAAAAAUACUGGGCCGAAGAAGUGUCGAAGGGGCUCCAGCGGGAGGCCACAAGCCUNNNNNNNNNNNNNNNNNNNNNNNNNNNNNNNNNNNNNNNNNNNNNNNNNNNNNNNNNNNNNNNNNNNNNNNNNNNNNNNNNNNNNNNNNNNNNNNNNNNNNNNNNNNNNNNNNNNNNNNNNNNNNNNNNNNNNNNNNNNNNNNNNNNNAGAUCAGAAGGGAUCUUUUUCGUGGUUUCGCCGCCGCCACGAGGCGGAACUUGAGCAGAACCAAUCUAGAGCUCCGGCAGGACGAUCCUGCCGGGGAAACUUCCCUCCCGGAGGGGGAAAUCGUCGCCAUCAUCAUCACCAACACUCCUUAAUCGGAGGGGACUCGUCACCAUCAACAUCUUCAUCAACAACAUCUCAUCUCCAAACCCUAGUUCAUCUUUUGUAACCAAUCUCCGUCUCGCGACUCCGAUUGGUACUUGUAAGGUUGCUAGUAGUGUUAAUUACUAUUUUUAGUUGAUGCUAGUUGGAUUACUUGGUGGAAGAUUGUAUGUUCAGAUCUUUGAUGCUACUCAUUACCUCUCUGGUCAUGAAUAUGAUUAUGCUUUGUGAGUAGUUGCUUUUGUUCCUGAGGACAUGGGAUAAGUCUUGCUAUAAGUAGUCAUGUGAAUUUGAUAUCUAAGUCUUGCUAUAAGUAGUCAUGUGAAUUUGGUAUUCGUUCGAUAAUUUGAUGUGUUGUAUGUUGUUUUUCCUCUAGUCGUGUUAUGUGAACGUCGACUACAUAACACUUCACCAUUAUUUGGGCCUAGAGGAAGGCAUUGGGAAGUAGUAAGUAGAUGAUGGGUUGCUAGAGUGACAGAAGCUUAAACCCUAGUUUAUGCGUUGUUUCUUAAGGGGCUGAUUUGGAUCCACUAGUUUAAUGCUAUGGUUAGACUUUGUCUUGAUUCUUCUUUCGUAGUUGCGGAUGCUUGCGAGAGGGGUUAAUCAUAAGUGGGAUGCUUGUCCAAGUAAGGGCAGUACCCAAGCGCCAGUCCACCCACAUAUCAAACUAUCAAAGUAACGAACACGAAUCAUAUGAACAUGAUGAAAACUAGCUUGAUAGAAAUUCCCGUGUGUCCUCGGGAGCGUUUUAACUCCUAUAAGACUUUGUCCAGGCUUGUCCCUUGCUACAAAAGGAUUGGGCCACUUUGCUGCACCGUUGUUACUUUUGUUACUUGUUGCUUGCUACGAAUCAUCUCACCAUACAACUACUUGUUACCGAUAAUUUCAGUGCUUGCAGAUAUUACCUUGCUGAAAACCACUUGUCAGAUCCUUCUGCUCCUCGUUGGGUUCGACACUCUUACUUAUCGAAAGGACUAUGAUAGAUCCCCUAUACUUGUGGGUCAUCAAUCGCCUACUUCGUGAAGAUCUACCGCGAGUGAGUCUAGUCCUAUGUGGGCAGAAGCUGUGGUGGAAUAGACAAGGCCGCUUCUUCAUGGACCCCUUGUGGGUGGAUCCCUCCAUGGACUCUCGCAGCCGUUACCCUCCGUGGGCUGAAGUCUCCACUAACAUGGAUGUACGAUAGCGCCACCUAUUGGAACCGUGUCAAAAAUCGCCGUGUCAACUUCUUCAUGUUCGAUCUUCCUAACCUCUACUCCAUACUACAUGUGCAAAACUAUACUUUCCGCUGCCAUAUUUGUUGACUAGCAUGUGUAGGGUGCACUAGACUUGUUAGAAUCACUAAAAUCUGACAGCCGUUAAAUUGGUAAAAGGCUAGAAUUUUAAUUUACGCAAGUAGUCUAUCCACCCCCCUCUAGACAACCCUUCUAUCGAUCUCUCAAUUGGUAUCAGAGCAAGGUCUCCAAAACCUUGGUUUAAACACCAAUGGAGGAAGAUGGAUGUGCCUAGUUUGGGGAAUAUUAGUUGUAGAGUGCCUAUUCUUGAUGGGGAAUAUUUUAGACAAUGGAAAUAUGAAAAGCUUGAUAUAUUUGAUAAAUUCCUUUUGUGCAAAUAUGUUGAAUAUCCAUAUGAGCCUUCCAUUUAUCCUUUGCAUCAUUCUCAUGAUGAAGAACUUGAUAUGCUUGGUAAUCUCAAAACUGUAAAUCUAAUCAUUAGAGGAGUACCAAGAAAUGUGCUUAAUCAAUUGAAAAUUUUGGAGUGUGCUCACACCUUGUGGAAAAACUUAGAGAAAGGAUAUUCCGACUAUUCACUGAAAAAUCUGGAGAUCAUUUUCCACAAAUGCAUUCCCUUUCACAAAAUGAAGCGAGUCGAUCCUAAUUUUGAUAAAUGUCUUUUUGAGCUUCGUGACCUCAUGUGAGUGCCCGAGACCGACGUUCCAUAAGAUUCCCCUACUCUUUCCGUUUUCGUCGUGUGUUUAUUUUUAUUUGUCGCAUCAUCAUCGCAUGAUGCACAUCAUCCGCAUUGCAUCGGCAUCCCGUUGUCGCCAGUUUUCAAACUUGCAUCCGUUAUUAGUUGCUGGUUCUCUCCGUGUUCGUCCUUGCCCGUUCUGAGCCCGACCACACAUGCACGCGCCCGCGGCAUUGUUUAAAUCUUGUUUUUAAAAGUGUGUGUAAAACUUCCUCUGAUCGGGUUGAGACGUGGCGUGCGGUCUUAGUAUAUUAUAGGUAGACCGCGUGUCAACUUUCGUCGCAAUCGGAGUCCGUCUGGUACCCGAACGGUCGACCGUAGCGGCACCGUAUUCGGUGUAUCAUCGGACGUUUUAUUGGUGUUUGAAAUUACGUUGUCGGGUGCCCGUUUUCCCUCCCAUCUCCGGCUAACCUACUCUACACCUCUCUCUUUCCCCCCUCCAGCCGUCGGGCCUGCGAAGCCCAUCCGGACCCCGCCCGGCCCGGAUCGCGCCGCCGCUGCUCCUCCCGAACCCCGCUCGCCGGUAGCUACACGAGCGCCCGAGAUUCAAUCGCCUCCGCGCAUGAGCCACGUCGUCGCAGCCCUCACCGAACCUCACCGGAGGUCGCCGGUCGCCGCCGCACGCAGGACCCCGGCCGGAGAUCCCGCGCCUCGCCCUCUCGCCUCCUCCAAUCUCUCUCUCGGUUCCCUCUCCAGAGGACAUCCAUGGCCGCCCCGAGCUCCGCCCGAUGCGUUUCUCGUCUUCCGUCACCAGAUCCGGCCGGAAUGGGUUGUGGGGGACCGGAUCCAUGCCCAUUCGGCCUACUCCAUCGCCCCGCAUCUCCUGAAGCCUGCACCGCCGCCAGUGCCAUGUCCUCGUGCUCCUGGAGAGCACGGGAGGAACGAGCGCCCUGCUCGUCUCGCGUUGACCGUGCCUCCCGUGGCCAGCGUCACGCCCAGCUGGCCCUCCUUGCCUCGCCCCGGCCCAGCGGGAUCCCGAGCCGGCCCAACAAAAAUUUAAACGUGUUAGUUUAGAUCUGGACAGAAUUGUAAAUUAACAUGUGAGGUCGUCUCGGAGUUGCUAUAUGUCAUUUCCGACCUCAUUGAAAAUGUCUAGAUAGAUAGUUUAAUUACGCUUCACCUCUUGCCAUGUUUAACCACAUUUAAUAUUGCCGUGUAUCUAAUCGGGAUAGAACGAAAUAAUUCGUGUGUGGAGUUUCGUCAAUAUGCAACUCGUUGCAUAUUGAACUUCACUUAAUGUGUAGUGUUUGAGUGUUGUGAGUUGACAUGUCAUGUCUUGCAUAUUUUCAUCCGUUCAUGCAUCAUAUGUGUCGUGCAUCGUGUGGUGAAUAUCUUGUGUUGAUGCUUGUUUCUGGUUUCCUUCGUCUCGCUAGAGUUCCGCAGGCGUGUCGGAUUAUGAGGACCCGUUCGACUACAUCGGUUCGUCUGCUUCNNNNNNNNNNNNNNNNNNNNNNNNNNNNNNNNNNNNNNNNNNNNNNNNNNNNNNNNNNNNNNNNNNNNNNNNNNNNNNNNNNNNNNNNNNNNNNNNNNNNNNNNNNNNNNNNNNNNNNNNNNNNNNNNAUUAUGUCUCAUUGCCUACCACAUGUUAAAUAUCAGCCUCUCAACAUUGCCAUGAAAACCUUCAACCUGUUCGCAACCUAGAAACCACUGAUUGGUUAUGUUACCACUUGCUUAACUAUGUGUUUGCGUUGCUAGUUGCAGGUGCAGUUGCUUCCAUGUGAUAACAUGGGUUCCUUGUCAUAUCACCCUAUUAAAUGUUAUGUAAUUUAAUGCACCUAUAUACUUGGUAAAAGGUGGAAAUCAUGGCCUUUCUAGCCUGGUGUUUUGUUCCACCUUUGCCCCCUUAGUUUCGGCUACCGGUGUUAUGUUCCAUAAUUGAGCGCUCCUAACACGAUCGGGGUUGUUAUGGGGACCCCCUUGAUAAUUCGUUUUAGAUUAAAGCUGGUCUGGCAAGGCCCAACAUUGGUACUACAUUUGCCCAACAUAAUAAUUUUGCUAAUACUGAAAGCAUAGGGCGUCAAGAAUCCGAGGAGUAAUUUCUACAUAAUACACGGGGGCCAGUGCUGUUGGUGCUGGUCCAAACUAGAGCCGUUUGCGGGGUUAACCCGGGGCAACUCGGGAGAUUUCUAUCAGGCCACUGUACGCUGCGCUCAUCCGUCGUGUCCUGAGAACGAGAUACGCGGCUCCUAUCAGGAUCGUCGACACGCCGGGCAGCCUUGCUGGAUUAAUUUUACCUUUGACGAAUGUCUUGUGCAUCAGGAUUUCGGCGAUGCUUUGAGUAAUCUCAGAGUUGAGGUUUUCCACUAAGGAGUCCGUCAAGAUCGCGAGUUUCGAGAUCGAGGAUUUCUAUGCGGCUUGUGGUAAUUUAUGAUGGAUUAGUUGGAGCACCCCUGCAGCGUUAAAUCUUUCAGAAAGCCGUGCCCGCGGUUAUGUGGCAACGUGGAGACUUUGUUUAAUACCGGUUCUAGAUAACUUGAAGUUAACUUAACUAAAAUAUGCCAACUGAGUGCGUAACCGUGACUGUCUCUUUCGCGAGUUCCUUCUCCGACCGAGGACACGGUGGUGUUAUGUUUGACGUAAGUAGGUGUUCAGGAUCAUUCAUUUGAUCAUCAGUAGUUCACGACCGUUAUGCGUAGAUCAUCCCCCUCUUAUUUCUUGUACUUGUAAGUUAGCCACCUCAUAUACUGCUUAGUCACUUGCUGCAGCCUCACCACUUAACCAUACCUAACCAUUAAGCUUUACUAGUCUUGAUACCUUUGGAAAUGAGAUUGUUGAGUCCCCUGUGGCUCACAGAUUACUACAACACCAGUUGCAGGUACAGGUAAAGGUUACUUGACGCGAGAGAGUUGAAAUUUCAUUUGGAGUUGCUUCUUCUUCUUCUUCUUCAUCGAUCUAGGAUGGGUUCCAGGACGGCAACCUGGGAUGGCAAGGAUGGACGUCGUUCUUCUUUUCUCGUUUUUUUUCGUNNNNNNNNNNNNNNNNNNNNNNNNNNNNNNNNNNNNNNNNNNNNNNNNNNNNNNNNNNNNNNNNNNNNNNNNNNNNNNNNNNNNNNNNNNNNNNNNNNNNAUAAGGCGUUGACAUGGUAUAGGCUAUGUGAUGAUACUGGAUCAUGGGGCUACAAUCGGUUGAAAAUGGAAUUUCAUCAAAAGUUCUAUCCUAUGCAUUUAGUACAUCGUGGUCGGAACUUUAUUUAUAACUUUUGGCCUCGUGACAGGGAAACCAUAGCUCAAGCUUGGGGGAGGCUUAAAUCAAUGCUAUAUUCAUGCCCCAAUCAUGAGCUCUCGAGAGAAAUUAUCAUUCAGAACUUCAAUGCUCGGCUUUCUCAUGAUGAUCACACCAUGCUUGACACUUCUUGUAGCGGUUCUUUUAUGAAGAGAGAUAUUGACUUCAAAUGGAAUUUAUUGGAGAUAAUUAAACGCAACUCUAAAGAUUGGGAGCUUGAAGAAGGUAAGGAGUCAGGUAUGGAUUUCACGUUUGAUUGCAUUAAAUCCUUUGUUGAGACAAAUACUUUUUGAGAUUUUUGCGCUAAGUAUGGACUUGACUCUGAGAUAGUAGCUUCUCUAUGUGAAUGUUUUGCUGCUCAUGUUGAUAUUCCCAAAGAGAAGUGGUUUAAAUAUCAUCCUCCUGUAGAAAGCAACAUAGCCAAAACCAAUCUAGUUGAGGAGUAAGUCAUUGCUUUUAGUGAUCCUGUUGUUCCUUGUGCUUACACUGAGAAACCACCAUACCCUGCUAGGAUAAAGGAUUAUUCUAAAGCUCCAACUGUGAUAUGUAGGGGUUUCAUUAGACCACUUGCACCCCCUGAGGCGAUUAGAGUUGAACCUAGUGUUGCUAUUAUCAAAGAUCUCUUAGUCAAAGACAUAGAUGGGCAUGUUAUCAAAUUAUGUGAGGACUCCGCUAGAAUUGCUAAACCUCACGCGAAAGGCAAAUACGGACCUGUAAUUGUCCUGCCCGUUGUUUCUGUUAAGAUAGGAAAUCACUGUUACCAUGGUUUAUGUGAUAUGGGAGCUAGUGUUAGUGCAAUACCCCGUUCUCUAUAUGAUGAAAUCAAAGAUGAGAUUGCACCUGCUGAGUUAGAACCCAUUGAUGUCACUAUUACGCUAGCUAACAGAGACACUAUCUGCCCUCUGGGAAUUGUGAGAGACGUAGAA
rnacentral:lncRNA from 1 species